rnacentral:lncRNA from 1 species
AAAGGUUUAUCGCUUACAGUCAGCCAUGUCUUAUCCUUAUAAACAUGCAAACCUAGGUCUCUGCAUGGCCCCUUGUCAACACAUGAAACUAUCUUAUAUCCCGAGAGAUCUAUGCCAUGCCUCUCAACCCGGAACACCCCAAACGAUCUUAGGCCCUCUUCACUGCCGGCGGCCACGUGUUUAGGCUCUCCUGAUGACGACUCCGGCACCUGUCCGGUAAGGUGCCAAUCUAGCACAUCAGAGCAAAAGCUUCUCAAGUCGUGGAACUUGAUCCAUAUGUCACUCGACAGGCGGAUCGGCUCAGUGGCAGAAGCAUGUUCUGGCAACGGAGUGAAUCGCAGGGGUGUGCCGAGGAGAGUCUCGCUGCGCUCCUUGACCACAAAAUGUAGGCACCGUAGACCGGUUGGGACAGCUUUGAGGCCACCACCGCUCGCAGGUUUGGCUGGGAGGAUGUAGUAAUUUGACUUGCUAUUUAGCACGUUGCCUUCUAUGUCAUAGACCAGUUGGGUGGCGUUGUUGGCAGAGCAAGGCAGGGUGGUGAUGGCGAGGAGAUGGAGGAGGAAGAACAUAUUCAAGGAGAAACUCUUUGGUAAGUUGCAAGUGCUAGUUUCCCUAGUUUGAGGCAUCUCCAUCUUGAGCUGUCAUUGCAAAUAACAUGAGGUAAGAACGAUAGCACUAGCACCGCAGGCAAGAAAAAAAUGAGUAGGACACCGACAUAGAAGAAUGAACAACAAUAAACAGUUAGGACAGAGCGGUAUGCCAUCUAGUUCUUCAAAUGAGCAUCUUCAAAGCACCAAGUUUAAUCUGCAUAAGAUCAGUAUAUGUUCUUCAUACUGUAUGCAGAAUAGAGCACAUUGACUCGUGCCAGAAGCAUUUCCUGUUGCAAUACAAUGAACUUGCGCACAGAUCAACACCAGAAACAAGCAAAUAAAAAACACCUAUAACCUCUCUUUCCUAAAGACAACGAUAAAAGGCUUAUUGCUCAAGGUCAGCCACGUCUUGUCCUUAGUAGCGUGCAAACCUACAUCUUUGCAUGGCCCCUUGUCAACACAUGAAACUAUCUUAUAUCCCAAGAGACCUGUGCCAUGCUUCUCAACCCGGAACACCGCAAACGAUCUUAGGCCCUCUUCACUGCCGGCGGCCACGUGUUUAGGCUCACCUGAUGACGACUCCGGCACUUGUCCGGUAAGGUGCCAAUCUAGCCUUUUAGAGCAAAAACUAUCGAAAUCAUGGAACUCGAUACAGAUGUCGCUCGACAGGCGAAUCGGCUCGCUGGCUGAAGCGUGUUCUGGUAGUGGCGUGAACCACAGGGCGGUGCCGAGGACAGCCUCGCUGCGCUCCUGGAACACGAAGUGCAGACACCGCAGGCCAGUAGGCAAAGCUCUAAGGCCCCCGCCGCUCGCACGUUUAGCAGGGAGGAUGUAGUAAUUUUGCUUGCUACUUAGCACGUUGCCCUCCGUGUCAUAGACUAGUUGGGUGGCGUUGCUGGCAGAGCAAGGGAGGGUGGUGAUGGCGAGGAGCUGGAGGAGGAGGAGUAAGAGCAUAUUCAAGGAGGAACUCUUUGGUAAACUGCAAGCGCUAGUUUCCCUAGUUUGAGCCUUCUGCAUCUUGAACUGUCAUCCCAAAUAACAUGAUGUAAGAACGAUAAGCACCACAAGCAAGAAAUAAUGAGAAUGAUACUGGCAUAGAAUGAACAAAAAUUAACAGUUAGGACAGAGCAGUAUGCCAUCCAGUUCUUCAAAUGAGCAUCUUAUAUGUACUAAGUUCAAUCUGCAUAAGAUCUGUAUGCUCUUCAUAGUGUACGCAAAAUACAGUGAUUACAUAAUUGAAUCUAGCAAAAGGUAGUUUCUCUCGAACAAAAACAACCCACCCACUCAAUCAAUUCUAGCAUCAAAGAUAUGAUUUUCCUAUCCACUUCUUCAGCUAUUAAGAAAUUAUACUGCAGUUCAACCAGUCUUCCCCGAGCUUGUACCUAGCCUAGCCUAGCCUGUGGAGUACUAGAAGGAAGGUUGUUGUUCAUGAGGACAAUUGUCUCUAGCCCUAGUUUAUUCCUAUCAAGCAGUAUGCCAUCCAGUUAGAUCACCAGCUAACUACCACACAACUCCCGAGUAAACCACCGGUUCUGCAGCUCAAUCGAGGCGACUCUACUGAACAAAUUUGCGCACCAAUCAAAAGAGAGGGAAACAUCAGGGUGCUGGGCGGGGCGGGCUCCUUGCCUGGAGGGAGGGCUCGGCGGAGCUGAGGCGGUCAAGGGACAGCACGACCUUGGCGACGGCCGGGUUAGGGUUAGCUUCGCUGGAGGAGGCGGAGGCGCCCUGCCAGGCCAGGGAGACGACGGGGGAGCGCUUCAUGAGCCACACGGAGCGGUCCGCCCGCCCCGUCUCCAGGUACUUCGCCUCGUCGCCUAUCCCGCCGGCUGGCCGACCGCCGCGGGUGGUCUCGCGAUUUGGGGGGUUCGGGAGGCCGUUCGGUGGCGGCGCUAGGGUGACCGGGAGGAGCGGCGCGUGAUCUAUCGUGGCGGAGGACCGGAAUAGACUAGUCUAGACUGGCACGUGCGGAUGGCGUGGACGCGAGACUAGUAGGAGCAGAGCAGAGGAAAGCAGAGUGAGGUCUUAUAGAAAGAAAAGAAAUGAAAUGAAAAAGGAAGUUUUUCUUUUGUGACGCCAAGAGGAGAGACCACUUUGUAGACCUGACACGCCAGGUUUAUUGAUCGGGCAACUAUUUUUUUUAAAUCACAUCGGCUCCCAACNNNNNNNNNNNNNNNNNNNNNNNNNNNNNNNNNNNNNNNNNNNNNNNNNNNNNNNNNNNNNNNNNNNNNNNNNNNNNNNNNNNNNNNNNNNNNNNNNNNNNNNNNNNNNNNNNNNNNNNNNNNNNNNNNNNNNNNNNNNNNNNNNNNNNNNNNNNNNNNNNNNNNNNNNNNNNNNNNNNNNNNNNNNNNNNNNNNNNNNNNNNNNNNNNNNNNNNNNNNNNNNNNNNNNNNNNNNNNNNNNNNNNNNNNNNNNNNNNNNNNNNNNNNNNNNNNNNNNNNNNNNNNNNNNNNNNNNNNNNNNNNNNNNNNNNNNNNNNNNNNNNNNNNGGGCUACAUGAAGCGAUAACGAUGGUGGAGGUGAGGAGGGUGUUGGCGGUGGAGCACCAUCGCCGGAAAGAAAAACCUUUUUCCCUUGAGGUUGGAAAAGAUAGUCCAAGCAAAUAGCACCAUCAGAGGGUAUUGGUUGCUGGGUCAGGGCAGAGGAGAGAAAGAUGACAAAGGAUGAACAGAAGAAAUAGUGAAAAAGGUGAGUCGUUGGACUCGAAUCAACUAAACCUUGAGAAGUAAGCAGUUAGGUGCUCACAAAGAUCAUUUUAUGUCUUGAGGUCUAAAAAUUUGGAAAUUUUCUACUGAAGGUCAUGACCGUUUGACUAUAGCGGGGAGCAAUAAUUCUUUCUGGGUAACAUAAAAAAAUUACUAUAGAUCUACAAUUUUAUUAUCUUACCCUACUAGAAAAGUGUCUUAGACACACUCCUUUGGGGUUAAAAUGGUGAUUUUAAUUAUUGGCUUAUUUUAACCUUGAUUUAGGUUUAGUUUGUUGUUGCUCAAGUUUCAUGUGCUGAAGUAAAUUUAUUAUGCACCUUCAUUCAUGAGAAACUAAGUGCAACAAUAGACAAAAAGUUAGAUGGCCAAAUAAUAAAGUUGGCAAAAAAUACAAUUGUUAGGUAAAGGAGGUCAACACAAUCCGCCUCAAUACCAAACAAAAUAUGGCCAUACUACAUUGAUCUAUUCAUACCCCGAAGGGAGGAUGGGACAAAAGAGAGGAGAAAUACGAAAGGAGCGGGUCGUCUUCAUGUUAUGAAAAUUACUCAAGAAAUUCAAUCUCGUCCACAUAAUUAGUAUCAAAAUGAUACAAAAUGGUGCAACUCAUUGCAUAACAAGAACAUGCGUAGUGAUAUGAUGAACUUGUGCACCGAUCAACACAAAGAAUAAAGCAUAAAGCAACUAAACUCGUGCACUAAUCAAAAUAAAGGUAUGAAGGUUCUAUCCCGUCUUGCUGUGGUCAUUGCGACCAAUACCAAAGAACAUGUGCAUGUCUCGAUAAAACAUGCCUCCCGAUCCAGUGGAUAGUCGACUGGUGCAUCGACCUAACUUGGUGGUGGUGGAGGUAAUGGUGUUGUGAGUACUUUUGGUGCCCUUGUUUGUUCUUUCAUGAUCAUUGAUCUCCUCCCCCACUUCCCCAUUGUAUGGCAAUAAAUUAGUGGUUCGGCAAUCUGCUUUACAUUGCUGUGCUUAUUUUGUCUUAUUUUUUUCAUCGGGAUGGAAGAAAAUCGAGAUGCAAGAUAUAAACGAUGACUUUGAAAUACUUUGAUGUAAAAUUUUCAUGUUAUUAGGGAGCUUGUAUAUUUGUGUUUGUUCCAAUGCCCUCCUUACAUGUACUCCUUCAAGUAAUUAAUAAAAUUGGGUUGCCUAUCUAACUAAAAGGUAAAUUAUGGGUGAGUCUGUGUACCUAGUACAUAAACAAAAUAAAUAAAAGAGAACAUGCAUUUUGUUAAUCUUGUGUGGGAAACAAAAUUACAAGACCCCCUAUAUUGUCUAAUUUAGUUUAUGAUUUCAAAUACUUGUUGAACCCACUUUUAAUUAUUUAUUUUUAUCAUUAUUAUAUUAUUUAAUAUUUUUAAAUUACUAAUUUAAUAUACGGUUUCAAAUACUUGUUGGCCCUAGUUUUAAUUAUUUAUUCUUCUCAUUAUUCUUAUUAUUUAAUAUUUUUAAAUAACUGUUUCAAAUUACUACUUCAAUUAAUUAUUUAAAAUUUCUUUAUAUUAUAUUUAUUUGUUAUUAUUUUAUUUAAUAUUUGUAGAUAACUCUAUUUUCGACAAGAGAGAAAUGGACCCAUCUUUUUUCCAUGUGCUUGUAUGACCAACUCAAGCAUCCAUGCCAAGUGGUUUUCACAUCGGCAAUUUUUUCAUAUUUUGAAUUAUUUGUUGAAAAACGGCCGAUAAAUGGUCACACGUGUCACAACGUGUAAACGGUGUCAUAAGUCGUUAUCUUCAUGCAUGAAUGCCUCGUUUGUCCAUGCCAGUCAGCUGCAAAAAGUUUGGGUCAUUUCUCGAAAGUUGAAAAAACCACCUGUUGAAAGGAGGGUGUCGGACUAGCUCAUAUGGGUGCAUCGGCGAGCACGUGGUUUUGUCGACAAGAGAGAAAUGGCCCCAUGUUUUCAAAAUUUAAACAUUGAAUAAUUAUGAAUAAAUAAAUAAAUAUAUAUAUGAAUAACCGUGAAUAAAUAAAUAAAAUAUAUAAAAAAGGAAUAAGCAGGAAUCAAAAUAAAUGAUUGUUUGAAAUUUAACUGGUUCUAUUAUGUCAAAUCUGAAAAUUAAAUAAAUAAGGAAAGAAAUACAAAAUAAAUUAAACAAAAAACACGCCUAUGGCAUUGGCCCAAUGCGCACACAAUGCCUCAGCUCGCCUCGCCGGCUAUUGGGCCAGCUCAAUCGCGCUUCUCCUCCGGCGACAGCCUCACCCGGAACUUCCUUGCCGGAGCAUGCAUCCGGUCCGAGCCGGCCUCGCGGACCGGCGGCACCGGAAUGCCCCCGGUGCUAAGCUUGGUGUGGGCGUGUGGCCGGAGACCCCCUGUAUGACUCCCGUGAGCGUCAGGCUAUCGAGCCUUCGCUUAAGAGAAUCGCGAACGGGCCGGCCCAGUUGGAGCUAGCAAAAUACAGGCGUGUAAAAAAACUCGCCAGAAAAUUAUUGCACGAGUAAAGCUCAAACUCGCAAGCUGCCUCUAGUGGAUACCUCAUCCCAACUAACAGACCUAACAUGUUCUAGUGUUAGGUUUGGAGCGCCCCACUUUAAGAACCAAUUUGCAUCACCUGAUAAGUAAAACUACUAUGUGCAACAGCAGCUCUGUUUCUUUUUUUCAAACUUUUCAACAUUUCUUGAAAAAAAACAAUCUUCCUUAAAUAAAAUAACGUUUGAAAAUCGUGAACAAAUUUAGAGAUUGGAUCAAACUUUUAAAAACAUCAACAUUUAUUGAAAACAUGAACAAAAAUUUGAAAUUUCAAAUGAUGAACAAUUUUUAAAUAUACACUGAACAUUUUGUGAUAUACACUGAACAGUUUUUAAAUACACACUGAACAUUUUUUGAUAUAUGCUGCACAAAUAUCUAAAUACACAUUGAACAUUUUCGUGAUAUACGAUGAACAAUGUUUAAAUAUGCAUCAAACAUUCUUGUGAAUAUAUGUUGAACAAUUUUAAAAUACACAAUGAACAUUUUAUUAAAUAUACGAUGAACAUUUUCGUAUAUAAAUAUGCAAUGAACUGUGUAUAAUACAUGAAAAAGAAAAAAAAAGAAAAAAAGACGUAAAAGAAAAGAAAGAAAUAGAAACAAAAAAAAGGAAAUGAAAAAAGCAGGAAAAAGAAGAAAAAGCAUCGCGCCCGUGGGCCGGCCCGAAUGGGGCGUCGGGUGUGGAGGCUUUAGCGGAGCCACGUCCUUUUGACGCCUGCGGGCGUCAAAUAGGAUCUGCCGUGUGGCCGUGGCAGUUUUAAGUUUUAACUGCAUGAACUUGGUGUGGCCGUGGCAGUUUUAAUGCAGGUGCUUACAGAGGCAAUAAGGCUUCGAAACUCCAUGAUGCCAUCGGAAGAGCUUAUCCUGACACCACUCACAAUCUUCAGGAGCAGAACGCCGAAGCUGUACACGUCGGACUUGACGGAGAAGAUGCCCUCUGUCGAGUACGUCGACGCAGAAGACUACUCCACCAUCCCUCCCAGCCAACAUCUUAAUUCGCAAUGCCUCCUCGGGUGCCCCCUCCGGGUCACGCCGCCUCCCGUGCAGCUCUCUCUGAGGGUACACCAGGAAACCGUAGUCCGGUGUGGAGCACAACGAUGACUAGGAAGGAAAGGAUGGUCCACACAAAGGACUAGCACUGGAUAAUUCACUUCAUAGUGACGCCUGUGCAUGUGUCUAUAACCCCCUAUAACCCCCUGAACACUAUACUUUGGUGAGAAGCAAUGCAUGCUAGAUGUUUGCAAAUGCAUAAAUUGGCAUCGUUUUGUUAGCCAUACAUGAAGGAACAUUUUUUUCUCGAAUAUGCACGAGUGUGCAUAUUAUAUAUUAAAGAAGAAAGGCAAAAGAGUGCCUCCACCAUAGUUCAUAAGGGUUUCGUUACAACUCACUCCUCACUACUAGCCCACCUAAGCAAUCCACGAAAGAAAGGAUCAACAUUCCCUUUGAACUUUCCGGCACCCAGCCAAGUCAUGCCCUCGGACCUCACCCUACUCAGGAGCACACUCAUCGAAGGGCACGCUCCGUCGAACACAAUAGCAUUGCGAUGCUUCCACAGUUCCCAAAGUGUUAGAAUAAAAAUUGUAUGCAGAUCCUUCCUUCGUAGGUUACAUGGCUCUUGCUUCUCCCGUAGCCAUGGGCCAAGGGAGUCCCGUGGCGUCGGCGUCCAGUCCAACUUGCCCAAAGCUUGACAUGUGAUAGCCCAUACCGAUCUGGCAAACACGCAUGUUAGUAGCACAUGGUUUGUCGUUUCUUCCUGCUGGUCGCACAAAGGGCAUGCGUCCUGACGCGGUAAUCCUCUCCGUGCGAGUCGAUCCGAGGUCCAACAUCGGUCCCUCAACGCAAGCCAUGUAAAGAACUUGCAAGUGGAAGGUGCCUGAGACUUCCAUGUCAGCUCCGCCAUGGGCUCAACAGUCCGGCCCCAAAACAUUGCCGCGUAUGCCGACCUCACCGAGUACUGGCCAUUUGUCUCCCAUGCCAAAGAUAUCGUAUCCGGCACAUCCGCGUUUGGCUCCCAUGCGCAUACUCUUAACCAUAACGAGAGGAAUUCCUGUAGUGCCUCUUCUCCUAGCUCGGGGCCAGCAUCUAAUGCCCAAGACCCAUCCUCUAUGGCCUGUGCAACCAGCCUCGUCGAUAUGACUCUCCGCGAGAUCCAGCCAUAUAUAGUUGGUGCAAUGUCCUGCACCCUCAGACCAUCAAUCCAACGAUCUUCCCAAAAAAGUGUACUGAGCCCAGCAUGUGCUUCGCUCCUAGUUGCUACCUGGAAGAGUCUUUUCGCUUUCCUUGGAACUCUGAUGUUAAAUUCACUCCAUGGUCUGCUAGUGUCCACCCGUUCGAGCCAUGGCCAUCUGGCCUGCAUGGCCACGUUUAGCCAUCUAAGGUUUGGCAGCCCCAGGCCUUCCGCCCAUUUCAGUGUGCACACCGAGUCCCAGGCGACAGCAUAGUUGCCACCAUUUGCAGCGGCCCUCCGGCACCAAAGGAACCCUCUGCACACCUUGUUCAUCGCAGCUAUUGUCUUCAUCGGGAGAUCCAAAGCCAUCAUGGCAUGGAUGGGCAUGGCGCAUAGUACUGACUGGACCAAAGUUAGCCGUCCACUCUUUGGCAUUAGUGCCGCCUUCCACUUCGGCUAAUAGUUUGCCAUCUGGUCGACAAGGUAUUGCAACUGCGCCGGUGAUUGCUUCCUUAGAGACAACGGUAAACCCAGGUACUUGAUUGGGAAGGAUCCUCUCGGGCAUCCCAGCUCCACACUAGCCAAUGUGAUUUCCUGAUCAUUGCAUCUUAUAGGGAGAGCCGCUGAUUUUGCCAUAUUUAUCCGCAGCCCCGACGCUUCCCCAAACAUCUCAAAGAUUCGCUUGCUAAUCUCCAGCUCCACUGGCUUUGGUUCGAUGAACACCACCACGUCAUCCGCAAAGAUGGAUAAACGUUGCCUCACUCCAGAACACGCCAAAGGCUCCAAAAUGCCUCUGCUCGUGGCUCGCUCAAACAUCCUUUGUAGAGGCUCCAUGGUGAGGAUGAAUAGCAUUGGCGAUAUCGGGUCACCCUGCCUUAGCCCCUUGCAGUUGUAAACGGUGUCCCCGGGGUCUCCAUUCACCAUAACCUUGGUGGUGGAUGUUGCAAGAAUCCCACAGAUCCAAGACCGCCACCUAGGCCCAAAUCCAAGAUGCUGCAUCACCUCAAUCAGGAAAGGCCACUGAAUAGAAUUAAAUGCCUUCGAUAUAUCUAGCUUGAGCGGCACCGCUGGGUUCCGUAGGGCAUUUAGCUUGCUAGCUGUACUUUGCACCAACAUGAAGUUGUCAUGUAGGGAUCUGCCCUUCACGAAAGCACUCUGAUGAUUGCCCACAAGCUUCAGCAACUGCAUCACCAAUUUGCACGCAAGCACUUUCUCGAAGAUUUUUAUAGCCCCAUGAACAAGGUUGAUCGGCCUAAAAUCUGUCACCUCCAGAGCACCAUCCUUCUUGGGCAGAAGAGUCACUAGGGACUUGUUGAUUGCAGCCAUUCCACGAACAUCCCCAUUGUAGAAACAGUUCAUGGCCUUCAUGAAGUCCACUCGUAUAAUGUUCCAGCAUGUGGCAUAAAAACGGCCAGUGAACCCAUCCGGUCCUGGCGCCUUAUCCGGAAGCAUAGCUUUGAUGACGCUUUCCACUUCCUCAGAGGUGAAAGGUUCCUCCAACUGAGAUAAGUCCAGCUACGGCAAGUCCAACUCAUGUAGGUUAAGUGUGUAGUUCCUGGAGGUAGUACUGCCAAAUGCCGCACCAAAAUGCGCAUCCACCGCGAACGCCACCUCAUCUUGCCCGGAGUAGACGUUCCCAUUGUACUUUACCAUCCGGAGAACAUUCUUCCUUUGCCGAUGACUCGCUUGCUGAUGGAAAAGCCUUGUGCUACCGUCACCCUCACGCAGCUGCAACAAUCUCGAUCGCUGCCUUGCAUUGGUUCUCUCAAGGGAACACGACCCAAGUAGCUUCCUCUUCAAACAACUCCUCAAAUCCCGCUCCGCAUCCGAGAGCGCCCUAGAUUCCAUGGCCGUAUCCAGCUGUUUUAUCACCUCCAUUGCAAUCAAGAUUUGAAGUUUCACAUUCCCAAUCCAACGGGCGCUCCACCGCUGAAGAUUGAUCGCCGUGGCCCUCAACUUCUUAUGGAGUGUUAGGUAGUCAUUUGUAGCCACCGCCGUCGAAUCCCAUGCCAUCCGUACCGUAUCCACGAACCCCUCCGCUUUGAUCCAAAAAGCCUCGAACUUGAAUUUUUUCCGCGUACUUAUGUCCAUGUUCAUAUCCAACAUGAGAGGACAAUGGUCCGAAACCGCUGUCCCAAGGGCAGAGAGCAAGCAUGAUGGGAAUGCUUCAUCCCACUCGUUGGAGACAAACACGUGAUCUAUUUUCUCCAAUGUCGCAUUUUGCCUCCCGUUUGACCAUGUAUAGCGCCUCCCAUUGAGAUAACGCUCCUUGAGCUCAAGCAAGUUUAACUUGGCUCUAAACCUUCCCAACAUCCUUCGGUUAAUCAGAGCAUUGCUCUUAUCCUCCUGCCUAGCCAGCAGGUUGAAAUCUCCAGCCACCAACCAAGGACCCGCGUGCAAGUCCCGAAUGUCAACUAAAUCCUGCAAGAACUCUAGCUUGUGAGCCUCCUCCUACGGACCGUACACGCAUGUGAGCCACCAUGCCUGCUCGUCCUCCGGACACUUGACGAGUGCGGUCAAUGUAUGGUGAGUAUAGUGUGGAUUGGACAAUUGGGUGACGGAUGCAUCCCAAGCCACCAAAAUCCCACCCCGAGUGCCCUGUGCCGGCAAGUAGAAGAAAUUUCCAUAUUUAUUUCCGAGGCAUUGUCGAACAAUGUUUAUCAAUACAUCAUGCAGCCUGGUUUCUUGAAGAGAAACAAUAGCCGGGUUGGCUGUUGUCACCACCUGGUAAAGGGCGUUGCUCCUAGCCCGGGCGUUUAGCCCACGUACAUUCCACACUAACACUUUCAACGGUUGUGCAUUCAUUUCAUACCCCCACGCGUCCACGUAGUCGGCACAACAGCUAGACCACUCCGAGGCCAUCCACCAAGGGCACCGGAGGUGACUCCCAGCCAAACAGGGCCAAGACCGCCGCGAUGUGCGCCUCCGAGAGUGGGCGUGAGAACAAGUCGACAUACAUCCGCAAUGCAUCGUCCGAGAUGACCUCACCCUCAUUUGCCAGGCACAAUUUUCUAAUCAGCACCUGUUGUUGCUUUGACACUGCAUGCUUAGCAAUCCUUGCGCUGCGCCUUGGAGUUGUUUCCAUCCUCUACUUCUUCCUUGCCUGGCGGCCUGGGUUGCCACCCGCACAAGUAGCUGGCCUGGGCAGAACCGGUGAGAGCCUUAGCACAUACCCGCGCAGAAGCCCCCCACAUCAACGUGGAAAGAGGCAUCCGGACUCGCAUGCAUGGGCGCAGGAGUGCAUGGCGCUGGCUUCGCCGAUUGGCCUGCUCCAUCUCCCAGUGGGGCCUCUUGCUCCCCAUGCAUAGGCCUGCAUGGCACGGGAGGCAAAUUUGACAAUUUUGACCUGGAAACGAAAUAAAUUCACAGAAUGAACUGGGUGCGAAACUAUUUCACACCCCUGACCCUUUUGUGUAGCGCCCGCCACGCCGGCGCCACACCCUACGGUGCAGCGCCUAGCUCUGGGGCGUUGCACCUAUGUCCACCGUGGCAGUCCAUGGGCCCGCACCCAGCAGUGCAACGCCUCUGAGCUAGGCGCUGCACUGUGACUUAUCUGCAACCGCGCCAGCCCUCUCCUCCCCCACCCACGCCAUUGCCAGUUACAGAACAAACAGGGCGGCGGCCCUCUCCACUCCCCCUCUCAAUCCCCUCUCCCAAAUCCUUCUGAUCCGACGAUUUGGUCUGUGCAUUUCUUCACCAAUCCAUCGUAGAAGGUACUCUCCUCCGAUCCCCUUCUUUCUAUCCAUAGAAAAUAUUAUAUUUUGAAGAUUUGGGGAACCCUUGUUUGAAUCUUGCAUGUAUUAGAUUUGGGGAACUUUUGUUUGAAUCUUGCAUAUAUUAGAUUUGGGGAACCCUUGUUAGAUUAGAAUGUGGUUUGGAUAGAUAGGUUGACAUGUUAUUUAUAUAGUUUGGAUAUAUAGAUUGACAUGUUAUUUCUAUGGAAAAGUUAUUUGUAUGAGGUAGGCCUAGUUUAGUUUAUUUGUACUCAAAUUAUACUCGUAUUGAGAAAAAUGCUUUGGAUACAUAUGCUUUGAAUCUUGCAUGUAGUAGGCCUACUUUAGUUUUUUUGAAUUGAAAAGAUAAUCGCGUUGACAAGAAUGCUUUGUUGAAAUUGUUAGGAUGGUUUGGCUUCUCGAUGAUCAUUGGGACAAACAACACCGGUCGUACACUAUGUCGGUGCAGCAGCGGGUAAUACUGAAAGUGGCCGGUGUUAUGAAUUUUGUAUUUUUUUUCAAACACAAAUGCCCCAUAUGUAAUGUUAUGAUUUGUUUGUUUGUAGGAGCUUGCACCUCUGAAGCUUCGGUCUCACGGGAUCAGCCUUGGAGGGAUGCGCUAUGAUGAGCGGUACACACCGUAUGUAAGGGAGGCAGGACUUCUCCCUUUCAUUCAGUUGGUCCGCCGGUCGACGCCACCCAACAAUGCUGCAGCACUCACCGCGCUUAUUGAUCAUUGGAGGCCGGAGACACACACUUUCCAUCUUCGGACCGGGGAGAUGACCGUGACGCUGCAGGAUAUUGCUAUGAUCACCGGUCUUCCUAUCGAUGGCAAUCCUUUAUGUAUGAACACCGAUUCUGAUGGGUGGCGCGCGCAGAUGCAAGCCCUUAUCGGUAUGGUUCCUCCGGAGCCUCGGGAACCAGAAGCAGAAGAUAAGAAGAAGGAAAGAGUCGCAACGGGCGCUACUUUCACGUGGAUAUCAUCGAACUUCUGUCAUUGCCCUGAUGAUCACUAGUAGGAAAAGGGGCUUUUACCCCGGUUCAUAAGGGCCUUUAGUCCCGGUUCUGGAACCGGGACUAAAGGGUCGUUACUAAUGCCCUAGCCCUUUAGUCCCGGUUCUUACACGAACCGGGACUAAAGGCCGUCCACGUGGCCGGUGCGGGGAGCCCAGGCAGGAGGGCCUUUGGUCCCGGUUGGUGCCACCAACCGGGACCAAUAGGCAUCCACGCGUCAGCACCUGGCAGGAGCUGAGGUUUUUGUUUUUUUUGAAAGGGGGUGGUUUUGGGGGGUUAAUUUAGGUGUUUCAUAUAUUGUGUUAGCUAGCUAAUUAAUAGAGAGAAGUGUCCUCUCUUAUCUCCGUGCUUUGUCGACGCUACGUACUAUAUACGUAUGGAGAGGAGUAGACACGCUAGCUAGUAAUCAAAUGAAGGAAACAGAAGAUCGUCAUGAACAUAUAUAUAUGCAUACAGAGAGAAGUGAUAUCGACCACCUCUCCUUCUCCGAGAUAUUGGUCGAACAACAAGUUCUCGUAUAUCUAUCCGACACUACCGGCUACAUAUAUACAAUAAUUAUCUCUUACAAUACAAUCUCCUAAUUAUAUUGUAGGAACACAGGGUCCACAUAGUAUUCUCCAUUUUCAGCGAUCACGUGGUCAAGGAAGAAUGCCGCCAAUUCCUCUUGAAUUCCUCGCAUACGAUCUGGUGCUAGGAGUUGAUCCCGCUUCCGGCAAUAUCACCGAUUUGUCUUUUCUUCAAUUCGGCAAUCUUCAAUCUGCAUAAUAUAGUGAGGAUAAGUAUAAAUACAUGCAAUGAAAGAGCUGACCUAUAUAGAGAGACUUAAUGACAGAAGUAGUACUACUUACAGACAGUAGCAAGUGAUCGUUGUUUUAUCGAGGGACUUUAGAUUGUAAAACUGGAAGAAAUCCUCAAAUGGAACAUUCAGCAGUUCAAUUCCAACGAGGUCAUGCUCCGGUUUAACUCUCAGCGUUAAAGUACUCAUCCCAUCAGACUCUCUGCAGGUUUUCAUGUACCAAUCAUGUAGUCUUCGCAUAUCGUGCUUAGAGAUUUGACAUCUUUGACGAGAGGCUUCCCGUAAUGGUAUUUGUGUUCGUCCACCUCCAUGAUUUCAUAAUGUACAUCGUCGGGCAGGUAAUCUCCAAGAUCGGUAUAACCGGGCACCAUACCCGGAUCAUUAGCGACGAUGUCUUUUGACACCUUGAGCUGGGGGCACGAUUGGUUCUCUUGUUCGCCGAGCUGGGCAAUUUUUUUCCCAGCUCGUCGUUCUUUCAUCCUUUUAUCACUGACAGUACUUCCCGACCGCUCCGCUUCGGCAUAUGCCUUUGCAAGAAUGCGCUCAUAGUUGCCUUUUGGCGGAGACUUUGGUGGUUUUGUCAGGGCAGCCAGAGUGCGCUUUGCUUUCACCGGAUCUACCUUCUCCUCCGGAGGUGGAUGUUUCUUUGCUUUGACCCCUUCAAAGAAGUUCUUCACUUCGGCUCGCACGAUCUUCGCGUUCUCCUCCUCGGUCCUCUCAUAUGGUAACUUCUCUGGAGUCUUCAGAGAAGGACCGAAUCUGUAUUGCCUCCCACCUCUGGCAGCUGUACUGCUAGACACCGGCAGAGCAGACGGAGCGGCUGCGACUGUCUUCUUUCCUUGCUUACGAGGCGGAGAAGGACUACGACGCGCCGGAGCAGCUGCAGCGGCGGCGGGUCUCUUCCGCCCUUGCUGACGAGGUGGAGAAGGAGGAGGCUGGCUGCUCUGGCGCGCCGGCGCUGGUGGAGAAGGAGGCGGAGUGCCGCCACGCGCCGGAGAAGGAGGCUGAGUGCCCUGAUCACUCGCCGGAGGAGGAGGCGGAGUGCCCUUACUCGCCCGAGCCGUCCAGUUCGGAAGCUUGAUGAGCUCCUUCCGCCAUAGGCAUGGAGUCUUCAGAGCUAAACCCAGCCGAGUCUCCCCUUCACCGGUAGGGUGCUCAAGCUGGAGGUCCUCAAAUCCCUCCGUUAUUUCAUCCACCAUCACCCUAGCAUAUCCUUCAGGAAUCGGCCGGCAGUGGUAGGUUGCGCCGGGUUCAGUAGGUAAAACAGAGCCAACAGCCGCCUUGACUUUCAAGUUCUGCCAUUCCGCCAUAAGGUGGCAAUGUUGAGACUCCGUGAUAGUAUCCACGGGGUAGCUAGGAGUAGCCGCAUGCUCCAUCUGAGGCAGCUCGGUGGAAGCCACGCUGCUUCUACGCUGAGAUGGCGGUGUAGCUUCGGGGGCAGUUUCGGCAUCUCUAUUGCUGUCUCGUUCCUCUAGCACUUGAACCCUUUCGUGCAGACGCUGAAUUUGGAUCUGCUUCACUUUUUUCCUCCUCUCCUGGGUUUUGUAACCGCCCGCGUCCGGAAAACCAGCCUUCCACGGAACGGAGCCUGGCGUGCCUCGUGUCCGUCCAGGGUGCUCAGGAUUCCCGAGGGCCAUUGUGAGCUCGUCGUUCUCUCUGUCUGGAACGAACGUCCCUUGCUGUGCUGCAUCGAUAUAGUGCUGAAUCUUCUUGACGGGUAUUGCAAGUUGCUCGUGCGUCCAACGACACCUCCCUGAUACAGGGUCCAAGGUUCAGCCAGCCCCGAAGAACCAAGUCCGGCAACGGUCUGGCCAGUUCAUUGUCUGUGGUUCGAUCCCUUUAUCAAGCAGAUGCCUCUCAGACUUGGCCCACUUAGGCCGGGCUUUGAGGUAGCCACCUGACCCCGUGCGAUGGUGAAGCUUCUUCUUCGCAGCAUUCAUCUUGUUUGUCGCUGACAUCUUCUUACUCUUUUCCGAUGUCUUGUGGGCCACAAAUGCGGGCCAGUGAUCUCUGAUCUUCUCAUACCGGCCGAUGAAUUCAGGUGUCUCUUCUUUGUCGACAAACGUUUUCAGCUCAUUCUUCCACCUCCUGAAUAGGUCUGCCAUCUUCUUAAGAGCAUGAGACUUGAUUAAUUGCUCUAUAACUGGCUUCUCCGGAUCCUCCUUUGGCGGUAGGGUGAAAUUUGCCUUCAGCUCAGUCCAAAGAUCAUCUUUCUGCAUAUCAUUGACAUAAGACACCUCAGGGUCUUCCUUCUUAGGCUUAUACCAUUGGUGGAUGCUGAUCGGGAUCUUGUCCCUAACUAGAACCCCGCACUGAGCAGCAAAAGCAUCAUUUGUCCGGAGGGGUUCAAUCGGUUGGCCGUCGCGCGCGAUUGCUGUGAUCUCAAACCUUUCAUCCAAGCGCAACUUUCUCUUCGGGCCUCGUCUUUUUACCGCAGUUGUGCUCGAUCCGGAGGGCUAGAAAAAAGAAGAAAGACGAGUGUUAAUUAAUAUGUGUACAUACCAAAACAAUGAAUGCAUCAAUUAGCUAGUCAGCACAGGCUUAACUAAUAUAUUUACCUGGCCGGACUCUGUUCGUUCACCGGAGCCGUCACCACGGGCUCCUUCUUGCACCAGCAUUGGGUCACCGGAGCCAUCAUAAUCAUGUCUUUCCUCCUCCACUCUUCGAUCACCGCAGCCUGCUUCUUCACCCUGUUCUUCUAGACCAUCAUUGUCGUUAAGAUACGACAAGAUAUCACCUCCGGCUAAGAUUAUGUCCCCCAACACCUCUUCUGCUUGCUCAUCUCGUCCGUGCUCCAUUGUUUCUGCAAAUAUUACAACAUGGCAAUUAUUACACAAACAUGACAGCAGGUGGAUAUAUUAGUGCAAACGUAGACCUAGCUUAUUCCGGGUUUGGGGUGGCCUAGGCAACGCUUCAAGGGUAGGGGCGCGGCGGGAGGGGGUAGGAGACCGACAUCGUUUUUUUCUAGGGUUUGGGUGUCCUCGAGAGUUUUGGUCGAGCGAGAGGGCCGGGGGGUGCUCCCGUGGUAUAAGUUAUCACGGUCGAGAGGGGGUAUACAUAUCGACCGUCCAUCAUGUCGAAGUUAUCUGGGAGGGAGUUAUAUAUAUCGACAACGACGACAUACAUACACAGGAAAAUAAUGUUAUCGGGGAGGGGGUAUAUAUCGACCCCCCCCACGUGUUGAAGUUAUCGGGAGGGGGUUUUAUAUCGACAACGACGACAUACAUACACGGGAAAAUAAUGUUAUCGAGGAGGGGGUAUAUCGACCCCCCCCUCGUGUUGAAGUUAUCCCCCCUCGUGUUGAAGUUAUCGGGAGGGGGUAAUAUCGACAACGACAACAUACAUACACGGGAAAAUAAUGUUAUCGGGGAGNNNNNNNNNNAGUUAUCAGGAGGGGGUUAUAUCGACAAGACGACAUAUAUACACGGGAAAAUAAUGUUAUCGGGGAGGGGGUAUAUCGACCCCCCCUCGUGUUGAAGUUAUCCCCCCUCGUGUUGAAGUUAUCGGGAGGGGUAUAUAUCGACGACGACAGACCCGAUAAAACAUAAGAAAACGAAGAAGAAAUAAAAAGAGGAGAAGAAGAAAGGAAUAGAGGAGAGGAUUGAAGAAAAAAAAGAAGAAGAAAAAGAGGAGAAGAAAGGAAUAGAGGAGAAGAAGAAAAAAUAGAAUAUUUUCUAUUUUUUCUAUUCUAUUUUUUCUUCUUCUCCUCUUCUUUUUCUUCUUUUUUCCUCUUCUUAUUUAUUUCUCCUCUUCUUCCUCUCCUCUUCUUCUUUCUUUCCUCUUCUUAUUUUCUUCUUUCCUAUCCUUCUUUUUCUUCUUCUUCCCUUCCUAGCUAGAUAUAUAAAACUUUUCUAAAAUUGUAACUUUUGCAUAUAUAAAACUUUUCCAUGUGGAUCAUCAUUUCUCAUAUAUAUCGAAUAUAUAUCCAUUGUCAUAUAUAAAAACUUUCUAUAUAUGAACAAAAAACUUUCUAUGAACAAAAAAACAUUUUUGACAUAUAUAUUCAUACAUUUUGAACAUCUACAUACAUACAAAUUUUUUUUUGUUCACAUAUACAUUAUAGCCACAUACACAUAUNNNNNNNNNNNNNNNNNNNNNNNNNNNNNNNNNNNNNNNNNNNNNNNNNNNNNNNNNNNNNNNNNNNNNNNNNNNNNNNNNNNNNNNNNNNNNNNNNNNNNNNNNNNNNNNNNNNNNNNNNNNNNNNNNNNNNNNNNNNNNNNNNNNNNNNNNNNNNNNNNNNNNNNNNNNNNNNNNNNNNNNNNNNNNNNNNNNNNNNNNNNNNNNNNNNNNNNNNNNNNNNNNNNNNNNNNNNNNNNNNNNNNNNNNNNNNNNNNNNNNNNNNNNNNNNNNNNNNNNNNNNNNNNNNNNNNNNNNNNNNNNNNNNNNNNNNNNNNNNNNNNNNNNNNNNNNNNNNNNNNNNNNNNNNNNNNNNNNNNNNNNNNNNNNNNNNNNNNNNNNNNNNNNNNNNNNNNNNNNNNNNNNNNNNNNNNNNNNNNNNNNNNNNNNNNNNNNNNNNNNNNNNNNNNNNNNNNNNNNNNNNNNNNNNNNNNNNNNNNNNNNNNNNNNNNNNNNNNNNNNNNNNNNNNNNNNNNNNNNNNNNNNNNNNNNNNNNNNNNNNNNNNNNNNNNNNNNNNNNNNNNNNNNNNNNNNNNNNNNNNNNNNNNNNNNNNNNNNNNNNNNNNNNNNNNNNNNNNNNNNNNNNNNNNNNNNNNNNNNNNNNNNNNNNNNNNNNNNNNNNNNNNNNNNNNNNNNNNNNNNNNNNNNNNNNNNNNNNNNNNNNNNNNNNNNNNNNNNNNNNNNNNNNNNNNNNNNNNNNNNNNNNNNNNNNNNNNNNNNNNNNNNNNNNNNNNNNNNNNNNNNNNNNNNNNNNNNNNNNNNNNNNNNNNNNNNNNNNNNNNNNNNNNNNNNNNNNNNNNNNNNNNNNNNNNNNNNNNNNNNNNNNNNNNNNNNNNNNNNNNNNNNNNNNNNNNNNNNNNNNNNNNNNNNNNNNNNNNNNNNNNNNNNNNNNNNNNNNNNNNNNNNNNNNNNNNNNNNNNNNNNNNNNNNNNNNNNNNNNNNNNNNNNNNNNNNNNNNNNNNNNNNNNNNNNNNNNNNNNNNNNNNNNNNNNNNNNNNNNNNNNNNNNNNNNNNNNNNNNNNNNNNNNNNNNNNNNNNNNNNNNNNNNNNNNNNNNNNNNNNNNNNNNNNNNNCGGCUGCCCUCUCGAGCUCCUCUCAAAUGCAGGCUUACGGGCCUAAUGUCACACUGUGCUGUCUGUUGGCCUAUUGGGCCUUCUGCGGGCCUGAAUCCUGGCCCAGGUUGGGUUUCUAGUCGUAUUCAGGCCGUGGUGGCCCAAUAGGUGGCAGUUUUUUAAAUUUUUUGCAUUAUUUAUUUUCUUUUGUUUUUUGCUUUAUUUUUUAAUUCUUUUUGCUUUUAGGUCAGCAAAAUUAUAAACUGUCUGUUAGUGCCAUUAGUUUUAGAAAACAUAUAAACUUUCUAUUAGUGACAUUAGUUCUUUAUGAAAAUUCUUUUUGCUGUAUUUAGUUUUUUUAUUUUCUUUUUUGCUAUAUUUAUUUUGUUUUAUUUCUACUUACAACAAAAAACUUAUUUAUUUUAUUUUAUUUUGUUUCUAAUUACUUAUUUAUUUUACUUUAUGAUAAUUAUUUCUGCUAUUAAAGUUUCUAUCAAAAAAAGUUCUUUAUGAAAAUUCUUUUUGCUUUUAAUGAUUAAAAAUAAAAAAGAGGCGCAAUGCGCGUUGAUUUGCUUCAAGCCUUUCGGAAUAGUGUAGACUGCACUGCACAUAGCUCGAUGCAGUCUACCUUAUUCCUCAAGGCUUGAAGCUAAACAACGUGAGCAUUGCGCCUCUUCUUCAUCGUCUCUGCACUCAGGGCUUAUAAACCGCUCCUAGUGCCUCUCAGCUAGCGAGGUGGGACUAAAAAACUGCUUAGCUAGUAAGAAACUCUAGUACCGGUUCGUGCCACGAACAGGUACUAAAGGUGCUCGUGGGGCCACAGCCUCAUUAGUACCGGUUCGUGGCACCAACAGGGACCAAAGGGUGGAAUUGGUCCCGUUUCGUGCCACCAACCGGGACUAAUGGCCUUGCACAGCGGCGUGGUGGUGAGUUUAGUCCCACCUCGCUAGCUAAGAGAGAGCCGCACCUGUUUAUAAGGUGCGGUGCGCCUGAGCUGUCGAGCUCCUCUCUAAAGCAGGCUUACGGGCCUAACCUCUCUGCACUCAGGGCUUAUAAAACAUUUCAAAUGAACUCUGAAAAGGUUGAAAGUUGGCAUGGUAUCAUCAUUUCAUCCACAUUGCAUGUGCAAGAAAGUUGAGAGGGUUACGGCAAAAACUAGAUGCACUUCUUGUACAAAACGGACAAUGGUAUCAUACUCGUCUAUUACAAAGUUGGCAUGCUAUCAUCAUAAUAGUUGCGGGAGAAAGUCUUCACUUUUUCUUCGCUUGUGUCAUUUGCUUAUUGCGCCGUAACCAUGGAUAAUCUUCAUCGUUUAUCAGGAUGCUUGGGUCAGCCUUGACUUUGAAGGGAGGAAUUUCAUGAAACUUUUCAUAAUCUUCAGACAUGUCUGUCUUGCCCUCCACUCCCACAAUGUCCCUUUUUCCUGAAAGAAACUAUGUGCCGCUUUGGCUCAUCGUAUGAUGUAUUCGCUUCCUUAUCUUUUCUUUUCCUCGGUCUGGUAGACAUGUCCUUCACAUAGAUAACCUGUGCCACAUCAUUGGCUAGGACGAACGGUUCGUCAGUGUACCCAAGAUUGUUCAGAUCCACUGUUGUCAUUCCGUACUGUGGGUCUACCUGUACCCCGCCUCCUGACAGAUUGACCCAUUUGCACUUAAACAAAGGGACCUUAAAAUCAUGUCCGUAGUCAAGUUCCCAUAUGUCCAUUAUGUAACCAUAAUAUGUGUCCUUUCCCCUCUCGGUUGCUGCAUCAAAGCGGACACCGCUGUUUUGGUUGGUGCUCUUUUGAUCUUGGGCGAUCGUGUAAAAUGUAUUCCCAUUUAUCUCGUAUCCUUUGUAAGUCAAUACAGUCGAAGAUGGUCCCCUGGACAACGAGUACAACUCAUCACAAACAGUGGUGUCACCUCUGAGACGUGUUUCCAACCAACUGCUGAAAGUCCUGAUGUGUUCACAUGUAAUCCAGUCGUCACACUGCUCCGGGUGUUUUGAGCGCAGACUGUUCUUGUGUUCAUCGACAUACGGGGUCACUAAGGUAGAGUUCUGUAGAACUGUGUAGUGUGCUUCAGACCAAGAAUAUCCGUCCCUGCAUAUUAUUGAGUUCCCCCCUCCAAGCGUGCCUUUUCCAGUCAGUCUCCCCUCAUACCGCGAUUUAGGGAGACCUAUCUUCUUAAGGCCAGGAAUGAAGUCAACACAAAACCCAAUGACAUCCUCUGUUUGAUGGCCCAUGGAGAUGCUUCCUUCUGGCCUAGCGCGGUUACGGACAUAUUUCUUUAGGACUCCCAUGAACCUCUCAAAGGGGAACAUAUUGUGUAGAAAUACGGGCCCCAGAAUGACAAUCUCGUCGACUAGAUGAACUAUGACGUGCGUCAUGAUAUUGAAGAAGGAUGGUGGGAACACCAGCUCGAAACUGACAAGACAUUGCGCCACAUCACUCCUUAGCCUUGGUAUGAUUUCUGGAUCGAUCACCUUCUGAGAGAUUGCAUUGAGGAAUGCACAUAGCUUCACAAUGGCUAAUCGGACGUUUUCCGGUAGAAGCCCCCUCAAUGCAACCGGAAGCAGUUGCGUCAUAAUCACGUGGCAGUCAUGAGACUUUAGGUUCUGGAACUUUUUCUCUGGCAUAUUUAUUAUUCGCUUUAUAUUCGACGAGAAGCCAGUCGGGACCUUCAUACUGAGCAGGCAUUCAAAGAAGAUUUCUUUCUCUUCUUUCGUAAGAGCGUAGCUGGCAGGACCUUCAUACUGCUUCAGAGGCAUGCCGUCUUUUUCGUGCAAACGUUGCAGGUCCUCCCGUGCCUCAGGUGUAUCUUUUGUCUUCCCAUACACGCCCAAGAAGCCUAGCAGGUUCACGCAAAGGUUCUUCGUCACGUGCAUCACGUCGAUUGAAGAGCGGACCUCUAGCUCUUUUCAGUAGGGUAGGUCCCAAAAUAUAGAUUUCUUCUUCCACAUGGGUGCGUGUCCCUCAACGUCAUUCGGAACAGCUAGUCCGCCGGGACCCUUUCCAAAGAUUACGUGUAAAUCAUUGACCAUAGCAAGUACGUGAUCACCGGUACGCAUGGCGGGCUUCUUCCGGUGAUCUGCCUCGCCUUUGAAAUGCUUGCCUUUCUUUCGACAUUGAUGGUUGGUCGGAAGAAAUCGACGAUGGCCCAGGUACACAUUCUUCCUGCUUUUGUCCAGGUAUAUACUUUCAGUGUCAUCUAAACAGUGCGUGCAUGCGUGGUAUCCCUUGUUUGUCUGUCCUGAAAGGUUACUGAGAGCGGGCCAAUCGUUGAUGGUUACAAACAGCAACGUGUGCAGGUUAAAUUCCUCCUGUUUGUGCUCAUCCCACGUACGUACACCGUUUCCAUUCCACAGCUGUAAAAGUUCUUCAACUAAUGGCCUUAGGUACACACCAAUGUCGUUGCCGGGUUGCUUAGGGCCUUGGAUGAGAACUGGCAUCAUAAUGAACUUCCGCUUCAUGCACAUCCAAGGAGGAAGGUUAUACAUACAUAGAUCAGCUGCAAACUCAGCCCAGUACUUUCUCUCGAUUUUUCUCCACUGCGACCCGUCAGCGGGUGCUCUCAACUUCCCGUCUUUCUUACGGUCGUCACUGUGCCAUCGCAUCAACUUGGCAUGCUCUUCGUUUCUGAACAGACGUUUCAACCGUGGUAUUAUAGGAGCAUACCACAUCACCUGCGCAGGAACCCUCUUCCUAGGGGGCUCGCCGUCAACAUCACCAGGGUCAUCUCGUCUGAUCUUAUACCGCAAUGCACCGCAUACCGGGCAUUCGUUCAGAUCCUUGUACGCACCGCGGUAGAGGAUGCAGUCAUUAGGGCAUGCAUGUAUCUUCUGCACCUCCAAUCCUAGAGGGCAUACGACCUUCUUUGCUGCGUAUGUACUGUCGGGCAAUUCGUUAUCCUUUGGAAGCUUCUUCUUCAAUAUUUUCAAUAGCUUCUCAAAUCCUUUGUCAGGCACAACAUUCUCUGCCUUCCACUGCAGCAAUUCCAGUACGGUACCGAGCUUUGUGUUGCCAUCUUCGCAAUUGGGGUACAACCCUUUUUUGUGAUCCUCUAACAUGCGAUCGAACUUCAGCUUCUCCUUUUGACUUUCGCAUUGCGUCCUUGCAUCGACAAUGACCCGGCGGAGAUCAUCAUCAUCGGGCACUGGUUCCUCUUCAUCUUCAGCAGCUUCCCCCCUUGCAGCAUCAUUGGGCACAUCGUCUGGUUCCUCUUGAUCUUCAGCAGCUUCCCCCGUUGCAGCAUCACCGUAUUCAGGGGGCACAUAGUUGUCAUCGUCCUCUUCUUCUUCGCCGUCUUCCACCAUAACCCCCAUUUCUCCGUGCCUCGUCCAAACAUUAUAGUGUGGCAUGAAACCCUUGUAAAGCAGGUGGGCAUGAAGGAUUUUCCGGUCAGAGUAAGACUUCGUAUUCCCACAUGUAGGGCAUGGACAACACAUAAAACCAUUCUGCUUGUUUGCCUCAGCCACUUCGAGAAAAUCAUGCACGCCCUUAAUGUACUCGGAGGUGUGUCUGUCACCGUACAUCCAUUGCCGGUUCAUCUGCGUGCAUUAUAUAUAAUUAAGUGUGUCAAAAACCAUUACAGAACAUCAUGAAUAGAUAAUUAAGUGACCAAAUUAAUAGAAGUUCAUCAUCACAUUAGAACCAAAGUACAUACAUAGUUCUCAUCUAACAACAUAUAUAUAGCUCUCCAGAGCAUCUAAUUAAUUAAACCAUACAUUGAAACUAUGUAAAACAUUUCAAUGCGAAAACAAAUGCGAUCAUAAUCGCAACCAAGGUAACAAUUGAUCCAACGGCAUAAUGAUACCAAGCCUUGGUAUGAAUGGCAUAUUUUCUAAUCUUUCUAAUCUUCAAGCGCAUUGCAUCCAUCUUGAUCUUGUGAUCAUCGACGACAUCCGCAACAUGCAACUCCAAUAUCAUCUUCUCCUCCUCAAUUUUUUUAUUUUUUCCUUCAAGUAAUUGUUUUCUUCUUCAACUAAAUUUAACAUCUCGACAAUAGGGUCGGUUAGAAUUUCCGGUUCAACCACCUCCUAGAAAAAUAAAAUCUAUGUCACGCUGGUCGGUAUAUUUGUCAUAAACAAUAAAUGAAUCAAAUAGUUAUAAAAAGAUAAUAUAUACCACAUCCGAAUCAUAGACAGGACGAGGGCCGACGGGGGCGGAUACCAAAACCAUCGCACUAUGUAAUAAGAAGGAAUAAAAUAGUAAGAAAAUUAGACAAGUACCUAUCUAAAGUAAGAAUUUUUUUCUUUCAAAAAGAAGAUAAGAACAAGAGGCUCACCACGGUGUUGCCGGCGACGAGAUCGGCGCGGGCGGUCGACGGCGGUGAAGACGGGAAUGGGACGUGAUGGGCCGCUAAACCUAGACAAAUCUCGAGGAAAAUGGAGCUUUGAGGUCGAGCUUCGAGAGGACAAAGCUUAACUAGUGUGGCUCGGGCAUUUCAUCGAACACCUCAUGUGCAUAGGAGGUGAGCUAGAGCACCACAAAGCCCUCCCCUCGCCGGCCAGAGAAAAACAGAGCACUGGAGUGCUCUGCUCGCGGGCGAGGGGUAUAUAUAGGCACCUCAUUGGUCCCGGUUCGUGGCAUGAACCGGUACUAAAUCCGGGCCUUCUGUCCCGGUUCAUGCCAAGAACCGGGACAAGUGGUUGUGGGCCAGGAGCGAGGACCAUUAGUCCCGGUUCAUGGCUCGAACCGGGACAAAUGGUUCCAUACGAACCGGGACCAAUGCCCACGAGGCCCCGGCCGGCCCCCUGGGCUCACGAACCGGGACGAAUGCCCCCAUGGGUCCCGGUUCAUGACUGAACCGGGGCUAAUGUGAAAACUGCCCUGUGACCUAUGCCCUGUUUUCUACUAGUGGAUGCUAAUGAGGACAUGGUGAAGACAUAUGCUCGUGUCUACAUGUGGUACGUGAUAUCCAGGACAAUGUUUGCUGAUGGCACAGGCAAGAAUGCUCCAUGGAUGUGGCUGAAGGCGUUGACCGUCUUCGAUAGCAAAUGGAGUUGGGGUUCGGCGACACUAGCUUACUUGUAUCGACAGGUAUGAAGUUGUUUCCUUUUCACUUCAUUGAUACAUUAUCAAUGCGCUCUUGCGGCAAAUUUGACCAUGUUCUCUUUUAUGUGCAGUUGGACGAAGCCAGUUGUAGGCACACUGGAGGUAUUGGUGGUUGUCUGCUCGCACUUUCCAUAUGGAGCUGGGAGCGUUUGCCGGUUGGACGACCGAAGACCGUGAAGUAUGAGGAUUGGGACGAUAAAGACGACCCACUACGGCUCCCCACUUUGGCUUACAAGUGGGAUGUGCUAAAUGAGACGACGGAUGAUCCCUCGGUAAUGUACAAGUUGUACAAGAGCGAGCUGGACGCGAUCACGCCUGAGCAGGUGAACUGACAUUGCAUAAGUGAUUAUCAUGCUUGUAUCGUAACUCGAUAUCAAUUUUGCAUUCAAUCCCAUUUUGCAGGUGGAAUGGGAGCCGUAUGGAAAAGGAGAGAGUUUUGGUAACCCUAUAGAGUUCAGGCUGAAUCCGAUGUGCAUUAGGGAUAGGGAUCUCUGGCAUAUGCGGUGCCCACUGAUAUGCAACUGGGCGGUUGAGCUUCACCUGCCACAUCGGGUGUUCCGCCAGUUUGGUUUGUUCCAGCCACACCCGCCGGAGUGGGAGGACACGGACAAGUUGCUACACGCGUAAGAUAUAAUUAACCUUGAGCACUUAGCAGCUUCUCGACGGUUUCGAUGAUGCUAAUAUUGUUUCUAACUUGCAGGUUGGAUAGGAAAAAGCAGCGGAAGAUCAAGGAUUGGGCCAACCAUCACAGGAAGUAUGUCGUGUAGUUUGCUCUUAGUGUGGACCAAGCAAGGGCUAGAAAACGAGCCCAGCUUUGUGAGCACUGCCCGAUCGCGUUCAACAACUAUCUCACAUGGUUUCUUGCAAGUACCCGCAUGGAGGUAUGCCAGCCGGCGUAUGCUGAGGAGAUUCUGGAAGAACCCACCGUUUUUGAUGAGGUAGCCCAGCACCAGUACAAUGCAUUAGUCAAGAAAGGCAACUCGGUGAUCCCUUCAGCUCCAAUGAUGAACUUUGUGGUUAGCCCUUUUUUCUUUUCCAUUCGCACUUUUCACAUCUUCGCUUGCCUAACACUUUGAUACCGUUUCUGUUCAUAGCGUGCCCAGAUCAAGAAAGCAGCUGAUGAGACCGAGACUAUUCUGGAAACAACCCCGGCUGGCAAAAGUGAUGGGGAAGGUGCACUUCGAGCAUUCAUUAAGGUUCACAUCUCCUUCAAACUAGCACUUAAGAUUUGUUGGUACGUUCCAUGUCUCAUUCACUUGUACAUGUUGCAGCGCCAGGGCCAAAAGUUAAGGCGGCUAUCAAACCUUUUAGGUUGUCGUGACCCCGAGUAUGUAUCACCAGAACGGUCUAGGUCGGCGACACCAUCAGAUCCCGCUUCGGGGCAGAGCCAUGGUGAACCUUUCGAGGAUGAGGAUGUGGGUGUGGUCACCCAAGAGGUAUGUCAUGACGAUAUAUAUCCAUUUGUUGAUGCAUUGCUAACUAUAUCCUCACACACGGUCUUUCCAUAUCUUUUGUUGAUGCAUAGGUUGCUGAUGAUAUGACCUUGGGGACGUACCAGGCUCGAUCUGCAUACGAGUUGAAGCCUAGGAAGGGAAUCAACAAGUACACACCUAAAGACUUCACCCAAAGAGGCCAAAGAGGCAAAAGGACGGUCGGCACCUCGCGGAUGGCGGCUUUGGAUGACUAUUUGGAUGACGAUGUCGAACCGGAGCCGGAGCCGGACCGGGUUCCUCUUCCUAGGAAGGUGAAGAAGAUAAGCGUCAAGAGGGGGGAGGAGCCAGCAAGCGUGGAAAGCACUAGUCAUCGUCUUUUUUUAUAAUGUUGAACUUAGAGUGCAAUUUGUUAUGUCGUUGAACUUGGAGUGGUCGUACCUGUUAUGUCGUUGAACUUGGAGUGGUGGUAGCUCUAUGUUAAACUGGAACUUAUUGUGAUGGUCCUUUCUAAGAAAUGAUGUCUGUGGUGAACCCUUUUUGAACCUUAAUGUUUCUUAUACGAAUUGUUGAACUGUGGCUGAAAAUGACCCAGUAGAGGGGGGAGGAGGCACAGAAGGUAGGCCUCCAGUUUGAGGCAAAAAAAUUGCUAAGUGUUUGUGCAGCGCCUAGCUUGGAGGCGCCACACUCUACAGUGCAGCGCCUGCGAGCUAGGCGUUGCACUGUAGAGUGCGGCGCCUCCAAGCUAGGCGCUGCAUAGGUCUGUAACUUGGCAUACUUCUGUUGUUCUCUGGAUAGCUACAGACCUAUGCAGCGCCCAGCUUGGAGGCGCCACACUCUACAGUGCAGCGCCUGCGAGCUAGGCGUUGCACUGUAGAGUGCGGCGCCUCCANNNNNNNNNNNNNNNNNNNNNNNNNNNNNNNNNNNNNNNNNNNNNNNNNNNNNNNNNNNNNNNNNNNNNNNNNNNNNNNNNNNNNNNNNNNNNNNNNNNNNNNNNNNNNNNNNNNNNNNNNNNNNNNNNNNNNNNNNNNNNNNNNNNNNNNNNNNNNNNNNNNNNNNNNNNNNNNNNNNNNNNNNNNNNNNNNNNNNNNNNNNNNNNNNNNNNNNNNNNNNNNNNNNNNNNNNNNNNNNNNNNNNNNNNNNNNNNNNNNNNNNNNNNNNNNNNNNNNNNNNNNNNNNNNNNNNNNNNNNNNNNNNNNNNNNNNNNNNNNNNNNNNNNNNNNNNNNNNNNNNNNNNNNNNNNNNNNNNNNNNNNNNNNNNNNNNNNNNNNNNNNNNNNNNNNNNNNNNNNNNNNNNNNNNNNNNNNNNNNNNNNNNNNNNNNNNNNNNNNNNNNNNNNNNNNNNNNNNNNNNNNNNNNNNNNNNNNNNNNNNNNNNNNNNNNNNNNNNNNNNNNNNNNNNNNNNNNNNNNNNNNNNNNNNNNNNNNNNNNNNNNNNNNNNNNNNNNNNNNNNNNNNNNNNUGUAACUUGGCAUACCUUCUGUUGCUCUCUGGAUAGCUACAGACCUAUGCAGCGCCCAGCUUGGAGGCGCCACACUCUAUAGUGCAGCGCCUGUGAGCUAGGCGUUGCACUGUAGAGUGCGGCGCCUCCACGCUAGGCGCUGCACAGGUCUGUAGCUAUCCAGAGAGCAACAGAAGGUAUGCCUCCAGUUUGAGGCAAAAAUUUCGCUAAGUGUUUGUGCAGCGCCUAGCUUGGAGGCGCCGCACUCUACAGUGCAGCGCCUAGCUCCCAGGCGCUGCACUGUACAGUGUGGCGCCUCCGAGCUAGGCGCUGCACAGGUCUGUAGCUAUGCAGCCACAACAGAAGGUAGGCCUACAGUUUGAGGCACUUGGACUUGGACUUAGUGAAUUUUUUAGCUAUCCAGAGAGCCACAGCAGCUAGGCGCCACACGGUAGAUUGCAGCGCCUAGAUGCUAGGCGUUGCACUUUGACUUAGUGAAUUUUUUAGCAUAUGCAAACAUAGUAAGUAACAACUGUAGAUUGCAGCACCCAGAUGUGAAGUAGGAUUGAUACGUAGCAAGCAAACAACUGUGAAAAGAACAUCUGCACGAAGUACUUCACGACACAUAGUAGUUCAUAACACAUAGUACUUCACGACACAUAGUAGUUCUUACAACCAAACCGAAGAGGAGACAUAGUAGUUCACCGCACAUAGUAGUUCUUACAACCAAAUCGAGGAGGAGACAUAGUAGUUCACGGCACAUAGUAGUUCACAACCAAAUCGAAGAGGAGACAUAGUAGUUCAUAACCAAAUCGAAGAGGAGACAUAGCUCUAUUGCGUAGAGCAAGGCCCCUUUCCCUUCUUCUUCUUCCUCUCUUCUUCCUCUUCCUCCUCCCUUUUUCUUAUGAGGUGAGCCUCCUUAACCACCCUCUCCUUGAAUAUCUGAUUGUCCCUCUCUUCUUUUUCAGCUGCAAUUGCCCAAAGCUUCAUGGUUCUUUCUUCAAAAUCCUGUUGACGCUUCUUCUGUGCCUCCUCAACUUUCCUCAUCAACGCUUGCUCCCUAGCGCGCAUCACAUUUGCCGCAGUCUGUUUUCGCUUCCUCUCCUUCUCAAGCUCCUCUUCCUUCUUCUUCUUUAGCUUGGCCGCAUCCUCCUCUCUAAGCUUCUUCGCAGCCUUAUCCCACCAUCCCGCCAUCUCAUCUUCGCCAUCCUCCUUCAUCAUUGGUUUGUUGGGUUGGGAAGCCGCCAUACCUACAAUGAGUGAAACAUAAUGGUUAGUAAGGACAAUAAGAACAAAUGGAAGCACAUAUGAAAAAGAAAAACAUAUGAAAAAACAAGAACAUAUGAUACAUUAUAGUUAGUGAGGAACAUACGGAAACGGUCCAUCUAGGUAUCCAAACAUUCCUCUAUAACGAACUUGCGCUUGUCCAUCACCACGGCCAAGUCCACCACCAAGGCCAAGACCAUCACCAAGGCCGAGACCAUCACCAUGGCCAUUACCACCACGUCGAGCUCUUCCACCACCACGGCCGAGACCACCACCACCACCUCUACCACCACCACGGCCUCUUGUAAGUCCAAGUUGCUGACCUCUUUGUUGCCUAGAUCCUCUUUGGCUAACACUUGGUUGGCUAGGCACGUGUUGGCUACCACUUGGUUGCCUUGGCACUUGUUGGCUACCACUAGGUUGGCUACCACUUGGUUGGCUUGGCACUUGUUGGCUACCACUAGGUUGGCUACCACUUGGUUGGCUCCCUUGUGUAGCUCCUUGUUAGCUUGUGCUUGCAUCAUUUUUCUUGGACCUUUUCCUUGGUUUCGAACAUUUUCUUUUGUUGUGGCCAUGACCUUUGCACUCCCCACAACGGGAGCUCUCACGAGGCUCUUGGAAUUGGUCGUUGCCCGCUUCGCGGCGCCCACCAUGGCCCCAUCCGUCCAUGUCGCCUCUAAGACGCUUUGUCUUACGUCUACCCCGUUUAACAACCUUCAACUCCGUUUCCGGCCAUAGUUGAACUCCAUGAUACUCCGGCCAUUGUGAUUGGUCAAAGUAUGGGUGAAAGCGGGGAGCCCAUGUUUUCUUGACCGUCAUGAUUGAGAACUCCGACUCCCUCACGGUGCGUGGGUGAUUGAUGUCCACAUUCCUAACGCGACCAGCGGCAUACAAAUGUGAGCAUGGGAGAUGAAGCAACAAUGGCCUCCCGCAAGUGCAAUCACAUUGUGUUAACGACACCUUGAAAGCCCGACCUCCAUGUUGCCGGCCAUCGUUUGUGGUUCCUCCUGGCUCUUUCACUUCGUACUUCCACUCUUCGUUGUCAUAUAAUAUAGCUUCUUCUGAGUCCGCCUUCCAUGAUUGAAAUACCAACCAUUCAUCAACUUUGGGUGGGAACUUGUACUUGUACUUCCGUGGGUUCUCACCCGCUAUCUGUGCAUCGGUUUCCAUCGAGUACUUUACAAAGUACGCAUUCAUCUUGUCAAAUCUGUAUUGAACUAUUGCCGUCACGGGUAAUCCACGUGCACCUUUGAGCACCCAAUUGAAGCAUUCGGCCAUAUUGCUUGUCAUUUGACCGUAUCUCCGGCCAUCUUCAUCAAAAGCACGUGCCCACUUGUUCCGGUAUUGAAUGUGCCUAUUGAGAAAAUCUUGACCCCCGGGAUCAAGUUUUUUGUGUGCGAGCAAUUUGUUGUACAAAGUGGCGAAGCGCUUAUCGGAGAAAGCGAGACAACAAUCUUGAAGAUCAUUGGCCAACUCCUUAAGGCCACAUGCCCUAUAGAAGUUCGAACAAAAGUGCCUCAUGCACCAUUGAUGGUGCAACGGAGCAUGCCCGGGAAUGUCAAUCUCCACCGCAUUAAGAAUUCCUUGAUUCCGAUCCGAUAUGACACAAAUUUCCCUUUCAGCGGGUAACACCUUCGUCCUCAAAAGAUGCAGAAACCACUCCCAGUUGUCAUUGUUUUCCACCUCAACCAAAGCAAAUGCCAAUGGCAACACCCGGUUAUUGGCAUCACUUGCUAUCGCAACCAACAAGGUGCCCUUGUAUUGUCCGGUCAAGAACGUGCCAUCAAUUGCGAUGACCGGCCUACAAUGUUCGAAAGCCCUCACACAUUGCUCGAACGCCCAAAAAGCACGGCCAAAUACUCUGACUUUCCUUCCUUCAUGAACCGUUGUUUGGUGCCCAUGAGGCUCGACCACAUGAACCAUGCCCGGGUUUGUCGCGGCCAUGGCUAACAACAACCUAGGGAUUCGGUUGUAUGCUUCCUCCCAUGUACCAUACAACAUCUUAAAUGCGGCUUGCUUCGCCUUCCAUGCCUUGCCGUAUUUCACCUUGUAAUGAAAGAUGGCUUUCACAAGGUCAAUGACAUGUUGGACGCUCAUUGUUGGAAGUGUGGAUAUUGAGUUGGAGAGCCCGUAAGCGAUGAACUCGGACGUGAGUUGUUUGUGGUCUUCGGACACAAUCUUGCCAUCCACCCUUUUGCCUUGGCACAUGUGAGUUGGCACACAACUCACUACAUGCCAAGUAGGACCUCCUUUCCAUGGUCUUGCACGCACAAUCCACGGACAACCGCCACGGCGUCUUGCCACUCCUUGUUGGACCUCCUUUCCAUGACCUCUACCACCACCACGGCCUCUUGUAAGUCCAAGUUGGACCUCCUUUUCAUCUUCACAUGCACAUGCAACCGUGUAGCGCACAUUGACGUCCGAGUGCACCACCUUGUGUGGACGAUAAUGCGUAACCGAGUAGUUGUCGAGCCACAUCUUCAAAUCCAACAAGCUGUCGAACUUAGAACCUUUAGCAAUCCGGUUCUUGUCGUCUACCAAAUCACGGUGAGAGCUUGGCCUAACCCCAAGAGGUACACAUUGGCCACCAUCUACCACGGCUUCAUCCGCGAGACUAACAUCCUUGAACAAUGUAGUCCGAUGAUCCCGACCAAAUACCUUCUCGAAAGCUUCGGCCUCCUUCACCGUGAACCCCUCCGCAUCAACUUGUUCAUCGGGACCAUCGUCAUCCGAGUCCGAUGCAUAUGCACGGGAAAAAGGGAUGGAAUGGUCCAUUGUCUCUUGCAAAUGAUAUUUGUCGAGAUCACCCACAUUGUUGUCAUGGAGAUCAACUUCAUUGUCAUCGUCCGCAUACUCAUCAUUGUCCUCUUGCAAAGAUUCAUCUUGGUUGUUUCUAUACGGGCUCAAUGUUGGCCUCACUUCUUGGGUCAAAAGAGGUUCAACAAUUUCAUCUCGCUUCAAGGGUAGGGGGCUACUAGCAACCAAAGGGGAGGGGUUCCGGUUCAAGUCCAAAUGCAAACUUGAAUCAACCUUCUUCGUUGCAAAUAACUGAAGAGCCUUGUCUAGUGAUUCGGCCACCGUCUCCUUGUAUGCAACCCAACGUUGCUCCGAGUUGACACGCAUUGUCUUCCAACGGAUGUGCAUUCCAAAACCAACAUUAUGCCUUCCCUCCAACUCAAUGAUAUCACUAGGGUCCAUCCAAUUCAAAUCUUUCCUAACUUGUUGCAAGAGCUCCGCAUAGCUAGGACUACUAUCAAACACCAUGUCAAACUCAUCCAGGUCCGGUUCUUUAUUGCCUUUCAAAAAGGCGUCUUUGUCCCCAUGAUGAACAAACACACAUGUUCUUCCCAUCCCUAUAAGCAUUCAAAGAACACAAGGUAACAUUGCUUCCAUGAGUACUAAUCCAUGGAUUAACACUGAAUACAAACCCUAAUAUAAAUAUGAAACAACAACCCUAACCCUAACCAUAACCCUAACCCUAACCAUAACCAUAACCCUAACCAUAACCUUAGCCCUAAACCUAACCCUAGCACCAACAUAAGAACACCCAUAAGAAUAACCCUAGCAUACUAACAAAGCCUAAUCAUAGAAAUUGGCUAACAAACAUCUCACAUCUCCAUGCAAAUCUCUAGAUCCAAACAAAACUAGGGUUUCCCCAAACUAACAACAAAUGAGCAAUGGGAGAACUUUACUUGGAUCAAAACAAGGGGAUCAGAGAUUAUUACCUUGAGGGAGGGUUUGACUUCGAAAUCCACGGACAAAUUCUUCAAAUUUGCAAGAUUUGGAAGAAGAUUUGAGAGGGGGAGAGAGUGGGAGAGGGGGCAAAGCUCGGGGAGAGAGUGAGAGAGUGUGUGGUGUGGGGGUGGGGGAGGGGGCCCAGCCAAGUGGCUGGAUAAGUCACAGUGCAGCGCCUAGCCGCUAGGCGCUGCACAUUACAUAUGCGGUGCCUAGCGGCUAGGCGUUGCACAUUACAUAUGCGGCGCCUAGCUCGGAGGCGUUGCAUUGCUGGGUGCGGGCCUAUGGGCUGCCACGGUGGACAGAGGUGCAACGCCCCAGAGCUAGGCGCUGCACCGUGGGGUGUGGCGCCGGCGUGGCGGGCGCUACACAAAAGGGUCAGGGGUGUUAAAUAGUUUCGCACCCAGUUCAUUCUGUGAAUUUAUUUUGUUUCGAGGUCAAAAUUGUCAAAUUUGCCGGCACGGGAUCACACGCCGGCCCCUCCAGCACAUCCAUAUGGGCCACCAGAUCCCCUUGGAGAGGCGUUCCUGGUCUUGGGUCCCGUGCUGGACUGCUGUCUCCCUCCGAUAGGCUGACCUGAAAAGUUUCCCAGGGAUCCACUUGCAUGUCCCCAUCCUCCGUGCUGCCAGACAGCGACAGCUCUCGUCUUAUCUCACCUAACCCAUCACAACAAGACUCUUCUUCGGCCAGGCCCUGCAGCGGGAUUCUCACCGAGCCAAUCCGAACCGACUCCUCGCACCGCUGUCCACCAUCUGGAACGAGCUCUGAUGCGCGGGGCGCCAACACCUGCAAGGCUGUCGGCUCCAACUGCACACCUUGUCGCCGUCUGGCAAGCUGAACCGAGGGCGGGGAGCCAACGGUCAUCACAGCCACACCUGGGGCCGCACGUGACGCCGCCCACGAGCGAGGACAGCUGUCGUCCCUCUGCCCAUCUCCUCCGAUUGGCUGGUCUACCCUAUCCACAAAAGAACCUUUGACGUUUGCAACGCAGCUGUUGCUGACCAUGUUGCUGACCAUGUGGCCCCUCGGGCCGCUCCUGGUUCGAUUCUGCCGUACUCGCCGAACCUCCACCAGAAUGGCAAACAUGUCCUCCCUGACAUCCUCUUCCGGCCGGGCCCUGGCCAUGGUCAUCAUUCGCUGAAGGCGGCGAUGGAGGCGGUGGCGGUGUUGGGGGCGCCGGUCAAUCCUCGGACAUCCCACCAUCCUCGAUCACAUCCACCAGCACCGUGAUGUCGAUGGGGUACCAUAGGGCCGUGGAGCACCACCCAGCAGUCGACCGCCGUCCCCCUCCUCCAGACCAGAGGGUGCGCCUGGGCUCGUCGAUGAACAGAAUGCGCCGCCUUGGUAUCUGCCUGAGCCGGUCUGUGCGGAGCCAAACCCGAAAAUCCGCCAUGUCCGCCCUGCUCGCCGUGUCCUCGUCCAUGCCCAUGACAUAGCCGAGUCCCCGCAAGAUCACGCUCGAUGUUCUCUGGCUCCAGGCAUGGGCGGGCACGCCCCGCAACGAGACAGGGACGAGGUAGGUCAGGGACGCCGCCGUGGCCUGAGCCUGCCAGAGCCAUGGUCGCAGAGAAAGCUCGAACCAGGAUGCAUCGGCACGCCCAACCCGCACCAUGCGAUCACGCAGCGCCCCGUCAUGGCAAAGCACAAGGAAGUCUUCUGGGAAGAAACGACGGAUGGACAUCUCCGCCGGGCCGACACCGAACGCCGAAUGUAGCGCACGCGCCGCAGAACCUACAUCCACCUCUGGUCUGGUGCCGAUGACGGUGACCAGCACCGCCCGUGCCAGCUCCGCCUCAAGCAUCCUUGUGUCCUCCGCCGCCUCGAGGAAGCAGGCCUGCACCGGAUCAUCAUCGCGAAGCUCCUGCCGCGGCAGCUGGCCCUCCAGCAGACCGAACGGGGCAGAGAAGACCAGGCCCGCAGAUUCCCCCACCGACGGCGGCUGUGCCACGGGCGCCUCCCGCACCACCUGAAUCCACAGACGCACCGCACCAGGAGGCGGAGGGCCAGGCGCCGUGGGCGGCAGGACCGACGGCGAGCGCCUAGGCAAGGCCGGAGACGAUGCCAAGGGUGGGCCAUCCGCUGCCGUAGGCCGGAGAGCAGGCGGCAGGCGCGGCUGCUGUUCCACCGACGAUAGGUGUGGCCAGGUCCACGGCACUGGACGCAGAGCGUGGGGUUGGUACACUCCCUGGAGAUGUGGCCUUCGCUGCCGUAGUUGUAGCAGCAGCCGUACAGCUCCACCGGCAGCUUGGAGGAGGGAGGGGACGAGCAGCAGUCAACACGCGCAUCCUCCCAUCCUGGCGGCGGCGCUGCUGGCGCAGAGCGUGCGGCCGCGGAGCACGCGGGCGCCUACUUUCCUUGAUCUGCCAACUCCUGUUAGCCAGCCGGCGGGCCGGAGCACAGGAAGGUCCUUCCCAGGGGCGGAGCUCGAGCUAAUCUUACCCUGAUGCACCACUUAACCAUGGGAAAAAUAUGCUGCGUUUCAUAGCUUGUAAUACGGAUUACUAAACAUAAUAGAAGUCUAUUUAUAAAAACAAAAUGCAACAGUCAAACUGCUUAAUAUAAUGCUAAACAAAUGACAAAAUUAUUUGAAAAGAUCUAGCAUUCUCAAAUUAAAACACAUCAUCACAUAUCAAGGUUCAUUAACCUAAAAUAUAAAGACUGGAAUCAAAUUUUCAAGUAGAACAUAAUAAAAUGCCCAAAUCAAAGUACUUAAAUUUGCUAAAAUUUUAAAAACUACCUUUAGUAUAAUCUAGUCCUCCAAGCCAUGAAAUACCCAACCACGUGAUCAUUGAUGACAUUUUCCGUUUCUUCUUUCUCCACAUAACAAAUAACAUCAUCACUUAAUACUCUAUCAAUCUCCCUUUGCCAGGAUCACACUGAAUCUCCUCCUCCCAAUUCAUAAUAAGGAAUAAAAUAAGGUUUAAUCCACUAGCCAUAAUUUCACACAUACAAUUGUUGCAACCUAAAAAAUAUUUAGGACAAACAACACAGAAAAGAGUUAAAUUCGAACCAAGAGAUGCCUGUAAUCCAGACAAAAUAAAUAAAUAAAAGUAAAAGCACAUUGCUAUGUGAGGAAGAGAAAUUUACGACGCGGCACGUGGUCGCUGCAGCAUUAAGCGUCAGGCAAGGCGGUCGCUGCUGCGCGUACGUUCGGAUCGAUUAGGAACAGAUCCGUGCUGCCGGCUGCUUCAAAUCGUUAGGACUGGAUGCUGCAGCGCGUACGUUCGGAUCUACCAGGAACGGAUCCGUGCUGUCUCAAAUCUUUCGGAACUGAUCGAUUUGAAUCUGAUUGAUCGUAUCGGGACAGAAGACAGAACAGGAGAUGAGGAGAUGGGAUUUGUUUGUUUUUUCGAGUGGAAGACGCGGGAUGAAUAGCUGGCUUCGUGCAUGCACUUUUUUUUUGUUUCAGAGAAAGGCUUCGUGCAUGCGUCAAGGCAAGGCCUGCGAGCGUGUAUACGUGAGACGUGGACAGCUGGUUCAAAGGGGGUCCUGUAGCACUCUUGCUGGCCCAUCCUGAUGCACUGGGCCAAAUACCUGAUAUUUAGCACUAAUUUUUUUUUCGGACCCUGUAGCCUGUGCCACAGGCUCAGCUCAAAGAGCUCUGCCCCUGGUCCCGCCGCCCCGCCCUGAACCACAGGACCAAAGGGAGUGCCCAAGAUCUCUGGGACGACGAUGGUGGACCGCAGCUGCGGCGCGGGGGGAGUGGGGGAGGGGACGGCUCCACACGGGGCGGAGAAGGCGAGGGGGCGCCGGACUCCGACGAACUCGAGCCAGAGAGGGAGACCGCCUAGGAGGGUGGUCGCCGCCUCCGGAGUGGAGGGCAGCGCAGGAGGUGACCGCCGGCGCUAGGCGCAGGGGAAGGGGAGCGCUAGGUGAAGGAACAUUUAUGAUCAGCAACGUAUUAGUGGAAAGCAUUUUGAUGGAUCUCACACCGCACACAACUGAUAGCUUCAGUUUACACACAAGACACAAGUGGAAAAUAUCACGGUGCAUGAUGAAUACAAAAAGUGGAACCAUGGUGAAAUAGGACUACCGACCCUGUAGUUAAUCAAACAAGCAAGCCGUAGUAGUAUCAUGCUACAAGAAUAAUACAAGUCAGCUAGCACGAGUAUGGAAUUAUGCUUUUAGUAGUUAUCUUCAAUGGAUAUAUUGUACUUUACUUCCUUUUGCAUAUUUUGGUUCCAUAAUUCUGAUCUGGAUUAUCAAAUUAGCACAUGCACUUUUAAAAAAUGUGUUAAGGGAGUCAAGUAGUGCUGCAUUUAACAUUGAGUUCAAGUUCUGGCCAAAUCACUAGAAACGUAACAGUCAUUCAUUCUUCCAAAUGAUCGAUUGAAAAAUAAAAUUAGGAGGAAACACUCAGCUCAUAUACCAAUCUCAUUUCAACCCUAAUAACAGUUUCUCAAUUGUCAUUCAUUUGCAGAAUUUCGGUUGGCCAUUUCGAAUAAAAUUUAUAUGUCAAUUGAUCGUGGCCUUGAUCUAUUUUUAUAUAUCUUCAUGUCAGAUCCCAGAAAAACAUCCAUUGUUGUUAUUUCAAUUGUUUUAUUCAUAACAUUUUCCUAGUAAACUACCAUUGCAUGUAUAGAAAACAAUAACAUCAUAGAAAUACAACCCCUCAUCUUUAUCUUGGCGAGUCCGGUCAUGCAUAGAUUAUUUUGAGAUUAUUUGGCGAGCAGUGGUCAACAUGAACAACUUUAUUUGAAUCAUGAUCUUACUUCUUACAGAAAAUAUACAGGUCAAAACUAUAAUGUAGAAAAAUUCCUAAGGUAGAUCUGAUAUUAGCCAAGGCUGUGUAUGUUGUCACGUUGCUGUACACAAUAGGCAAGAAGGGCAUCAAUAGGAUGCGCCGAGGAGGUAAAAACAUAUGAUAUUUUUAUGUUUUUCCUUGCGUAUUUUCAUUGUGAUGACAAUGGUUUAAUCGUGUAUUCCCCAUUGCAAUGCACGGACAAUUUUCCUAGUUCCAGCUAGAUCGAGGUUGAGGGACGCUCCGUCGGACAACCGAACAAUCUGGUGUAUACAUAAGCCAUAUCGGAUGGUUAUGGUUCGCAUAUCGUUGUGGAAGGGCCUAGCUUGCUCAGUUUUACUGUACUAAAUACCCAUCGAUCACCACUAGCUGCACAGCCAAGAAGCAAAUAGCGCAUCCACCUCAAAGGCAAAGGAAGGGGAGUGUAGCACACGACCGUCUAUAUAUAUACCGGGCGCUCUCUCUCUCUCUCUCUCUCCCUCAGCUCACUUUCUUCUCAAUGGUGUCAAUUUUCACUCCGCUGCGCAGGGCCAGCCCAAGGCCAUGGCAAAAGAUGUGGUAGCCGAGGUCUAUCUUAAAUAAGCCAACAUGUGUACAUACUUAAAUAAAUUAUAAAGAAUUGAUUUCUAGAAGAUAACAUCAACAUUACUCUCUUCAUUCCUUUAUACAAGACCACUUUGAAAAAUACAUUUUACAUCUAUACAAGGCCAUUAACGGUAAUCGAGACAAAAACUAAUGAUAUUUCCUCAUACAAGCAACUUGUUUAGUAUUUGCAUGCAUGUAGUCAUAAUGACACUGAGCUACUUCUUCCUAUUCCUUGCUUGCGUGCAUGCGGAGCAUUAAUGAUCCUGAUUAACGAAAAGAAAAGUUGGCUUGCAAAACACCCAUUAAAUUUUACCUUGGUACUUGUAAUCUGAGUUUAUGACCUUGUAUAAGGGAAUGGAGGGAGUAUUAUGGAGUGGACGGGGGCAUUUGCCCUCCUCCACUCCACAUCAUAUAAUCACAUAUAGAUGGUUCGUUCCUGAACGGACGACCAACUGCGUGACUACUCUUCCUGUCUCAUUAGAUCUAGUCCGGAUGAUCACUGGACCGAGCUCGAUACCACACUGCCUGUCUUGGAUGGCCGGAAAGUUGGCCAUCUCACACUUUGGUUGCAGCAAUUGGAUGUGCCCUGUGAAACCUGCAACAUUUGAGCAUUGCAAGCGGCGGUAUGGCAGUCUGAAUCCUGACGUUCUUUGGAGUGCAGGUGAGGACAAUCCUAAUUUGUUAGCUCCAGACAACCGAUGAAAGAAUAUUGGUUUCCAUUCCCAUGUUGCCAGUUUUCUACCCCGUGACUAACUUGCAACCUUCGAAUAUAGGUUGAGCGUUUGUUGGAAAUAGGGGAGCGAGACCCAUAGCUCCUUAAAAAAAGGUGUAUUUCCUCUCAAUCAUUUGCACAAGCAAACAAGUACUUCCUGGUCAGUUGUAUUCAUUUUGUUAUAUCGCAAAGUUUCUUUGUAGCUCGUCCUACGCGGUGCCCCUUAUCUGCGCCGUUGGCCACGGUAUUGAGAUGUGUGCUAGUGCCAGUACCAACAGUAGUAUUCCAGUAGUCACAGAGUGAUUAGUCUGAAGAGGCAGGCUACGUGAACAGUGAGAUUCCCCAGCGCUGUCCCCGUCAUGGCUCUGAAGAACGCCUCCGUCAUGGUUAAGUUUGACAUCCCGAAAGCCUUCGACACGAUGCAAUGGCCUUUUGCCAUUGAGUUGCUUUCAUCUCUGGGUUUUGGACGACGGUGGAUUGACUGGAUCAUCGACCUCCUCUCGACUUCCUCCACGCGGGUGCAUGUGAAUGGGGUGCCGGGCACGCCCAUUUGCAAUAGAAGAGGUUUCAGGCAGGGGGGGCCUCUUUCUCCCAUGCUCUUCAUCCCGAUGAUGGAGCCGCUGUUGGGGAACGUAGUAAUUUCAAAAAAAUUCCUACGCACACGCAAGAUCUUGGUGAUGCAUAGCAACGAGAGGGGAGAGUGUUGUCCACGUACCCUUGUAGACCGACAGCGGAAGCGUUAUCACAACGCGGUUGAUGUAGUCGUACGUCUUCACGAUCCGACCGAUCAAGUACCGAACGUACGGCACCUCCGAGUUCUACACACGUUCAGCUCGAUGACGUCCCUCGAACUCCGAUCCAGCCGAGUGUUGAGGGAGAGUUUCGUCAGCACGACGGCGUGGUGACGAUGAUGAUGUUCCACCGACGCAGGGCUUCGCCUAAGCUCCGCAACGGUAUUAUCGAGGUGUAAUAUGGUGGAGGGGGGCACCGCACACGGCUAAGAGAUCUCAAGGAUGUGUCUCUGGGGUGCCCCCCUGCCCCCGUAUAUAAAGGAGCAAGGGAGGAGGAGGCCGGCCCUAGGAGGGGGCGCACCAAGUGUGGAGUCCUACUAGGACUCCCUAGUCCUAGUAGGAUUCCACCUCCCAUAUGGAAUAGGAAAAAAGGAAGGGAAAAAGAGAAGGAAGGAAGGGUGCGUCCCCCUUCCCUAGUCCAAUUCAGACCAGACCAAGGGGAGGGGUGCGGCCACCCUUGAGGCUCUUUUCCUUCUUUCCCGUAUGGCCCAAUAAGGCCCAAUACGUAUUCUCGUAACUCUCCGGUACUCCAAAAAAUACCCGAAUCACUCGGAACCUUUCCGAAGUCCGAAUAUAGUCGUCCAAUAUAUCGAUUUUUACGUCUCGACCAUUUCGAGACUCCUCGUCAUAUCCCCGAUCUCAUCUGGGACUCCGAACUCCUUCGGUACAUCAAAACUCAAUAAAACUGUCAUCGUAACGUUAAGCGUGCGGACCCUACGGGUUCGAGAACUAUGUAGACAUGACCGAGACACGUCUCCGGUCAAUAACCAAUAGCGGGACCUGGAUGCCCAUAUUGGCUCCCACAUAUUCUACGAAGAUCUUUAUCGGUCAGACCGCAUAACAACAUACGUUGUUCCCUUUGUCACCGGUAUGUUACUUGCCCGAGAUUUGAUCGUCGGUAUCUCGAUACCUAGUUCAAUCUCGUUACCGGCAAGUCUCUUUACUCGUUCCGUAACACAUCAUCCCGCAACUAACUCAUUAGUCACAAUGCUUGCAAGGCUUAUAGUGAUGUGCAUUGCCGAGUGGGCCCAGAGAUACCUCUCCGACAAUUGGAGUGACAAAUCCUAAUCUCGAAAUACGCCAACCCAACAAGUACCUUUGGAGACACCUGUAGAGCACCUUUAUAAUCACCCAUUUACGUUGUGACGUUUGGUAGCACACAAAGUGUUCCUCCGGUAAACGGGAGUUGCAUAAUCUCAUAGUCAUAGGAACAUGUAUAAGUCAUGAAGAAAGCAAUAGCAACAUACUAAACGAUCGAGUGCUAAGCUAACGGAAUGGGUCAAGUCAAUCACGUCAUUCUCCUAAUGAGGUGACCUCGUUAAUCAAAUGACAACUUAUGUCUAUGGCUAGGAAACAUAACCAUCUUUGAUUAACGAGCUAGUCAAGUAGAGGCAUACUAGUGACACUCUGUUUGUCUAUAUAUUCACACAUGUAUUAUGUUUCCGGUUAAUACAAUUCUAGCAUGAAUAAUAAACAUUUAUCAUGAUACAAGGAAAUAAAUAAUACUUUAUUAUUGCCUCUAGGGCAUAUUUCCUUCAGUCUCCCACUUGCACUAGAGUCAAUAAUCUAGUUCACAUCGCCAUGUGAUUUAACAUGAAUAGUUCACAUCACCAUGUGAUUAACACCCAUAGUUCACAUCGUCAUGUGACCAUCACCCAAAGGGUUUACUAGAGUCAGUAAUCUAGUUCACAUCGCUAUGUGAUUAACACCCAAAGAGUACUAAGGUGUGAUCAUGUUUUGCUUGUGAGAUAAUUUUAGUCAACGGGUCUGUCACAUUCAGAUCCGUAAGUAUUUUGCAAAUUUCUAUGUCUACAAUGCUCUGCAUGGAGCUACUCUAGCUAAUUGCUCCCACUUUCAAUAUGUAUCUAGACCGAGACUUAGAGUCAUCUAGAUUAGUGUAAAAACUUGCAUCGACGUAACCCUUUACGACAAGCCUUUUGUCACUUCCAUAAUCGAGAAACAUAUCCUUAUUCCAGUAAGGAUAAUUUUGACCGCUGUCCAGUGAUCUACUCCUAGAUCACUAUUGUACUCCCUUGCCAAAAUCAGUGUAGGGUAUACAAUAGAUCUGGUACACAGCAUGGCAUACUUUAUAGAACCUAUGGCCGAGGCAUAGGGAAUGACUUUCAUUCUUUUUCUAUCUUCUGCCGUGGUCGGGUUUUGAGUCUUACUCAAUUUCACACCUUGUAACACAGGCAAGAAACUCUUUCUUUGACUGUUCCAUUUUGAACCACUUCAAAAUCUUGUUAAGGUAUGUACUCAUUGAAAAAACUUAUCAAGCGUCUUGAUCUAUCUCUAUAGAUCUUGAUGCUCAAUAUGUAAGCAGCUUCACCGAGGUCUUUCUUUGAAAAACUCCUUUAUGCUUUGCAGAAUAAUUCUACAUUAUUUCCGAUCAACAAUAUGUCACUUACAUAUACUUAUCAGAAUUGUUGUAGUGCUCCCACUCACUUUCUUGUAAAUACAGGCUUCACCGCAAGUCUGUAUAAAACUAUAUCCUUUGAUCAACUUAUCAAAGCGUAUAUUCCUACUUCGAGAUGCUUGCACCAGUCCAUAGGUGGAUCGCUGGAGCUUGCAUAUUUUGAUAGCACCUUUAGGAUUGACAAAACCUUCUGGUUGCAUCAUAUACAACUCUUCUUUAAUAAAUCCAUUAAGGAAUGCAGUUUUGUUUAUCCUUUUGCCAUAUUUCAUAAAAUGCGGCAAUUGCUAACAUGAUUCAGACAGACUUAAGCAUCGCUACGGGUGAGAAGGUCUCAUCGUAGUCAAUCCCUUGAACUUGUCGAAAACCUUUCGCAACAAGUCGAGCUUUAUAGACAGUAACAUUACCAUCAGUGUCAGUCUUCUUCUUGAAGAUCCAUUUAUUUUCAAUGGCUUGCCGAUCAUUGGGCAAGUCAACCAAAGUCCAUACUUUGUUCUCAUACAUGGAUCCCAUCUCAGAUUUCAUGGCCUCAAGCCAUUUUGCGGAAUCUGGGCUCACCAUCGCUUCUUCAUAGUUCGUAGGUUCGUCAUGGUCUAGUAACAUAACUUCCAGAACAGGAUUACCGUACCACUCUGGUGCGGAUCUUACUCUGGUUGAUCUACGAGGUUCAGUAAUAACUUGAUCUGAAGUUUCAUGAUCAUCAUCAUUAACUUCCUCACUAAUUGGUGUAGGUGUCUCAGAAACUGGUUUCUAUGAUGAACUACUUUCCAAUAAGGGAGCAGGUAUAGUUACCUCAUCAAGUUCUACUUUCCUCCCACUCACUUCUUUCGAGAGAAACUCCUUCUCUAGAAAGGAUCCAUACUAAGCAACGAAUGUCUUGCCUUCGGAUCUGUGAUAGAAGGUGUACCCAACUGUCUCCUUUGGGUAUCCUAUGAAGACACAUUUCUCCGAUUUGGGUUUGAACUUAUCAGGAUGAAACUUUUUCACAUAAGCAUCGCAACCCCAAACUUUAAGAAACGACAACUUUGGUUUCUUGCCAAACCACAGUUCAUAAGGCGUCGUCUCAUCGGAUUUUGAUGGUGCCCUAUUUAACGUGAAUGUAGCUGUCUCUAAUGCAUAACCCAAAAAACGAUAGUGGUAGAUCGGUAAGAGACAUCAUAUAUCGCACCAUAUCUAAUAAAGUACGAUUACGAUGUUCGGACACACCAUUACACUGUGGUGUUCCAGGUGGCGUGAGUAGUGAAACUAUUUCACAUUGUUUUAACUGAAGGCCAAACUCGUAACUAAAAUACUCUUCUCCAUGAUCAAAUCGUAGAAACUUUAUUUUCUUGUUACGAUGAUUUUCGCUUCACUCUGAAAUUGUAUGAACUUUUCAAAUGUUUCAGACUUCUAUUUCAUUAAGUAGAUAUACCCAUAUCUGCUCAAAUCAUCUGUGAAGAUCAGAAAAUAAUGAUACCUGCUACGAGCCUCAAUAUUCAUCGGACCACAUACAUCUGUAUGUAUGAUUUCCAACAAAUCUGUUGCUCUCUCCAUAGUUCCGGAGAAAGGCGUUUUAGUCAUCUUGCCCAUGAGGCACGGAUCGCAAGCAUCAAGUGAUUCAUAAUCAAGUGAUUCCAAAAUCCCAUCAGUAUGGAGUUUCUUCAUGCGCUUUACACCAAUAUGACCUAAAUGGCAGUGCCACAAAUAAGUUGCACUAUCAUUAUUAACUUUGCAUCUUUUGGCUUCAAUAUUAUGAAUAUGUGUAUCACUACGAUCGAGAUCCAACAAACCAUUUUCGUUGGUGUGUAUGACCAUAGAAGGUUUUUAUUCAUGUAAACUGAACAACAAUUGUUCUCUAACUUAAAUGAAUAACCGUAUUGCAAUAAACAUGAUCAAAUCAUAUUCAUGCUCAACGCAAACAUCAAAUAACACUUAUUUAGUUUCAACACUAAUCCUGAAAGUAUAGGGAGUGUGCGAUGAUGAUCAUAUCAAUCUUGGAAUUACUUCCAACACACAUCGUCACCUCGCCUUUUACUAGUCUCUGUUUAUUCUUCUACUCCCGUUUCGAGUUACUACUCUUUAGCAACUGAAACCAGUAUCAAAUACUGAGGGGUUGCUAUAAACACUAGUAAGUACACAUCAAUAACAUGUAUAUCCAAUAUACCUUUGUUCACUUUGCCAUCCUUCUUAUCCACCAAAUACUUGGGGCAGUUCCGCCUCCAGUGACCAGUUCCUUUGCAAUAGAAGCACUUAGUCUCAGGCUUAGGACCAGACUUAGGCUUCUUCAGUUGAGCAGCAACUUGCUUGCCAUUCUUCUUGAAGUUCCCCUUCUAUCCCUUUUCCCUUUUCUUGAAACUAGUGGUCUUGUUAACCAUCAACACUUGAUGUUUUUCUUGAUUUCUACCUUCGUCGAUUUCUGCAUCACGAAGAGCUCGGGAAUUACUUUCGUCAUCCCUUGCAUAUUAUAGUUCAUCACGAAGUUCUACUAACUUGGUGAUGGUGACUAGAGAAUUCUGUCAAUCACUAUUUUAUCUGGAAGAUUAACUCCCACUUGAUUCAAGCGAUUGUAGUACCCAGACAAUCUGAGCACAUGCUCAGUAGUUGAGCGAUUCUCCUCCAUCUUUUAGCUAUAGAACUUGUUGGAGACUUCAUAUCUCUCAACUCGGGUAUUUGCUUGAAAUAUUAACUUCAACUCCUGGAACAUCUCAUAUGGUCCAUGACGUUCAAAACGUCUUUGAAGUCCCGAUUCUAAGCCGUUAAGCAUGGUGCACUAAACUAUCAAGUAGUAAUCAUAUUGAGCUAGCCAAAUGUUCAUAACGUCUGCAUCUGCGUAAUUUUUCUGUGCAGCAAUGAGGAUAAUCCUCAGAUCACGGAUCCAAUCCGCAUCUUUGCUACUAACAUCUUUCAACAUAAUUUUCUCUAGGAACAUAUCAAAAAUAAAACAGGGAAGCAACAACGCGAGCUAUUGAUCUACAACAUAGUUUGCAAAAUACUAUCAGGACUAAGUUCAUGAUAAAUUUAAGUUCAAUUAAUCAUAUUACUUAAGAACUCCCACUUAGAUAGACAUCCCUCUAAUCCUCUAAGUGAUCACGUGAUCCAUAUCAACUAAACCAUGUCCGAUCAUCACGUGAGAUGGAGUAGUUUCAAUGGUGAACAUCACUAUGUUGAUCAUAUCUACUAUAUGAUUCACGCUCGACCUUUCGGUCUCCGUGUUCCGAGGCCAUAUCUGUUAUAUGCUAGGCUCGUCCAGUUUAACCUGAGUAUUCCGCGUGUGCAACUGUUUUGCACCCGUUGUAUUUGAACGUAGAGCCUAUCACACCCGAUCAUCACGUGGUGUCUCAGCACGAAGAACUUUCGCAACGGUGCAUACUCAGGGAGAACACUUAUACUUUGAUAAUUUAGAGAAGGAUCAUCUUAUAAUGCUACCGUCAAACAAAGCAAGAUAAGAUGCAUAAAGGAUUAACAUCACAUGCAAUCAAUAUAAGUGAUAUGAUAUGGCCAUCAUCAUCUUGUGCUUGUGAUCUCCAUCUCCGAAGCACCGUCAUGAUCACCAUCGUCACCGGCGCGACACCUUGAUCUCCAUCGUAGCAUCGUUGUCGUCUCGCCACCUUAUUGCUUUUACGACUAUCGCUACCGCUUAGGGAUAAAGUAAAACUAUUACAUGGCGAUUGCAUCUCAUACAAUAAAGCGACAACCAUAUGGCUCCUGCCAGUUGCCGAUAAUUCGGUUACAAAACAUGAUCAUCUCAUACAACACAUUAUAUCACAUCAUGUCUUGACCAUAUCACAUCACAACAUGCCCUGCAAAAACAAGUUAGACGUCCUCUACUUUGUUGUUGCAUGUUUUACGUGGUUGCUACUGGCUUAGCAAGAACCGUUCUUACCUACGCAUCAAAACCACAACGAUAGUUUGUCAAGUUGGUGCUGUUUUAACCUUCGCAAGAACCGGGCGUAGCCACACUCGGUUCAACUAAAGUGAGAGAGACAGACACCCGCCGGUCACCUUUAAGCAACGAGUGCUCGCAACGGUGAAACCAGUCUCGCGUAAGCGUACGCGUAAUGUCGGUCCGGACCGCUUCAUCUCACAAUACCGCUGAACCAAAGUAUGACAUGCUGGUAAGCAGUAUGACUUAUAUUGCCCACAACUCACUUGUGUUCUACUCGUGCAUAGCAUCAACGCAUAAAACCAGGCUCUGAUACCACUGUUGGGGAACGUAGUAAUUUCAAAAAAUUUCCUACGCACACGCAAGAUCAUGGUGAUGCAUAGCAACGAGAGGGGAGAGUGUUGUCCACGUACCCUCGUAGACCGACAGCGGAAGCGUUAUCACAACGCGGUUGAUGUAGUCGUAUGUCUUCACGAUCCGACCGAUCAAGUACCGAACGUACGGCACCUCCGAGUUCUACACACGUUCAGCUCGAUGACGUCCCUCGAACUCCGAUCCAGCCGAGUGUUGAGGGAGAGUUUCGUCAGCACGACGGCGUGGUGACGAUGAUGAUGUUCCACCGACGUAGGGCUUCGCCUAAGCUCCGCAACGGUAUUAUCGAGGUGUAAUAUGGUGGAGGGGGGCACCGCACACGGCUAAGAGAUCUCAAGGAUCAAUUGUUGUGUCUCUGGGGUGCCCCCCUGCCCCCGUAUAUAAAGGAGCAAGGGAGGAGGAGGCCGGCCCUAGGAGGGGGCGCACCAAGUGUGGAGUCCUACUAGGACUCCCUAGUCCUAGUAGGAUUCCACCUCCCAUAUGGAAUAGGAAAAAAGGAAGGGAAAAAGAGAAGGAAGGAAGGGUGCGUCCCCCUUCCCUAGUCCAAUUCGGACCAGACUAAGGGGAGGGGUGCGGCCACCCUUGAGGCUCUUUUCCUUCUUUCCCGUAUGGCCCAAUAAGGCACAAUACGUAUUCCCGUAACUCUCCGGUACUCCGAAAAAUACCCGAAUCACUCGGAACCUUUCCGAAGUCCGAAUAUAGUCGUCCAAUAUAUCGAUUUUUACGUCUCGACCAUUUCGAGACUCCUCGUCAUAUCCCCGAUCUCAUCUGGGACUCCGAUCUCCUUCGGUACAGCAAAACUCAAUAAAACUGUCAUCGUAACGUUAAGCGUGCGGACCCUACGGGUUCGAGAACUAUGUAGACAUGACCGAGACACGUCUCCGGUCAAUAACCAAUAGCGGGACCUGGAUGCCCAUAUUGGCUCCCACAUAUUCUACGAAGAUCUUUAUCGGUCAGACCGCAUAACAACAUACGUUGUUCCCUUUGUCACCGGUAUGUUACUUGCCCGAGAUUUGAUCGUCGGUAUCUCGAUACCUAGUUCAAUCUCGUUACCGGCAAGUCUCUUUACUCGUUCCAUAACACAUCAUCCCGCAACUAACUCAUUAGUCACAAUGCUUGCAAGGCUUAUAGUGAUGUGCAUUACCGAGUGGGCCCAGAGAUACCUCUCCGACAAUUGGAGUGACAAAUCCUAAUCUCGAAAUACGCCAACCCAACAAGUACCUUUGGAGACACCUGUAGAGUACCUUUAUAAUCACCCAUUUACGUUGUGACGUUUGGUAGCACACAAAGUGUUCCUCCGGUAAACGGGAGUUGCAUAAUCUCAUAGUCAUAGGAACAUGUAUAAGUCAUGAAGAAAGCAAUAGCAACAUACUAAACGAUCGAGUGCUAAGCUAACGGAAUGGGUCAAGUCAAUCACGUCAUUCUCCUAAUGAGGUGAUCUCGUUAAUCAAAUGACAACUUAUGUCUAUGGCUAGGAAACAUAACCAUCUUUGAUUAACGAGCUAGUCAAGUAGAGGCAUACUAGUGACACUCUGUUUGUCUAUGUAUUCACACAUGUAUUAUGUUUCCGGUUAAUACAAUUCUAGCAUGAAUAAUAAACAUUUAUCAUGAUAUAAGGAAAUAAAUAAUAACUUUAUUAUUGCCUCUAGGGCAUAUUUCCUUCAGCCGCUGCAUCGGCUCUUCUCCCUUGCUGCUGAGAGAGGUUUGCUUGCCCCCCUUGCGCGAUCCGGGCUGCACCAGAGGAUGCACAUCUUUGCGGACGACGUCAUUCUUUUCCUUAAGCCGAUGGAGACCAUGCUGCAGCUCUGCAUAGACCUGUUGGAUGCCUUUGGACAGGCAUCGGGCCUUCGAGUGAACCUAGCCAAAACCUCGGCCGUGCCCAUAAGGUGUUCAAAAGAUCAGUCAAGGCUCAUCGCAUCUUCCUUGGGAUGCACGAUUGGGGCCUUCCCAUGCAAAUAUCUGGGUCUCCCCUUGAGCAUCCGAAAGCUGUCAGCCCCGCAGCUGCACGACUUGGUUCAUCAGGUGGCACGCAUGCUGCCUCACUAGAAGGGGGCGAUGCUGCCCAUAAGCAGUCGGCUAACGCUCAUCAAAUUUGUCCUUUGUGCUAUCCCGAUACAUGCGAUGCUGGCGCUCAACAUGCCGCAGAAGACGAUCACGGCUAUUUCAAAGAUUUGUCGGGGCUUUCUCUGGUGCGGGAAAGCGGAGGCCAACGGUGGCCAGUGCAAGGUUGCUUGGAGGUUGGUCUGUGCGACCAAGUGGGCGGGAGGGCUCGGAAUUCCGGACCUCACAUGGCUUAACUACGCCCUCCAAGCCCGCUGGCCGUGGCUUCAACACACGGACGCCUCACGACCAUGGGUGGAGUUUCACAUUGAGGUUCCCCGCGAGGCUCGCCAGAUCUUUCAGGCCGCGACGAUCACGAGAAUUGGCAAUGGCAAGAAUGCGUUCUUCUGGGAGGACAGGUGGAUCCAGGGCAUGAGGGUGCAGGACCUCGUGCCAGGCCUGUACAUGCGGGUGCGAAAGAAGGUCCGAGCUGCUCGCACCGUCUGCGAGGUGAUACGUCUCCAACGUAUCUAUAAUUUUUUAUUGUUCCAUGCUAUAUUAUAUUCUGUUUUGGACAUUAUUGGGCUUUAUUAUACACUUUUAUAUUAUUUUUGGGACUAACCUAUUAACCGAAGGCCCAGCCCAGAAUUGCUGUUUUUUUGCCUAUUUCAGAGUUUCGCAGAAAAAGAAUAUCAAACGGAGUCCAAAUGGAAUUAAACCUUCGGGAACGUGAUUUUCGGAACGAACGUGAUCCAGAGGACUUGGACCCUACGUCAAGACAUCAACCAGGAAGGCACGAGGUAGGGGGGCGCGCCCUCCACCCUCGUGGGGCCCAUGUUGCUCCACCGAUAUACUUCUUCCUCCUAUAUAUACCUACGUACCCCCAAACUACCAGAUACGGAGCCAAAAACCUUAUUCCACCGCCGCAACCUUCUGUACCCGUGAGUGUUGGAAAUAUGCCCUAGAGGCAAUAAUAAAUGGUUAUUAUUAUAUUUCUUUGUUCAUGGUAAUUGUCUAUUGUUCAUGCUAUAAUUGUGUUAUCCGGAAAUCGUAAUGCAUGUGUGAAUACAUAGACCACAACGUGUCCCUAGUAAGCCUCUAGUUGACUAGCUCGUUGAUCAACAGAUAGUCAUGGUUUCCUGACUAUGGACAUUGGAUGUCAUUGAUAACGGGAUCACAUCAUUAGGAGAAUGAUGUGAUGGACAAGACCCAAUCCUAAGCAUAGCUCAAAGAUCGUGUAGUUCGUUUGCUAGAGCUUUUCCAAUGUCAAGUAUCUUCUCCUUAGACCAUGAGAUCGUGCAACUCCCGGAUACCGUAGGAGUACUUUGGGUGUGCCAAACGUCACAACCUAACUGGGUGACUAUAAAGGUACACUACGGGUAUCUCUAAAGGUACACACACUUAUGGAGAAGCCUGUGUUUACAAGAAAGUGAGUGGGAGCUCUGUAGCAUUUCUCUUAUUGUAUGUGGAUGACAUACUAUUGAUGGGAAAUGAUAUAGAAUUCUUGGAAAGUAUAAAGGCCUAUUUGAAUAAGUGUUUUUCAAUGAAGGACCUUGGAGAAGCUGCUUAUAUAUUAGGCAUCAAGAUCUAUAGAGAUAGAUCAAGACGCCUCAUUGGUCUUUCACAGAGUACGUACCUUGACAAGAUAUUGAAGAAGUUCAAUAUGGAUCAGUCCAAGAAGGGGUUCUUGCCUGUAUUGCAAGGUGUGCAAUUGAGCACGGCUCAAUGCCCGACCACGGCAGAAGAUAGAGAAAAGAUGAGUGUCAUCCCCUAUGCCUCGGCCAUAGGGUCUAUUAUGUAUGCCAUGUUGUGUACCAGACCUGAUGUAAACCUUGCCGUAAGUUUGGUAGGAAGGUACCAAAGUAAUCCCGGCAUGGAACACUGGACAGCGGUCAAGAAUACCCUGAAGUACCUGAAGAGGACUAAGGAUAUGUUUCUCGUUUAUGGAGGGGACGAAGAGCUCGUCGUAAAGGGUUACGUCGACGCUAGCUUCGACACAGAUCUGGAUGACUCGAAGUCACAAACCGGAUACGUGUAUAUUUUGAAUGGAGGAGCAGUAAGCUGGUGCAGUUGCAAGCAAAGCGUCGUGGCGGGAUCUACAUGUGAAGCGGAGUACAUGGCAGCCUCGGAGGCAGCAGAGGAAGCAGUCUGGAUGAAGAAGUUCAUUACCGACCUAGGGGUGAUUCCCAAUGCGUCGGGCCCGAUGACUCUCUUCUGUGACCACACUGGAGCUAUUGCCCUUGCCAAGGAGCCCAAGUUUCACAGGAAGACCAGGCAUAUCAAGCGUCGCUUCAACUCCAUUCGUGAAAGUGUUCAAAAUGGAGACAUAGAUAUUUGUAAAGUACGCACGGACCUGAAUGUAGCAGAUCCGUUGACUAAACCUCUCCCUAGAGCAAAACAUGAUCAACACCAGGACGCAAUGGGUGUUCGAUUCAUCACAAUGUAACUAGAUUAUUGACUCUAGUGCAAGUGGGAGACUGUUGGAAAUAUGCCCUAGAGGCAAUAAUAAAUGGUUAUUAUUAUAUUUCUUUGUUCAUGGUAAUUGUCUAUUGUUCAUGCUAUAAUUGUGUUAUCCGGAAAUCGUAAUGCAUGUGUGAAUACAUAGACCACAACGUGUCCCUAGUAAGCCUCUAGUUGACUAGCUCGUUGAUCAACAGAUAGUCAUGGUUUCCUGACUAUGGACAUUGGAUGUCAUUGAUAACGGGAUCACAUCAUUAGGAGAAUGAUGUGAUGGACAAGACCCAAUCCUAAGCAUAGCUCAAAGAUCGUGUAGUUCGUUUGCUAGAGCUUUUCCAAUGUCAAGUAUCUUCUCCUUAGACCAUGAGAUCGUGCAACUCCCGGAUACCGUAGGAGUACUUUGGGUGUGCCAAACGUCACAACCUAACUGGGUGACUAUAAAGGUACACUACGGGUAUCUCCAAAAGUGUGUGUUGGGUUGGCACGGAUCGAGACUGGGAUUUGUCACUCCGUAUGACGGAGAGGUAUCUCUGGGCCCACUCGGUAAUGCAUCAUCAUAAUGAGCUCAGUGUGACUAAGGAGUUAGUCACGGGAUCAUGCAUUGCGGUACGAGUAAAGAGACUUGCCGGUAACGAGAUUGAACAAGGUAUUGGGAUACCGACGAUCGAAUCUCGGGCAAGUAACAUACCGAUUGACAAAGGGAAUUGUAUAUGGGAUUGAUUGAAUCCUCGACAUCGUGGUUUAUCCGAUGAGAUCAUCGUGGAACAUGUGGGAGCCAACAUGGGUAUCCAGAUCCCGCUGUUGGUUAUUGACCGGAGAGGCAUCUCGGUCAUGUCUGCAUGUCUCCCGAACCCGUAGGGUCUACACACUUAAGGUUCGGUGACGCUAGGGUUGUAGAGAUAUGAGUAUGCGGAAACCCGAAAGUUGUUCGGAGUCCCGGAUGAGAUCCCGGACGUCACGAGGAGUUCCGGAAUGGUCCGGAGGUGAAGAAUUAUAUAUAGGAAGUCAAGUUUCGGCCACCGGGAAAGUUUCGGGGGUCACCGGUAUUGUACCGGGACCACCGGAAGGGUCCCGGGGGUCCACCGGGUGGGGCCACCUAUCCCGGAGGGCCCCAUGGGCUGAAGUGGGAAGGGAACCAGCCCUUAGUGGGCUGGGGCGCCCCCCAUGGGCCUCCCCCUGCGCCUAGGGUUGGAAACCCUAGGGUAGGGGGGCGCCCUACAUGCCUUGGGGGGCAAGUCUCCCCCCUGGCCGCCGCCCCCCCAUGCAGAUGGGUCUUGGCCGGCGCCCCCCCUCCCAGGGGGCCUAUAUAAAGGGGGGGAGGGCAGCAGUACUACAGCCUUUGGCGCCUCCCUCCUCCCCUGCAACACCUCUCCCUCUCGCAGAAGCUCGGCGAAGCCCUGCCGAGAUCCCGCUAUAUCCACCACCACGCCGUCGUGCUGCUGGAUCUCCAUCAACCUCUCCUUCCCCCUUGCUGGAUCAAGAAGGAGGAGACGUCGCUGCUCCGUACGUGUGUUGAACGCGGAGGUGCCGUCCGUUCGGCACUCGGUCAUCGGUGAUUUGGAUCACGGCGAGUACGACUCCAUCAACCUCGUUCAUUGGAACGCUUCCGCUCGCGAUCUACAUGGGUAUGUAGAUGCACUCCUUUCCCCUCGUUGCUAGUAUACUCCAUAGAUGGAUAUUGCUGAUGCGUAGGAAAUUUUAAAAAUUCUGCUACAAUCCCGAACAGUGGCAUCAUGAGCCAGGCCUAUGCGUAGUUACUAUGCACGAGUAGAACACAAAGCAGUUGUGGGCGUAGAUGUUGCCAAUUCUUCUUGCCGCUACUAGUCUUAUCUUGUUUCGGCGGUAUUGUGGGAUGAAGCGGCCCGGACCGACCUUACACGUACGCUUACGUGAGACAGGUUCCACCGACUGACAUGCACUAGUUGCAUAAGGUGGCUAGCGGGUGUCUGUCUCUCCCACUUUAGUCGGAACGGAUUCGAUGAAAAGGGUCUUUAUGAAGGGUAAAUAGAAAUUGGCAUAUCACGUUGUGGUUUUACGUAGGUAAGAAACGUUCUUGGUAGAAACCUAUACAAGCCACGUAAAAAACUUGCAACAACAAUUAGAGGACGUCUAACUUGUUUAUGCAGCAUGUGCUAUGUGAUGUGAUAUGGCCAGAAGAUGUGAUGAAUGAUAUAUGUGAUGUAUGAGAUUGAUCAUAUCUUGUAAUAGGAAUCACGACUUGCAUGUCGAUGAGUAUGACAACCGGCUGGAGCCAUAGGAGUUGUCUUUAUUUUUUGUAUGACCUGCGAGUCAUUGAAUAACGCCAUGUAAAUUACUUUACUUUCUUGCUAAACGCGUUAGCCAUAGAAGUAGAAGUAAUCGUUGGCGUGACGACUUCAUGAAGACACAAUGAUGGAGAUCAUGAUGAUGGAGAUCAUGGUGUCAUGCCGGUGACGAAGAUGAUCAUGGUGCUCCGAAGAUGGAGAUCAAAGGAGCAAAAUGAUAUUGGCCAUAUCAUGUCACUAUUUGAUUGCAUGUGAUGUUUAUCAUGUUUUGCAUCUUAUUUGCUUAGAACGACGGUAGUAAGUAAGAUGAUCCCUUAUAAUAAUUUCAAGAAAGUGUUCACCCUAACUGUGCACCGUUGCGAAGGUUCGUUGUUUCGAAGCACCACGUGAUGAUCGGGUGUGAUAGAUUCUAACGUUCGCAUACAACGGGUGUUGACGAGCCUAGCAUGUACAGACAUGGCCUCGGAACACACGCAAUACACUUAGGUUGACUUGACGAGCCUAGCAUGUACAGACAUGGCCUCGGAACACGGAGGACCGAAAGGUCGAGCAUGAGUCGUAUAGAAGAUACGAUCAACAUGGAGAUGUUCACCGAUCUUGACUAGUCCGUCUCACGUGAUGAUCGGACACGGCCUAGUUAACUCGGAUCAUGUUUCACUUAGAUGACUAGAGGGAUGUCUAUCUGAGUGGGAGUUCAUUGAGUAAUUUGAUUAGAUGAACUUAAUUAUCAUGAACUUAGUCUAAAAUCUUUACAAUAUGUCUUGUAGAUCAAAUGGCCCACGUUGUCCUCAACUUCAACGCGUUCCUAGAGAAAACCAAGCUGAAAGAUGAUGGCAGCAACUAUACGGACUGGGUCCGGAACCUGAGGAUCAUCCUCAUAGCUGCCAAGAAAGAUUAUGUCCUAGAAGCACCGCUAGGUGAAGCACCAAUCCCAGAGAACCAAGACGUUAUGAACACUUGGCAAUCACGUGCAGAUGAUUACUCCCUCGUUCAGUGCGGCAUGCUUUACAGCUUAGAACCGGGUCUCCAAAAGCGUUUUGAGAAACAUGGAGCAUAUGAGAUGUUCGAAGAGCUGAAAAUGGUUUUCCAAGCUCAUGCCCGGGUCGAGAGAUAUGAAGUCUCCGACAAGUUCUUCAGCUGUAAAAAGGAGGAAAAUAGUUCUGUUAGUGAGAACAUACUCAGAAUGUCUGGGUUGCACAACCGCUUGUCUCAGCUGGGAGUUAAUCUCCCGGAUGACGCGGUCAUUGACAGAAUCCUUCAGUCGCUUCCACCAAGCUACAAGAGCUUUGUGAUGAACUUCAAUAUGCAGGGGAUGGAAAAGACCAUUCCCGAGGUAUAUUCAAUGCUAAAAUCAGCGGAGGUGGAGAUCAGAAAAGAACAUCAAGUGUUGAUGGUGAAUAAAACCACUAAGUUCAAGAAGGGCAAGGGUAAGAAGAACUUCAAGAAGGACGGCAAGGGAGUUGCCGCGCCCGGUAAGCCAGUUACUGGGAAGAAGCCAAGGAAUGGACCCAAGCCUGAGACUGAGUGCUUUUAUUGCAAGGGAAGUGGUCACUGGAAGCGGAACUGCCCCAAAUACUUAGUGGACAAGAAGGCCGGCAACACCAAAGGUAUAUGUGAUAUACAUGUAAUUGAUGUGUACCUUACCAGUACUCGUAGUAGCUCCUGGGUAUUUGAUACCGGUGCGGUUGCUCAUAUUUGUAACUCAAAACAGGAACUGCGGAAUAAACGGAGACUGGCAAAGGACGAGGUGACGAUGCGCGUCGGGAAUGGUUCCAAGGUCGAUGUGAUCGCCGUCGGCAUGCUACCUCUGCAUUUACCUACGGGAUUAGUUUUAAACCUCAAUAAUUGUUAUUUAGUGCCAGCUUUGAGCAUGAACAUUGUAUCUGGAUCUCGUUUAAUUCGAGAUGGCUACUCAUUUAAAUCCGAGAAUAAUGGUUGUUCUAUUUAUUUGAGAGAUGUGUUUUAUGGUCAUGCCCCGCUGGUCAAUGGUUUAUUCUUGAUGAAUCUCGAACGUGAUGUUACACAUAUUCAUAGUGUGAAUACCAAAAGAUGUAACGUUGAUAACGAUAGUCCCACAUACUUGUGGCACUGCCGCCUUGGUCACAUUGGUGUCAAGCGCAUGAAGAAGCUCCAUGCAGAUGGACUUUUGGAGUCUCUUGAUUACGAAUCAUUUGACACGUGCGAACCAUGCCUCAUGGGUAAGAUGACCAAGACUCCGUUCUCCGGAACAAUGGAGCGAGCAACCAACUUAUUGGAAAUCAUACAUACCGAUGUGUGCGGUCCAAUGAGUGUUGAGGCUCGCGGAGGAUAUCGUUAUGUUCUCACUCUCACUGAUGACUUAAGUAGAUAUGGGUAUGUCUACCUAAUGAAACACAAGUCUGAAACCUUUGAAAAGUUCAAGGAAUUUCAGAGUGAGAUUGAGAAUCAACGUGACAGGAAAAUAAAAUUCUUACGAUCAGAUCGUGGUGGAGAAUAUUUAAGUCACGAAAUUGGUGCGCACUUAAGGAAAUGUGGAAUCGUUUCACAACUCACGCCGCCUGGAACACCCCAGCGAAACGGUGUGUCCGAACGUCGUAAUCGCACUCUAUUGGAUAUGGUGCGAUCUAUGAUGUCUCUUACUGAUUUACCGCUCUCAUUUUGGGGCUAUGCUUUAGAGACUGCCGCAUUCACUUUAAACAGGGCUCCGUCGAAAUCCGUUGAGACGACACCGUAUGAAUUAUGGUUUGGGAAGAAACCUAAGCUGUCGUUUCUAAAAGUUUGGGGAUGCGAUGCUUAUGUCAAGAAACUUCAACCUGAAAAGCUCGAACCCAAGUCGGAGAAAUGCAUCUUCAUAGGAUACCCUAAGGAAACUAUUGGGUAUACCUUCUACCUCAGAUCCGAAGGCAAGAUCUUCGUUGCCAAGAACGGGUCCUUUCUGGAGAAAGAGUUUCUCUCAAAAGAAUUAAGUGGGAGGAAAGUGGAACUUGAUGAGGUGAUAGUCACCCCUUCCGAACCGGAAAGUAGCGCAGCGCGGGAAGAUGUUCCUGUGGUGCCUACACCGACUGGGGAGGAAGUUAAUGAUGAUGAUCAUGAAGCUUCGGAUCAAGUUACUACUGAACUUCGUAGGUCCACAAGGACACGUUCCGCACCAGAGUGGUACGGCAACCCUGUCCUGGAAAUCAUGUUGUUAGACAACGGUGAACCUUCGAACUAUGAAGAAGCGAUGGCGGGCCCGGAUUCUGACAAAUGGCUAGAAGCCAUGAAAUCUGAGAUAGGAUCCAUGUAUGAAAACGAAGUAUGGACUUUGACUGACUUGCCCGAUGAUCGGCGAGCCAUAGAAAACAAAUGGAUCUUUAAGAAGAAGACAGGCGCGGAUGGUAAUGUGACCAUCUAUAAGGCUCGACUUGUCGCUAAGGGUUAUCGACAAGUUCAAGGGGUUGACUAUGAUGAGACUUUCUCACUCGUAGCGAAGCUGAAGUCCGUCCGAAUCAUGUUAGCAAUUGCCGCAUACUAUGAUUAUGAGAUAUGGCAGAUGGACGUCAAAACGGCAUUCCUUAAUGGCUUCCUUAAGAAAGAAUUGUAUAUGAUGCAGCCGGAAGGUUUUGUCGAUCCUAAGAAUGCUAACAAAGUAUGCAAGCUCCAGCGCUCAAUCUAUGGGCUGGUGCAAGCAUCUCGAAGUUGGAACAUUCGCUUUGAUGAGAUGAUCAAAGCGUUUGGGUUUACACAGACUUAUGGAGAAGCCUGUGUUUACAAGAAAGUGAGUGGGAGCUCUGUAGCAUUUCUCUUAUUGUAUGUGGAUGACAUACUAUUGAUGGGAAAUGAUAUAGAAUUCUUGGAAAGUAUAAAGGCCUAUUUGAAUAAGUGUUUUUCAAUGAAGGACCUUGGAGAAGCUGCUUAUAUAUUAGGCAUCAAGAUCUAUAGAGAUAGAUCAAGACGCCUCAUUGGUCUUUCACAGAGUACGUACCUUGACAAGAUAUUGAAGAAGUUCAAUAUGGAUCAGUCCAAGAAGGGGUUCUUGCCUGUAUUGCAAGGUGUGCAAUUGAGCACGGCUCAAUGCCCGACCACGGCAGAAGAUAGAGAAAAGAUGAGUGUCAUCCCCUAUGCCUCGGCCAUAGGGUCUAUUAUGUAUGCCAUGUUGUGUACCAGACCUGAUGUAAACCUUGCCGUAAGUUUGGUAGGAAGGUACCAAAGUAAUCCCGGCAUGGAACACUGGACAGCGGUCAAGAAUACCCUGAAGUACCUGAAGAGGACUAAGGAUAUGUUUCUCGUUUAUGGAGGGGACGAAGAGCUCGUCGUAAAGGGUUACGUCGACGCUAGCUUCGACACAGAUCUGGAUGACUCGAAGUCACAAACCGGAUACGUGUAUAUUUUGAAUGGAGGAGCAGUAAGCUGGUGCAGUUGCAAGCAAAGCGUCGUGGCGGGAUCUACAUGUGAAGCGGAGUACAUGGCAGCCUCGGAGGCAGCACAGGAAGCAGUCUGGAUGAAGAAGUUCAUUACCGACCUAGGGGUGAUUCCCAAUGCGUCGGGCCCGAUGACUCUCUUCUGUGACCACACUGGAGCUAUUGCCCUUGCCAAGGAGCCCAAGUUUCACAGGAAGACCAGGCAUAUCAAGCGUCGCUUCAACUCCAUUCGUGAAAGUGUUCAAAAUGGAGACAUAGAUAUUUGUAAAGUACGUACGGACCUGAAUGUAGCAGAUCCGUUGACUAAACCUCUCCCUAGAGCAAAACAUGAUCAACACCAGGACGCAAUGGGUGUUCGAUUCAUCACAAUGUAACUAGAUUAUUGACUCUAGUGCAAGUGGGAGACUGUUGGAAAUAUGCCCUAGAGGCAAUAAUAAAUGGUUAUUAUUAUAUUUCUUUGUUCAUGGUAAUUGUCUAUUGUUCAUGCUAUAAUUGUGUUAUCCGGAAAUCGUAAUGCAUGUGUGAAUACAUAGACCACAACGUGUCCCUAGUAAGCCUCUAGUUGACUAGCUCGUUGAUCAACAGAUAGUCAUGGUUUCCUGACUAUGGACAUUGGAUGUCAUUGAUAACGGGAUCACAUCAUUAGGAGAAUGAUGUGAUGGACAAGACCCAAUCCUAAGCAUAGCUCAAAUAUCGUGUAGUUCGUUUGCUAGAGCUUUUCCAAUGUCAAGUAUCUUCUCCUUAGACCAUGAGAUCGUGCAACUCCCGGAUACCGUAGGAGUACUUUGGGUGUGCCAAACGUCACAACCUAACUGGGUGACUAUAAAGGUACACUACGGGUAUCUCCGAAAGUGUCUGUUGGGUUGGCACGGAUCGAGACUGGGAUUUGUCACUCUGUAUGACGGAGAGGUAUCUCUGGGCCCACUCGGUAAUGCAUCAUCAUAAUGAGCUCAGUGUGACUAAGGAGUUAGUCACGGGAUCAUGCAUUGCGGUACGAGUAAAGAGACUUGCCGGUAACGAGAUUGAACAAGGUAUUGGGAUACCGACGAUCGAAUCUCGGGCAAGUAACAUACCGAUUGACAAAGGGAAUUGUAUACGGGAUUGAUUGAAUCCUCGACAUCGUGGUUUAUCCGAUGAGAUCAUCGUGGAACAUGUGGGAGCCAACAUGGGUAUCCAGAUCCCGCUGUUGGUUAUUGACCGGAGAGGCAUCUCGGUCAUGUCUGCAUGUCUCCCGAACCCGUAGGGUCUACACACUUAAGGUUCGGUGACGCUAGGGUUGUAGAGAUAUGAGUAUGCGGAAACCCGAAAGUUGUUCGGAGUCCCGGAUGAGAUCCCGGACGUCACGAGGAGUUCCGGAAUGGUCCGGAGGUGAAGAAUUAUAUAUAGGAAGUCAAGUUUCGGCCACCGGGAAAGUUUCGGGGGUCACCGGUAUUGUACCGGGACCACCGGAAGGGUCCCGGGGGUCCACCGGGUGGGGCCACCUAUCCCGGAGGGCCCCAUGGGCUGAAGUGGGAAGGGAACCAGCCCUUAGUGGGCUGGGGCGCCCCCCAUGGGCCUCCCCCUGCGCCUAGGGUUGGAAACCCUAGGGUGGGGGGGCGCCCUACAUGCCUUGGGGGGCAAGUCUCCCCCCUGGCCGCCGCCCCCCCAUGCAGAUGGGUCUUGGCCGGCGCCCCCCCUCCCAGGGGGCCUAUAUAAAGGGGGGGAGGGAGGGCAGCAGUACUACAGCCUUUGGCGCCUCCCUCCUCCCCUGCAACACCUCUCCCUCUCGCAGAAGCUCGGCGAAGCCCUGCCGAGAUCCCGCUAUAUCCACCACCACGCCGUCGUGCUGCUGGAUCUCCAUCAACCUCUCCUUCCCCCUUGCUGGAUCAAGAAGGAGGAGACGUCGCUGCUCCGUACGUGUGUUGAACGCGGAGGUGCCGUCCGUUCGGCACUCGGUCAUCGGUGAUUUGGAUCACGGCGAGUACGACUCCAUCAAGCUCGUUCAUUGGAACGCUUCCGCUCGCGAUCUACAAGGGUAUGUAGAUGCACUCCUUUCCCCUCAUUGCUAGUAUACUCCAUAGAUGGAUAUUGGUGAUGCGUAGGAAAUUUUAAAAAUUCUGCUACGAUCCCCAACAGUGAGAUACCAUCUUGGGGCCUUUUCCGGAGUCCGCCGGAGGGGGCAUCGAUCACGGAGGGCUUCUACAUCAACACCAUAGCCUCUCCAAUGAUGUGUGAGUAGUUUACCUCAGACCUUCGGGUCCAUAGUUAUUAGCUAGAUGGCUUCUUCUCUCUUUUUGGAUCUCAAUACAAUGUUCUCCCCUCUCUUGUGGAGAUCUAUUCGAUGUAAUCUUGUUUUGCGGUGUGUUUGUUGAGACCGAUGAAUUGUAGGUUUAGGAUCAAGUUUAUCUAUGAACAAUAUUUGAAUCUUCUCUGAAUUCUUUGAUGUAUGAUUGGUUAUCUUUGCAUGUCUCUUUGAAUUAUCAGUUUGGUUUGGCCUACUAGAUUGAUCUUUCUUGCAAUUGGAGAAGUGCUUAGCUUUGGGUUCAAUCUUGCGGUGUCCUUUCCCAGUGACAGUAGGGGCAGCAAGGCACGUAUUGUAUUGUUGCCAUCGAGUAUAACAAGAUGGGGUUUAUAUCAUAUUGCAUGAAUUUAUCCCUCUACAUCAUGUCAUCUUACUUAAAGCGUUACUCUGUUCUUUUGAACUUAAUACUCUAGAUGCAUGCCGGAUAGCGGUCGAUAUGUGGAGUAAUAGUAGUAGAUGCAAGCAGGAGUCGGUCUACUUGUCUCGGACGUGAUGCCUAUAUACAUGAUUAUACCUAGAUAUUCUCAUAACUAUGCUCAAUUCUGUCAAUUGCUCAACAGUAAUUUCUUUACCCACCGUAAUACUUAUGCUCUCGAGAGAAGCCACUAGUGAAACCUAUGGCCCCCGGGUCUAUUUUCCAUAAUAUUUAAUCUCCCGACAACAAGCUAUUUCUUUCGCCGUUUUUAUUUUGCUUUCUUUACUUUGCAUCUUUAUCAUAAAAAUACCAAAAAUAUUAUCUUAUCAUAUCUAUCAGAUCUUACUCUCGUAAGUGGCCGCGAAGGGAUUGGCAACCCCUUAGUGCGUUGGUUGCGAGGAUUUAUUUGUUUGUGUAGGUGCGAGGGACUCGUGCGUGGCCUCCUACUGGAUUGAUACCUUGGUUCUCAAAAACUGAGGGAAAUACUGCAUCACCCUUUCCUCUUCAAGGGAAAACCAACGCAGUGCUCAAGAGGUAGCAAGAAGGAUUUCUGGCGCCGUUGCCGGGGAGUCUACGCAAAAGUUAACAUACCAAGUACCCAUAACAAACCCUUAUCUCCCGCAUUACAUUAUUUGCCAUUUGCCUCUCGUUUUCCUCUCCCCCACUUCACCCUCGCCAUUUUGUUCGCCCUCUCUUUUUCGUUCGCCUUCUUCCCAUAUGUAUCUUUGUUUGUGUUUCCUUGUGCCUUCUAUAUGCUUGCAUGUUCGCUUGCUGAAAAUCUAUUGAUAUGGAUCCACUUAAAGUGUUCUACUUGGAUCAUCUUCGAUCCUUAUGCGCUCGUGUUGAAACCCCAACUAGCCUAGUUGAUGGGAAAUCUUUAGAUGAGCAUGCUCAUUUUGUGCGUCAUCAUUUGUCUGAAAAAGGGAAGCUCUGAUGGUAUCAUAUAAAUAGUUUGCUAUGCUAUGCUUGGAAUCUUUAUGAAAUUUGUGAUUUUACUUGUUGCUCUAAGAACCCUAAAAAACACCUUCCCUACCUAUGUGAGUUCAAUGAUAAUGAAAUCUUAUCUUCUUAUGCAAAGGGUGUUUAUAGCUACUAUGAUAUCGAACAAAUUGAAGAAUUUGUCGUUUUUAAGGGUGCUCAUGAAGUUGCUUCUUUGAUUGAAAAGUAUGAUUUUACUCUCAACAAAUCUGAAAAUUCCGUCAUACUUAAAUAUUGCAAUGAAAACUUUGCUCAUAAUGUCUAUGUCCAAGAAUUUAUUGAAAGAAUGACCGUUGCUUUGGAAGAAAAUAAUGAUAUGCAUGAAUCUAUAGAUAAUGAUGAUUCCGAUGAUUUGGUUGAAAUAUCCCUUGAUGAACAUGAUGCUCGCUAUUCUUGUGGCCAUGAUGCCAAUAUUUAUGAAGACGAAUUUGCUAUAGUUCCUUAUGUUAAAAAUGAGAUUGUUGCUAUUGCACCCAUGCUUGAUAGUUCCCUCGAUGAAAAGCAUGAUUUCAAUGAUUUUACUAUAAAUUCUCUUGAUGUCAAUUGUGCUAAUAAUAUGCAAAACCCUGAGCUUGGGGUUGCUAGUUUUGCUAUGUCUACUACUUGUUGCAGUGAUCAUGAUUGGGGUGAUUCGUGUUUUGAUCUUGAAAAUUUAUUUAAGCCCCAUGAUGAAUAUGAUAUUGAUAAUAGUGUUCGCAAUAUUAUUGAAAGUGGGUUUGGAGAGGUCCUGGCUUUAGUUAAUGUUAAUCCCACUAUUUUGGAAGAGUGUCAACUUUGCAUGCAUGUGGAUUGUGUUGAAAAUAUUUUAUGUGGUAGCUAUUUUGUUGAAUUUUCUGAUGAUCCCACAUGUAAUUAUUAUGAGAGAGGAAAAUAUGGAUGUAGAAAUUUUCAUGUUACUAAAUUACCUCUCGUUACGUUGAGAUUGCUAUUGUUUCUUUCCACUUCCUUGCAUAUGCUAGUUUUUGCUUGCUAUGAUCAUUUGUUUCCGUAUAAGAUGCUUAUGCAUAGGAAGUAUGUUAGCCUUAGAUGUGUUUGUCACAUGUUUUAUGAUGCUCUCUUUGCGCUUCAAUUCUUGUCUUUCAUGUGAGCAUCAUUAAAAUUAUCAAUGCCUAGCUAGGGGCGUUAAACGAUAGCGCUUGUUGGGAGGCAACCCAAUUUUAUUUUUAGUUUUUUGCUUUUUUGCUUCUGUUUAGGAAUAAAUAUUUGAUCUAGCCUCUGGUUAGAUGUGUUUUAUGUUUUAAUUAGUGUUUGUGCCAAGUUUAACCUAUAGGAUCUUCUUGGAUGAUAAUUAUUUGAUCUUGCUGAAAAUUCCAGAAACUUUCUGUUCACGAAAAUAAUUGUUAAAAAUCACCAGAACGUGAUAAAAUAUUGAUUCCAAUUGCUUCUGAUCAAUAAACAAAUUUUCUAGGUCUUCCUAUUUGUGCUGAAUUUUUGGAGUUCUAGAAGUUUGCGUUAGUUACAGAUUACUACAGACUGUUCUGUUUUUGACAGAUUGUGUUUUCCGUGUGUUGUUUGCUUAUUUUGAUGAAUCUAUGGCUGGUAAAAUAGUUUAUAAACCAUAGAGAAGUUGGAAUACAGUAGGUUUAACAUCCAUAUAAAUAAAGAAUGAGUUCAUUAUAGUACCUUGAAGUGGUGUUUUGUUUUCUUUCGCUAACGGAGCUCACGAGAUUUUCUGCCAAGUUUUGUGUUGUGAAGUUUUCAAGUUUUGGGUAAAAGAUUUGAUGAAUUAUGGAACAAGGAGUGGCAAGAGCCUAAGCUUGAGGAUGCCCAUGGCACCCCAAGAUAAUCUAAGGACACCUAAAAGCCAAAGCUUGGGUUCCCCGGAAGGCAUCCCCUCUUUUCGUCUACUUCCAUCGGUAACUUUACUUGGAGCUAUAUUUUUAUUCACCACAUGAUAUGUGUUUUGCUUGGAGCAUCUUGUAUUAUUUGCGUCUUUGUUUGUUAGUUCGACACAAUCAUCCUUGCUGUACACACCUUUUGAGAGAGACACACAUGAUUCGGAAAUUGUUAGAAUACUCUAUGUGCUUCACUUAUAUCUUUUGAGUUAUAUAGUUUUUGCUCUAGUGCUUCACUUAUAUCUUUUAGAGCACGGUGGUGGAUUUGUUUUAUAGAAACUAUUGUUCUCUCAUACUUCACUUAGAUUAUUUUGAGAGUCCUACAAAACAUCAUGGUAGUUUGCUUUAAUUAUGAUAGGCAUUCAAGAUUAGUAAAAAUAUAUUUAUGAGUGUGUUGAAUACUAUGAAAAGUUAGAUACUUGAUAAUUGUUUUGAGAUAUGGAGAUGGUGAUAUUAGAGUCAUGCUAGUUGAGUAGUUUUGAAUUUGAGAAAUACUUGUGUUAAAGUUUGUGAUCCCGUAGCAUGCACGUAUGGUGAAUCGUUAUGUGAUGAAGUCGGAGCAUGAUUUAUUUAUUGAUUGUCUUCCUUAUGAGUGGCGGUCGGGGACGAGCGAUGGUCUUUUCCUACCAAUCUAUCCCCCUAGGAGCAUGCACGUAAUACUUUGCUUUGAUAACUUGUAGAUUUUUGCAAUAAAUAUAUGAGUUCUUUAUGACUAAUGUUGAGUCCAUGGAUUAUACGCACUUUUCUUCCUUCCACCAUUGCUAGCCUCUCUAAUAUCGCGUACUUUUCUCCGGUAUCAUACACCCACCAUAUACCUUCCUCAAAAACAGCCACCAUACCUACCUAUCAUGGCAUUUCCAUAGCCAUUCCGAGAUAUAUUGCCAUGCAACUUACCACCGUUCCGUUUAUUAUGACACGCUCUAUCAUUGUCAUAUUGCUUCGCAUGAUCAUGUAGUUGACAUCAUAUUUGUGGCAAAGCCACCGUUCGUAAUUCUUUCAUACAUGUCACUCUUGAUUCAUUGCAUAUCCCGGUACACCGCCGGAGGCAUUCACAUAGAGUCAUAUUUUGUUCUAAGUAUUGAGUUAUAAUUGUUGAGUUGUAAGUAAAUAAAAAUGUGAUGAUUAUCAUUUUUAGAGCAUUGUCCCAAGUGAGGAAAGGAUGAUGGAGACUAUGAUUCCCCCAUAAGUCGGGAUGAGACUCCGGACUAAAAAAAAAAGAGAAAGGCCCAAAUAAAAAAAAUAUGAGAGAAAAAGAGAGAAGGGACAAUGUUACUAUCCUUUUACCACACUUGUGCUUCAAAGUAGCACCAUGAUCUUCAUGAUAGAGAGUCUCCUAUGAUAUCACUUUCAUAUACUAGUGGGAAAUUUUCAUUAUAGAACUUGGCUUGUAUAUUCCAAUGAUGGGCUUCCUCAAAAUGCCCUAGGUCUUCGUGAGCAAGCGAGUUGGAUGCACACCCACUUAGUUUCUUUUGUUGAGCUUUCAUAUACUUAUAGCUCUAGUGCAUCUGUUGCAUGGCAAUCCCUACUCACUCACAUUGAUAUCUAUUAAUGGGCAUCUCCGUAGCCCGUUGAUAUGCCCAGUUGAUGUGAGACCAUCUUCUCCUUUUUUUUGUCUUCUCCACAACCACCAUUCUGUUCCACAUAUAGUGCUAUAUCCAUGACUCACGCUCAUGUAUUGCGUGAAGAUUGAAAAAGUUUGAGAACAUCAAAAGUGUGAAACAAUUGCUUGGAUUGUCAUCGGGGUUGUGCAUGAUUUAAAUACUUUGUGUGGUGAAGAUAGAGCAUAGCCAGACUAUAUGAUUUUGUAGGGAUAACUUUCUUUGGCCAUGUUAUUUUGAGAAGACAUAAUUGCUUAGUUAGUAUGCUUGAAGUAUUAUUAUUUUUAUGUCAAUAUUAAACUUUUGUCUUUAAUCUUUCGGAUCUGAAUAUUCAUACCACGAUUAAGAGAAUUACAUUGAAAUUAUGCCAAGUAGCAUUCCACAUCAAAAAUUCUGUUUUUAUCAUUUAUCUACUCGAGGAUGAGCAGGAAUUAAGCUUGGGAUGCUUGAUACGUGUCCAACGUAUCUAUAAUUUUUUAUUGUUCCAUGCUAUAUUAUAUUCUGUUUUGGACAUUAUUGGGCUUUAUUAUACACUUUUAUAUUAUUUUUGGGACAAACCUAUUAACCGAAGGCCCAGCCCAGAAUUGCUGUUUUUAUCUAUUUCAGAGUUUCGCAGAAAAAGAAUAUCAAACGGAGUCCAAACGGAAUGAAACCUUCGGGAACGUGAUUUUUGGAACGAACGUGAUCCAGAGGACUUGGACCCUACGUCAAGACAUCAACCAGGAAGGCACGAGGUAGGGGGGCGCGCCCUCCACCCUCGUGGGGCCCACGUUGCUCCACCGACGUACUUCUUCCUCCUAUAUAUACCUACGUACCCCCAAACUACCAGAUACGGAGCCAAAAAUCUAAUUCCACCGCCGCAACCUUCUGUACCUGUGAGAUCCCAUCUUGGGGCCUUUUCCGGAGCUCUGCCGGAGGGGGCAUCGAUCAUGGAGGGCUUCUACAUCAACACCAUAGCCUCUCCGAUGAUGUGUGAGUAGUUUACCUCAGACCUUCAUGUCCAUAGUUAUUAGCUAGAUGGCUUCUUCUCUCUUUUUGGAUCUCAAUACAAUGUUCUCCCCCGCUCUUGUGGAGAUCUAUUCGAUGUAAUCUUCUUUUGCGGUGUGUUUGUUGAGACCGAUGAAUUGUGGGUUUAUGAUCAAGUUUAUUUAUGAACAAUAUUUGAAUCUUCUCUGAAUUCUUUUAUGUAUGAUUGGUUAUCUUUGCAAGUCUCUUCGAAUUAUCAGUUUGGUUUGGCCUACUAGAUUGAUGUUUCUUGCAAUUGGAGAAGUGCUUAGCUUUGGGUUCAAUCUUGCGGUGUCCUUUCCCAGUGACAGUAGGGGCAGCAAGGCACGUAUUGUAUUGUUGCCAUCGAGGAUAACAAAUUGGGGUUUAUAUCAUAUUGCAUGAAUUUAACCUUCUACAUCAUGUCAUCUUACUUAAAGCGUUACUCUAUUCUUUUGAACUUAAUACUCUAGAUGCAUGCUGGAUAGCGGUCGAUGUGUGGAGUAAUAGUAGUAGAUGCAGGCAGGAGUCGGUCUACUUGUCUCGGACGUGAUGCCUAUAUACAUGAUCAUACCUAGAUAUUCUCAUAACUAUGCUCAAUUCUGUCAAUUGCUCAACAGUAAUUUGUUUACCCACCGUAAUACUUAUGCUCUCGAGAGAAGCCACUAGUGAAACCUAUGGCUCCCGGGUCUAUUUUCCAUCAUAUUUAAUCUCCCGACAACAAGCUAUUUCUUUCGCCGUUUUUAUUUUGCUUUCUUUACUUUGCAUCUUUAUCAUAAAAAUACCAAAAAUAUUAUCUUAUCAUAUCUAUCAGAUCUUACUCUCGUAAGUGACCGCGACGGGAUUGACAACCCCUUAGUGCGUUGGUUGCGAGAAUUUAUUUGUUUGUGUAGGUGCGAGGGACUCGUGCGUGGCCUCCUACUGGAUUGAUACCUUGGUUCUCAAAAACUGAGGGAAAUACUUACGCUACUUUACUGCAUCACCCUUUCCUCUUCAAGGAAAAACCAACGCAGUGCUCAAGAGGUAGCAUGAGGCCAUGAGGAAUGGGGCAUGGGCCCUGGAUAUUGGGCCAGAUAUAGACACCACGAUGCUUUCUGAGGUGUUUGAGCUCUGGGAGAGGGUUAUGGAGGUGGAACUCCGGCCUACAGUGGAGGAUUCGACGGCAUGGGCCUGGGAGGCGAGCGGGAUGUACUCUGCUCGAUCAGCUUAUGCGGCUAAGUUUUGGGCAUGGAAUCAGCACCGUUCGCGGAGAUGGCCUGGAGCUCGAAAGCGCCGAGGCAGUGCCGAUUUUUUGCUUGGCUGGCGGGAAGAAAUAGAUGUUGGACCUCGGACCGUUUAGCUCGCCGCGGCUUGCCCCACCAGGCUGCUUGCCCCUUGUGCGAUCAAGAGCCAGAGACCUUGAAUCAUGUGCUCAUCCAGUGCGUUCUCGCCAGAGUAGUGUGGCACCAGGUGUUUGGUGCGCUCGGUAGACCGGAGCUCACUCCGGAGACCGGCGACGCGGUGGUGGAGUGGUGCAAUGCCUGCGCCCGGAGGGCCCCCUCCAAGAAGGAAGCGAAGGACAUACAGACCAUGGUGUCUCUAGUACUGUGGGAACUUUGGAAGCAUCGGAAUGCGAUAGUUUUUGAAGGGGCGACCCCCUCUGCCAAGGUGGUGAUCGCUAGGGUUGAGAGCGAGGCCCGGGCUUGGAGUGCGGCUGGUCUGCUCAAGGGCGACCUCUCCCCCUUCCUUGGUUCUCUAGCUAGGUGGGUAGCGGGCGAAUAGUUGGUUAGCUUGUGGGUGGAUGGGGAGUCGGCAUGUAUUGUAAUCGCAUGUAAGACUCUGGCGGAUGGGGCUCUUUACCCCUUUCUCUCUCUAAUAUAUAUGAUACACAUGCUUGUAUGUAUCUUAAAAAAAAAUGUCACCCCUAGUCUGCGGUGAUGGUCGGUCCCGGGAUCCACCCGCACAGCCCGCCCCAACUAUUCUAUUUACAUCAUUUCCAGCCGCUCCUCUGUUCCACCCGCCUCCCUUAAUUAUUUUAAUAGUACAUGUAGCAUGCAGAGCAUCCCGGGCGCAGGAGGUGCUGAAAAGGAGGCUGCGGCCGGUCUUGUGCUCACGGGUGGAGCGGGUUCUUUUUUCACACCCACCUGAUGGGGUUAGUUUUUAUUUUAUGACACUGGGAGCACAUAUGGACCCACCUGUCUUUCUCAUUCAGAGGAUACCAUGCAAUGUGCUAGUGACUCAAGAGAUUCACCGCCCCAGUUACCCAAUGGUGAUUAAGAUAGGAGGCAGAUAGGCGAUGAAUGCAAUUGCAACUGUAGCAAAUGGGAUGGGGUUUACAGACUCGCCAGCACACUUUCUCAGUCUUUGAACUUGGCGCUGGCCACGUGGAUUAAACAUAUUAACGUACAUAGCCAAAUUUGGCCGGUGUGGCAAUAAGACUACUCUAACAUAGGUAGUAACAUCACACAUAUCUAGAUAAAAUAGAUGAUGUACUAAGCAACAAAUGAAGAAUGAGAGGCAUGUGGUAACAUAGCUAGUUACUACUAGUAUGAAUAACAUCACACAUAUCAAAGCAAGAUGAGUCUAUAGCCUAAUAAAUGAAGUGUUGUAUGUUACCACACAUAUGUUACUCCCGAUUGUAAAGAUAGUAACAUAGAGUAGUAACAUGGCUAGCCUAAGAACUUUGGUCAUGCACGCAAGAACCCAGAGAGCUGUCUGAUGGAAAGCACGAGAGUAGAGGCGUCGAUCCGGGGCAUAAAGCGGUGAGCAGGCAAUACAGCUGUAGCUGCGCACGUCAAGUCAUGUCGUGAACAGCGGCCUACUAAGGCCCGUCCAAAAUUAGAAAUUCGUAGACUUCGCGGCAGAUGAUUAAGGAAAGCAUCUGGCGCCAACUGCUGUGUGCACAUAUCUCCGUAAAACAUGGGCAAGAAUAGAAGGCUGAGAUAGGGAUACCGCGUAGCCCAGCUAGGAAAAACCGUUCUUUAUGUUAUAUUUAUGAGAACUGCCUUUUCAAAUAGGAGAAGAACGGCUAUCUUGCUUUUCUAAAAUCAACAGGAGCUCAGUCUGGAAAAUGUUGGAUAUUCUCGAAGAAAUACUUGCCAUGAAGGGUAGCCAUUGUUUGCAUGCUUCCUCCCUGUGUAAGAAUUUCAUGACUAUUGUAUUGUAAGUAUUGUAGUUAGCUUAUUUUUUGGCACAUCCGUAAAUAAACCAAUUUCUGUAUAAUGGUUUAGGGUGCAUUUGGUUCCUAAGCCAUCCUCUCAAGCUCCCACUUCGACAGUUGUGAUCCCUAGGUCUGCGAAGCCAGGUUUGCAGAAGAAAUUGGGGGGCUCAAGUCUGCAAUCAAGGGAGUCUGCAUGGUGGUCUCUGUUGUUUGAAGGCAAGGUGCUCGGGAAUGAGCCACUGGCUAAAUCGUUUGGUGAUCUCAAGGAUGUGCUCUCUGAUGUGGGAAACGUGGUCGACGACAAGCUCUGACUACUACAGGUCCCAACAAGGUAGAAUUAAUUUAGUUGUGGUUUUAUAUAGCAAAACAUGGUUAAAUUAGAAUUUAUCCGAAUUUCUUUGUUUAGGUGGUGCUGUAGAAAUAGCAAUGUCGAUGCUACUGUCAAAUGUUUUGUUCAGUUCGUACGUGCUACUAAAGAUGCACUCGAUCUGCCUGUCGGAGUAAAUGACCAUGGGUAGCCUCAUUAGUCUCCCCUGGCAUUUCAAGACAUCGGGGCUAGCAGCGUCCCUCAAGCAUCAAGGGCGAAGUGCCGCCUUCUUGAGGCCGGCUGGUCCAAGCGGCUGGCUGCCGAAGGCUGGCGAACUCCGGGAGGCGGCCUCGAAGAGGGCCGACUCCUAGCAGACGGCUUCUAGAGAGGCCGGCUCCUAGCAGGCGGCCCCCGUGCCCUCAAACUUAGCACCCACAUUACGAUGACGAGACGGAGCGUGGCUACAGUGCAGCCCGCCACCCCCGAAUCCAGGGCGGAACGUGGCCACAGUGCAACGCACUGGACGGACAUCCCCCGCCCGGCGCGGCACUGUUACCACAUGGCCCAUGACGUCACCCAUGGAAGAGAAGACCAUGCCCCCACGACGGGCUGUCGGUACGGUCCACCAACGACGGUCCCCACCUGUCCGUGAGAAGCCAGAGGGCGGCGAGUCCCGACCCGUCGGCUCAGGGGGAGGCCGACCCCUGACUAGGCGGCCCUCCCCCUCCCUCGAGGUUCGUGAGCCAUUAAUCAGAAGAGACGGGGAAUGGCUACAGUGAACGCCCACCAGGCGGCGGGACUGUAGCCACGCCUUCCCCGACAAAGCAAGCAUCAUCAGCCGCACAACUAUAGUACUAAGCAGCCAGCAGGACCCGCCAGCGGCGGGCGCGGCCGGUCGACCAAACACGAGACAACCGGCGGGUCCCACCAGACGGUGGGCCCCAGCUGCCGGCGGAGAAGCCGGCGACCAUAGACACUGACAGCCGGGUCCUACACCCGGCCCAAUUACCUUUGUACCCCUGGGAGGUAGGCCUAUAUAAACCCCCCAGGGCAUCCAUGCAAAGGGUUCAGCCCCUGAGAUACUCACACACACCACGUAGAGAGAGGAGAGAGCUAGCCUUGCCCUUCUUCCCCCUCUAGCAAACAGCUCAAGGAGCACUUGUAGAUACUUGUUGAUUUAGUGAUCAUGCGGAGACCCCGCAGAGCAGGACUACAUCCUUUGGCAUAUGUCGCGCCAAACCACCGACAUUUUGCGCCCACCGUGGGGCUAGGUGCAUCGUCGUCCGGAGAUCUAUUUGGACGGGAACCUUGUUCCUCCCUAGCGAGCGCAGCCAGCCCGGCACGCCCGAUGGCGUUUGCGCCGGCGCGCUAUGUGGCGUAGAGCUUGCCUGCGCAGCGGCUGGCCUCGCUGACCUUGCUGGCGAUAUCCGCGGGCGCGGGCGCAGUCAGCUCCGAGAGCUGCCUCGUCGAUCUCCUUGGCAAGCUCGACAUCGCCAACGAGCCCGCCUCCGACUUGGAGUCGAUCGGCUCCACUGACGAUGCUUGUCGACUCCGACACGGCAUCGCUUGACGCCUUCCCCACCAAUGUGGUGGUCAUCGAUGACCCUCUCCCUCGCGCCGACAACGGCGGCAGCACCGUCAUGGAGGUGCUCGUCAUCAGCCAUGACGGAGCUUCUGGUGGCGGCGCCCUAGACCCGCUUGAGGCGGCGCUACGAGACCUGUCUGUACCCAUCGCAGAAGAUGCUGACACCGAGACGCUGGAAGCCCGCCGUGUCUUGCUCGUCGAAAGCGCCAAGAAGUUGGCCACCAUGAGACGCCUCUCAGAGGCCUACCAGCGCAAGAUCGACCGCGCUGUUGGCGGCAUGUCGGCUGCUGGCGGGCCCAGCCGCAUCGGCACGGUCCGGCAGCGCGGCGCUGCGGUCGCCAGCAUAUUCGGGGUAGACCGCCCUGUCUACACCACGCCCGCGGAGAACAUACGAGCCGCCCAGGAGGCAACUGAUGAGCUCGACCACCUCGAGGGCGACGAGCGUCGCUCCAUGACGGAGCGCGUUCAGCAGCUCAUUGACGCGGCUGCCGCGCAACAAGAAGCCGGCUGCCGCGCAGAAGGACCCGGCCAGCGGGUUGAGAACCUGCCCCCUCGCCGAGAGCAAGGCGCCACCUCCCAAACGCCGACUAGCGGCGCCUGCGACAGACGAGACAAAGAGCCGGCUGCUAGCCGCAGCCGCACACGCCUCACCAUCGAGCGCGACCAAGAUGGCCGCCCACGAGCAGUGGAACGACGGGACGACUAUCCGCCUCCUCCUCCUUGCAGGGAGAGGCGCGCUUCCCCGCCGCUUGUUGAGCACCCGACACUCGGCGACCGGCUGGGCCGCUGGGAAGGAGUCGGAGAAAAUGACGCGCGCCACCGGAUCGACCGCCUUGCUCGAUCCCAGGCGCUAGAAGAAGAAGACGUGUUGGGCCCACCUUGUUUCGGCCCCCGCAUACGCGACGAGCCCUUCCCCAAAGGGUUCUCGCUCCCACGAGACACGCCCAAGUACAACGGUUCCAUGAAGCCAGAAGAUUGGCUGGUUGACUACUCCAUGACCGUCAAGAUAGCAAACGGCAACAAGCGCGUCGCCCUGAAGUACGUUCCGCUCAUGCUUCAGGGCACGGCCUGGACGUGGCUGAACAUCCUGAAGCCCCGCAGCAUCAACAACUGGGUAGAUUUCACUGAGGUCUUCAUCCGCAACUUCACCAGCACCUACAAGCGGCCGCCCAAGCCCCGCCAGCUCUCGCUGUGCGUUCAAGGCCCUGACGAGUCCACCCGCGAAUACUUGACGCGGUGGGCGGAACUGCGCAACUCCUGCGAAGGGGUGCGCGAGGUGCAGGCCAUAGAGUACUUCACCGCCGGGUGCCGAGAAGGCACCCUCCUCAAGCAUCGACUCCUCUGCGACGAGCCGGCUACACUCGACGAGCUGCUGAUCAUAGCAGACAAGUACGCCACUGCCGACUCCUCCAUGAAGUUGGAGCUCCGGGUGGACGCCUCUGGAAAGGUGCUCCCUUCGGCUCCCAGAACGCCGGCUGGCGACUCUAGUCGGCGCCAGCAACAGAGCGACAACAAGCGCAAAGCCCGAAUGCCGGCUUCCACCAGCCGGCAGGUGGCAACGGACGAAGACUAGCAGCCAGAGGGGCAACCCUUACCCAAGCGUUUGAAAGGCGGCAAGUCGGCUUGGCUGCCCGCCUUCUCCUAUGAGCAAACCCUCAAUGCCCCCUGCAAGUUCCACAGUGGUGCGAAGCCGUCCAACCACACCACCCGGAAGUGCCACUGGCUCACCCGAAUCUCCAAAGGCGAAGGACUGCUGCCUCCCCCGCCUGCUGGCCAGCCGCCGCCGCCUCCCCAGCAGCCGGCGGCUCGCCCAGCAGUUAGCGCCAUCCAAGAUGAAUUUCCUGAAGAGCAUGGAGCCUACGUUGUCUUCACCAGCCAGGCUGACGAUAAGCGCAGUCCGCGUCAGCAACACCAAGAGGUCAGCAUUGUCGCCACUGAAGUCCUAGAAUACAUGUACUGGUCCGAGAAGCCCAUCAGCUGGAGCCAAGCUGACCACCCGGAAGUGAUGCCUUCCCCGGGUUCUUAUGCCCUGGUAUUGGAUGCUACCUUUGCAACAGAGAGGCGAGCUGCUCAUUUCUCCCGAGUCCUGAUAGAUGGCGGCAGCAGCAUCAACAUCCUUUACCGCGAUACCAUGGAGAAGUUGAGCAUCAAAGCGAAGCAGCUCCAGCCCAGUCGGACUGUCUUCCACGGCAUUGUACCGGCCUUUCCUGCUCACCAAUCGGCAGGAUCAAGAUAAAUGUCCUCUUCGGAGACAAGAAUCAUUUUCGUCGCGAAGCAAUUUGGUUUGAGGUAGUAGACCUGGAGAGCCCUUAUCAUGCACUGCUUGGCCGACCUGCUCUGGCCAAGUUCAUGGCAGUACCACACUAUGCCUACCUCAAGAUGAAGAUGCCAGGAACUAAGGGCAUUAUCACUAUAGCUGGAGACUACAAGAAGUCGGCCGACUGUGCUACAGCCAGCAGCCGAUUGGCCGAGUCCCUGGUGAUCGCCGCUGAAAAGAAGCUCCUGGACCGGGUGGUGGCCAUGGCCAGCAAGCAACCGGACAUAUCACCAACCCAAAGAGUUAGAGACCCAGGGCUCUUUCCAGCCAGCCAAAGAAACAUAGAAGAUUUCCUCGGACCCUGAGCACCCGAAGAAGCACGCUGUCAUAGGUGCUAACCUAGAUAGCAAAUAGGAAAGCGAGCUCGUCGAUUUCCUCCAUGAGAAUCGGGAUAUCUUUGCAUGGUCUCCCAAAGACAUGCCGGGUGUUCCGACGGAUUUCGCCGAGCACAAGCUACAUGUCAGAGCAGAUGCCAAACCAGUCAGACAACCCCUCUGCCGACUGUCGGAAGAAAAAAGAAGAAUUGUUGGUGAAGAGAUAGCCCGACUCCUAGCAUCCGGCUUCAUCAUGGAAGUGUUUUUUCCAGGAUGGCUAGCCAACCCAGUCCUUGUACCGAAGAAGAACAACAAGUGGCGCAUGUACAUUGAUUACACCAGUCUCAACAAAGCCUGUCCCAAGGCCCAUUUGCUUUGCCUCGGAUUGACCAAGUGAUUGAAUCCACAGCCGGAUGCGAGCGGUUGAGUUUCCAGGAUGCCUACACAGGAUAUCACUAGAUCAAGCUGAACCCGGCCGACCGUGUUAAGACCGCCUUCAUCACACCAUUCGGGGCCUUCUGCUACCUAACCAUGACAUUCGGCUUGAGAAAUGCCGGUGCCAUGUUUCAGCUUUGCAUGCAGAAGUGCCUCCUCAAGCAGCUCGACAGAAAUGCCCACGUCUAUUUAGACGAUAUUGUGGUGAUGACGGAGAAGCGCGGCAUGCUCCUGGAAGAUCUCAGGGAAACUUUUGACAAUCUAUGCCGAUUUCAAAUCAAGCUCAACCUGGAGAAGUGUGUGUUCGGAGUACUAGCCGGCCAGCUCCUUGGCUUCUUGGUCUCCGAAUGCGGCAUUGAGUGCAACCCUGUCAAGAUCAAGGUCAUCGAGAGGAUGGAGAUACCCACCCGACUGCGAGACGUCCAGAAGUUCACCGGCUGCUUGGCAUCCAUCAACCACUUCAUCAGUCGGCUAGGCGAGAAGGCUCUUCCCCUAUACCAGCUCAUGAAGAAGACCACUCAUUUCGAGUGGAAUAACAAGGCGGAUGAAGCUUUUCUCAAGUUGAAGAAGAUGUUGACCACGCCGCCUGUUCUGGCCGCUCCGGCUGCUAAGGAGCCCAUGCUCCUCUACAUCACCGCCACCAGUCGGGUGGUCAGCACGGUCGUGGUGGUGGAACGCAAAGAGGACGGCAGAGCACUGCCGGUCUAGAGGCCUGUGUACUAUUUGAGCGAGGUGCUGUCAGCCUCAAAGCAGAAUUACCCUCAUUACCAGAAGAUGUGCUACGGCGUGCAUUUUGCCGCCAAGAAGCUAAAGCCAUACUUUCAAGAGCACCCAAUCACGGUUGUCUGCACUGCUCCGCUUGCUGAGAUCAUCGGAAGCCGAGAUGCGUCUGGCCGAGUGGCCAAGUGGGCCAUUGAGCUGGCACCCUACACCAUCUUCUACCAGCCACACACCACCAUCAAGUCCCAAGCUCUGGCCGACUUUCUCGUCGACUGGGCCGAGACCCAGUACCUGCCGCCAGCUCCGGACUCCACUCAUUGGCGGAUGCACUUCGAUGGCUCGAAGAUGUGCACCGGUUUGGGAGUCGGCAUCGUCCUCACCUCUCCCAAAGGCGACAAGCUCAGAUAUACAUUGCAAAUCCACUUUGCCGCCUCCAACAAUGUGGCCAAGUAUGAGGCGCUCGUACACGGGCUCAGGCUGGCCAAAGAACUCGGCAUCCGCCGGAUCCUGUGCUACGGCGACUCAGAUUUGGUGGUCCAACAGUCGUCUGGCAACUGGGAUGCCAAGGAUGCAAACAUGGCGAGCUACCGCUUCCUUGUCCAGCAGCUCAGCGGAUACUUUGAAGGGUGUGAGUUCCUUCACGUGCCACGGAACGACAACGAGCAAGCUGAUGCCCUUGCACGAAUCGGCUCCACCCGUCAAGCAAUACCAGCCGGCGUCUCCCUUCAGUGCCUCCGCAAGCCGUCUAUCAAGCCCUCGCCAGAAUCAGACUCCAUUUUUGUGCCGACUGCUCCUGGAACAGUCGGAUCUGACUUGGGGACCUCAGCAGUCGGCCCGGGGACUUCGGCAGGCGGCUUAGGGACUGCUGCACUUGCACCUGGCUCGGGGACUUCAGAGCCCGGCCCGGGGACUGCAGCAGUCGGCCCGGGGACUUCAGAGCCCAUCUCGGGGACUUCAACAACGCAGCAAGCGGUGGCCGACUCCAACCCGCCACCUCCCAACCCAACCGCCCUAGUACAAGUAGUUGUGGUAGCAGCAGAAGAAAUUCAAGCACAAUCAUGGGCACAACCCAUCCUCAAGUUUCUGGCGAACAAGGAGCUGCCGACAGAUGAGAUCUCGGCCCGCAAGUGCAGCGCCGGGCAUGAGCCUACACGAUAGUAAACAGAGAGCUUGUCAGACGCAGCGUGACUGGAGUCUCCCAGUGCUGCAUAGAGCAGGAGAAGGGCCAAGCAAUCCUCAAAGAUAUCCACCAAGGCGAGUGUGGCCACCACGCGGCCUCCAGAUCCCUUGUCGCCAAAGCUUUCCUCCAUGGUUUCUUCUGGCCGACUGCUUUGGAGGAUGCCAAGGACAUGGUCAAGCAUUGCAAGGGAUGCCAGAAAUUCAGCUCCAAGCAACACCUGCUGGCUUCCACACUCAAAACCAUCCCUCUCACCUGCCCUUUGCCGUGUGGGGGCUGGACAUGGUGGGACCAUUCAAGACAGCACGCGGCGGCAUGACCCAUCUGCUUGUCGCUGUGGAGAAAUUCACCAAGUGGAUCGAAGCAAAGCCAAUCAAGAAACUCAAUGGUCCGACUGCCAUAACUUUCAUCGCAGACAUUACCGUCCGGUACGGCAUACCACACAGCAUCAUCACUGACAAUGGCACCAACUUUGCCAAAGGUGCCUUGGCCCGUUUCUGUGUGACGCAGGGCAUCCGGCUGGACUUAGCGUCCGUUGCCCAUCCGCAGUCAAACGGCCAAGUCGAGCGAGCAAAUGGCCUCAUUUUGCCCGGCAUCAAGCCCCGACUAGUCGAGCCACUAGAGCGCUUGGCCGGCUGCUGGAUCGACGAGCUGCCGGCUGUCCUCUGGAGCCUCCGCACCACCCCAAACAAGUCAACCGGCUUCACUCCAUUCUUUCUCGUAUAUGGUGCCGAGGCCAUCAUCCCAACCGACAUUGAGUUUGACUCGCCUCGCGUCACCAUGUACACGGAGGCGGAGGCGAAGGAAGCACGAGGAGAAGGCGUCAAUCUGCUGGAAGAAGGCCGGCUGUUGGCACUCAGCCGGUCCGAUACCACAACCGGAAGGUCAAGCCCAGAUCCUUCCAAGAGGGAGACCUUGUGCUCCGGCUAAUCCAGCGAACAACCGGCCAGCACAAGCUCUCAGCCCCUUGGGAAGGCCCCUUCAUCAUCAGCAAAGCUUUGGGCAACGACUCUUACUACCUCAUCGACGCACAGAAGCCCAGAGCACGCAAGAGAGAUGACUCCGGCAAGGAGUCGGAGCGCCCAUGGAAUGCAAAUCUCCUUCGAAGAUUUUAUAGUUGAUGCUGUAUGUACCAUGCUACCUUUUGUAUUAAGUAGCAAGACAUCAUGGUCCCUCGAGGAGCACUCGGGGACUACCCUUUUUAUCUAUAUGAUAAGUAUUAUGCCCAUGAAUGUGUUAUUUCUUUCUUCUGCCUAGCACCGGGUUCGACCAAUCGGCCUGGGGGCUUGCCGCCUUGUACUAUGUCAGUGCUACCUGCAGUCGAACAAGUAGUGUGCCGGCACCUAAGCCCUCUCUUGCCACAAGCCGCAACUCGCAGAGCGACUGUCCGGCUGGCAAGAGUCAAAGGCAGGAAAUGGUGCCCACAUGAAAAAUGGCUAAGGACCAAGGUACUCACAUAGCCCAAGCCGACUCCUUUCCUCUCCGACUGGCUGACGAGAAGCCGGCCGGCUUCUUGCUUACCUUGCUACGUUCUAAAAACGGCUAAGUACUUGUCUCCCCAAAGCGGCCAAGCACUUGACCUAGCCACGGACCGCAGAGCGGCCGUAUGGCUGGCAAGGCAGCAGCUGAGGGAAGGCGGCAAAGAAAAAAGCCAAAGAACAGAAAGCAAGAAAAGUAGAAAUCGGCAAAGCACAUCUCGCGCGAGAUUGUAUUUACACGUCAAAAGGCCCUUGGCCAGCAUUCAACAAAGUUUGAAUACACCCCCAGUGGGUGGAAUUGCGCGAAUUAACAAGUUUUCUUCAAAAUAAAGUACUAAGCAGGAAAGAUAAAACUGGCCGCCUAGGCCAGAGGAGCAGCAGGCGGGUCUGGCAGGCUGGUGGAGUCGGCGGCGCCGGCUGCUGGAGUGGCCGGCUGGUGAAUCUCGGCUUGGUCACCUCCGGCAGCAGCUGACGCAUCCGCACGCGGCUUGCUGCUUGAGGCACGAUCGAGCUGAGGUUGGUCAUCCGCUCCGCCCUCCGGCACGUCGUCUUCGCCAUCCUCGCUCUCCUCGCCUUCACCUUCAUCGCUGGAGGCUAUCUCCUCCAUCGAGUCUUCGCCAUCAGCCGGGUUCAGCCCGAACCAGUUGGUCGGCAGUUCGGCACCCUCCUCGUCCAGCUCCGGGAUGAAGUUGUCGGUGUUGGUGUACUCGGCGAUCGCCGCUGCACGCUGAGUGAGCUUAGCAGCCACCGCCGCCAACUCCCCGGUAGCUUCCUACCGGAAAGUGGCCAUCUGGUCGAGGUCCAGCCCGGGGUACCAGGCCUUGACAAAUUCCAAGGCCCUGCGUGCACCCGCCUGGUCCAAGGAGCCCUUCCACCCCUCAAGGCGGCCAGCUACCACCUCCAGCCAGUCGGCAGUCCGUCUGGGGGUGCACGGAAUGUUGGCUUCGGGCCAGAGGGCGGACAGCACCUGGGCUCCAACGCGCUGCAGACGGCGCAGCAUUCGAUGAGCCGGCUGAAGGCGCGACUGGAUGGCGAGAAGCUAUUCACUGAGGGUCCGGGGCGCGUUGGGCGCGAUUUCCGCGCCUUCGCCCAUUCGCUCAUCGUGGUGUGCCUCGAUGGCUUGGCCGGCGGCGAUGGAAUAGCCAGGGAAGAACUCUGCACAAGAUGAAAAUAUUAGAAGCAAGAAGCCGACUUCAUCAGCAGUCGGCGACCAUACAAAGGAAGAAGCAACUCACCAUCGAUCAUGUCCUCAAUUUCGCUAUAGCCAUCGGUCAGAGCCUUCUUCUCCUUGCCCCAGAUCGAGCGCUCAGUCUCGAACUCGGCCAGGAGGCUGGUCUCGUUGUCCUUCGCCUUCUGAAGGGCCGCCUUGUGACGGCCCGCCUGGUCAGCCAGCUCCUUGAUCAGGCGGUCGCGCUCCUCAGCAGCCUUGCUGCACUCCGCCUCCUUGGCGCGCAGCGCGGUUUGGGCCUCGCCCAGGUCCUGCCGUAAGGCGGCGUUGGUUUCUGCAAAGACAAGAAAAAGAAAGUACGAUCAACAAUCAACGAAGAAACACGAAAACACCGGGAAGAUCCGGCCCGACUGCUCAGCAGUCGACCCGAAUCUCGGGGACUGCACCCAGCGGGUGCGCUGACGCGCCCCCACAAGAGAAAGAAGAUGGAGUGCUUACUCCGGCUCUCAACCAAGUCUGCGUUCUGCUUGGCCAGCUACUGGAUAUGGGAGUUGAAGGCGGCCGCACGGAUGUUGUGGUAGUCCUGCAAGGAAGACGACAAGAAGAGAAAGCAAGUCAGCACUCGAACCUACCUGAAAGUUCUAGGCCGCCUGCUCAGUAGCCGGCCCGGAACUCGGGGACUACACCCAGUGGGUGCGCUGACGCACCCCCACGGAAGAUUACAAAGACAAGAAUAAAAAACAAAGGCAUACCCGAACGGCGGUUCGCGUCCCCACGAACGCCUUCGUGUACUCCUGAAGGGCGGCGCCCUGGGCCUGGAGCAGGGCCCGGACGUCUUGCGCGGCUGUGUUCAAGACGGCCGUGCUGCCCCCAAGCGUCCAUUCUGGCGGGGCGCGGCUGGUGGCCACUGUAUUAGGGGUGAACGAGCUCGCCGCCCUGGCCUCCUGCGGCCGUGACGCUGAGGCCGCCUUCUCUACACCGCGGCGCACCGGGGUACGCACCACCGGGGUCGCCCCCACCACCAGCUCGCUACCAACUGGUGGCGCUUGCGGCACCUCAGGACGACUGGCCUGAGUGUUGACGGUCGGCAUGGGCAGGGUCGCUUCUGCCACCAUAACAACGGGCUCGCUCCCUCCCCUCUCCAUGACCGGCUGGUCGUCGCCGGCUCCUCUAGUCGGCGCAUGGAUCUCUGGCGCCGGCGGCGCGCCGCGCAGAGGGAUGAUGAGUUGCGGGGUUCGGCCAUGGGCCGCCUCCUCUGCUUGUGCCUUGGCGGCCGCGUCCGCCUGGGCCUUAGCCGCGGCGUCCGCCUGGGCCUUGGCCGCUGCGUCGGCCUCCUCCUGCGCUGCCUUGGCCACGUCCACCUUCUCCUUCUCCGCCCUCUCCCGCUCUUCGCGCGCCUCCCGCGCGUUCCGCUUCGUUGCCGCCAGGAGCUCGGCGCACGGGUCUACACGGCGGGUGUUGGUGGAGCGCUCUGCCAUCCCGAUCACGGACGCGAAGUCAGACCGCUCAAGAGAGAGCGGGGCCCUGUUCAAGACAAGAAGAAACACAGAAGAAGGAGUUAGCAAAAGAAAAGGAAACACAAGGGAUAGCAAAAACUUACGAAGACACCAUCGGUGGCUGCUUCGUGGCCUUCUGGAACAGGACCGCCUUCACGGCGGCCGUGUUCUUCGAUUUCUUCGGCCGACUGCCGAACUGCGGUGGGCCUGCUCGGUGCUUCCGCGCGCCGACUGGUGCGGCCGGCACGGCUGAGGAACUCACGCCUGUCUUGUUGGCACCAGGCGAGCGACGUGGCUCGACCUCCUCCCCGUCGUCGUCCGGCCAUUCAUCGAGGCCGCCUCCUCCUCCGGAGCCGCCUGCUCCGCCACCGCCGCCUAUGACGUCAGCCUCAUCCAAGGCGGCCGCCCCCAAGUUGGGGUCGUCCGCAUCGCUCACCGCCCGGUCCGGGAGGUACUCAUGGUCCUGCUCCAGGGCGUCGGCCGCCGCCUGGGUCGUGGAGAUCUGCAUCAUGACCAACUGAUCAGACGGCAAAGCAGAACCCGACAAGUUAUAAGGAAAGCGAGUUAGAGACUUACUGCGGGCGGCGGACGCGUGCGAGAAUAUGACAGCUUGCCGAAGUGCCACUCCUCCUCCGGGAGCUUGCAGUUCGAGAUAUGGUUCACCAGCAGGGCCACUUCCAUGCUCGGCAUCUCUUUGGUGCUCAGUCGGCACGGGUCUCGGCGUCCGCUCAUUUGACUGAUCAUAUGAGGCCGGCCUUGAAGAGGGAGCACCCGGCGCACCAUGAAGGCGGUCAGAAGAUCCGACCCCUGGAGGCCCUCCGACUCCACCAUCACCUUGAGCCGGGUGAUAGCGGCAGUGGAGGCAGCCGAUAGCGCCUUCGGCUUGAAGGUCCAGUUGGUGCGAGGCUCGCCUGGCGGGCCAGCUAUAUAAGCCGGUAGGUUGAUGAAGUCGGCCGUCGGGUGGGCGUUCUUGACAUAAAAGUAAGAUUUUUGCCACAACUUGACCGAUUGUGUCAAGUUGAUGGGCGGGAAGUAGUUCCCGGCUCCUGGGCGUCGUACCGCGACGAAUGCUCCGCACUGAGCCGGCGUGUCCUUGGCGGCAACCCCAAGCUUGGUGUAGAAGAACUCGCACCAGAGCUCGAGGUGGGGAGAAUGCCGAGGUAGCCUUCGCAGAGCGUAACGAAGGCCGACAGCAGCACCACCGUGUUUGAUGUGAGGUGGUGAGGCUUGAGGUGGUAGAAUUUGAGGAAGGAGCGGAGAAAGCCGCUAGCCGGCAAGCCGAAGCCAUGAAGAAAGUGUGACCGAAAGACGACGCGUUCGCCGUCUUUCGGCACCGGCGUGAUUUCUUUCGCCGGCGGGACGCGCACCUCUACAUAGCCCGCGUCGGGCAACCGCCGCGUGUUGCGGAGGAAUUCGAGGUGAUCCUCGUGGACAUUGGAGCCGUCCCAGGCGCCGGAGUUCGCCUUGUCACGCGCCAUGAGAGCUUGGAGCUUGAUGGAGGUGCGGUGCGGCGAAGAGCAAGCGACCCACAGAAGAGCGGCGGCGCUGCGAGAGGAAAAGGGCUCGGCGACGACGAGCUGCGGCGGCGUUUCGGCAGAGAGGCAGGAGCGCCGCAUCGGUGAAGAAAGGAAGGAGGAAGAAAGAGAUGAAGGGAGAGUAGGUGGCGCGUGCGCUUGCCGCCCCCUCCUCCCCCCUACUUAUAGCGCUAGGCGGCGAAGCCGAGGGGUCGAGAAUCUGGGGGGCGUGGGAUUAACUGCGCCCACGACCCCACGCCCCCACAUUUGCCACGCGAUAGCGGCGUGUAGUUACUGAGCCGCGGAAUCCUAACCGUUCGCCUCGGCCGCAACGGAUCUGCGCGCGCCGAGGCCCGGUAGUGGCGGGCCCCAGCCUGCAGCGACGUCCCAUCGCGUGCCUGGGCUGGCAGGCCCACCCGACAGGCUGGCGCCACGUGGCGUGCGGGUAGCAGGCGGCCGGCCUGGCACCUGGCCAGCACGCCACCUGGCUCCCGCCUCUACAUUUCGAAAACACCAGGCGGCCCGCCUGGUCACGGCCGACUCCUAGCUGUCGGCGCCUCAGAAGAUGGACGAAGCAUGAUUGCCAACCACUCGGAGUAGGAAGCUGCUGAGGCUUCACGCCCUUUCAACCACGGGGCCCCAUCAGCUUCGGGGACUACUGUCGGAGUAAAUGACCAUGGGUAGCCUCAUCAGUCUCCCCUGGCAUUUCAAGACAUCGGGGCCAGCAGCGCCCCUCAAGCAUCAAGGGCGAAGUGCCGCCUUCUUGAGGCCUGCUGGUCCAAGCGGCUGGCUCCCGAAGGCUGGCGGACUCCGGGAGGCGGCCUCGAAGAGGGCCGACUCCUAGCAGGCGGCUUCUAGAGAGGCCGGCUCCUAGCAGGCGGCUCCCGUGCCCUCAAAGUUAGCACCCACAUUACGAUGACGAGACGGGGCGUGGCUACAGUGCAACCCGCCACCCCCGAAUCCAGGGCGGAAUGUGGCCAAAGUGCAACGUACUGGACGGACAUCCCCCGCCCGGCGCGGCACUGUUACCACAUGGCCCAUGACGUCACCCAUGGCAGAGAAGACCAUGCCCCCACGACGGGCUGUCGGUACGGUCCACCAACGAUGGUCCCCACCUGUCUGUGAGAAGCCAGAGGGCGGCGAGUCCCGACUAGUCGGCUCAGGGGGAGGCCGAGCCUUGACCAGGCAGCCCUCCCCUCCCUCAAAGUUCGUGAGCCAUUAAUCAGAAGAGACGGGGAAUGGCUACAGUGAAUGCCCACGAGGCGGCGAGACUGUAGCCAUGCCUUCCCCGACAAAGCAAGCAUCAUCAGCCGCACGGCUACAGUACUAAGCAGCCGGCAGGACCCGCCAGCGGCGGGCGCGGCCGGUCGACCAAACACGAGAUAACCGGCGGGUCCCACCAGACGAUGGCCCCAGCUGCCGGCGGAGAAGCCGGCGACCAUAGACACUGACAACCGGGUCCUACACCCGGCCCAAUUACCUUUGUACCCCUGGGAGGUAGGCCUAUAUAAACCCCCUAGGGCAUCCAUGCAAAGGGUUCAGCCCCUGAGAUACUCACACACACCACGUAGAGAGAGGAGAGAGCUAGCCUUGCCCUUCUUCCCCCUCUAGUAAACAGCUCAAGGAGCACUUGUAGCUACUUGUUGAUUUAGUGAUCAUGCGGAGACCCCGCAGAGCAGGACUAGGGGAGUUAUCUCCUAGGAGAGCCCCGAACCUGGGUAAAGUGCGCCGGCGUUCGUGUCUACGCCUCAUCCCGCUUCCAGGCACCAGCGAUGUCUUACUAGUUCCCACCAUGAUAAGCCAUCAUUUGGUAUAUGUCGCGCCAAACCCCCGACACUGCCUUUUGUUGGUUCCUGAAAAUUGCUACGUUGAUUUUGUUUUGAAUUUGCAAGCAUGUAGAUUAAAUCCAAAUGUCCAAUGAUAAGAAAAUAUUAACCUUUUAUCUAUAGAAGUGCACACCGAAAUAUCACCGAUUUGCCAAGACAACAGAUUUUUGUUAUUAUUUUGGUUAAUCGCAUUAGAUAAUUACGGCUCUUUGGAUUAGUCUUCAAUCCUAAUGCUUUGAAAAUGCAAGCAAUAGUUCUAUAUACCUUCUAAUCACUGGGGUGCUUGUGUUUUCCUUCCCAGUAUUGUUAUUAUCUUCAAUAUUUAUCUUCAUGCUUCUAUUCUGAACCAAUAAACUUGAACAUCUACAAGAAGCAUCUUUCCACGGAGCUUAAAUGCCUUUUCCAAUACAUAGUUAAUCAACCGACGAAAGGAUUGGGUACUGAGCUUCUUGUACUUGAGGUUUGCUGGCUAUGUCGAAACUUGCUUGCUGUCUGAAGUUUAAAUUGAUGUGCCAUGUAGAAACUCUUCAGCAAAUGGCAAAUGUACAGUACACUGAGAACAUGACUGAUGAACAGGAUGCUAUGUCAGGAAGUGAAACGUUGCGGCUUCAAGGAGUGAAGAAAUUGGAUUGGGGUCAAUGGAGUAAAUCAAACGAGGAUGCAACUCAUGUUCAUGUUGGUAAUCAUUCAGACAUUUAUUAACUCUGUAGCAAAUAGUUCACAUGGUAGAGCUAGCCGUGGUGCAGAGGCUAGAUAGUUUUAGUAUUCAGACUUUCAGUUGCUGCUAGCUCUACUCUGCUUUAUCCUUUCAAAAUGGCAAUGUAGCAUCUGUGUGAUACGUUUACAACAUGGAGUCUUCACUGCAUAUUACCUACCGGAACCGAUAUGUGUUUGUUGACAUAAAAUUUUAACCUGAAUUUGCUAUUCUGGUGGCAAAUCCAAUAAUUUAUGUACUGUAUUUGCAUUUUGCAAGAUAAUUUGGCUGCCAAAGUGCUACAUCGUAUCUCACUGGACCUAUUGAGUAAGUGGAGUAUUUAACAAAAAACUAAAAUUUGUGACGAAAACUACCAUUUUCUCACUAAUCCUUGACUAAAAACUACCAAGUCUGAAAAGAGCCCGAUUCGACCCGUUUAAACUCGAUUAUGACAGACUUGGCCCACACGUCAGUGUCUAUCUUCUUGAUCCUCCUAUAUCUCCCUUAAAAAGGCAAUCUAGUCCCCAUAAGUUUCGCAAAAAAGCAAUCGAAUCCCUGUUAAUUUUGAAAAAAAAAAAAGAAAUGGAGUCCCUUUACGCCGGCCGUGUUUGGUGGCGGCCAUAGCACGCAUCCGAGCUCGUUCAUGGCGCUCUCCGUGGUGGACAUGGCCGCCGUCGUCGAGCAGCGCCUCGAGGCCCGUGCUCUAGCGCCGGCCGCGGCCAGCCGUUGCUGGUGUCCGCUCCUCCGUUGGCCGCGCUUUGCUCCUUGCUGCUGGUGCUCUCGGGCGGGCGACGACUGUUGCCUCCGCUGCUGCUCCUUGGGUGGGCGGAGCUAGCUAGCUUCCACGCACCACGGACGGACACAGCCAAAGCUAACUAGCUCCCGUGCGUACCGCGGCUAGCCGGAGCUAGUUAGCUCACGGACGCAGCCCGAGCUAAGCCACCGUCGAUGCAUGCCGCCGCUGCUACUUGCGGCCGCCGCUGCUGCAUGCCCGCUUAUGCUAUUUGAAAAAAAACUAGGGACCUGAUUGCUUUUUUAGUCCGCUUAUAUGUGUGUCAAACUAGUCGGAAACGCGUUUAAACGAGUCAAAUCGGGCUCUUUUCAGACUUGAUAAUUUUUAGUCAAGGAUUAGUGAGAAAAUAGUUGUUUUUGGCACAAAUUUAUAAAGUGGUAGUUUGUAGGCAUGGUUUCAUGAAUUGUGGUAGUUUUUUUGUUAAAUACUCGAGUAAGUGGUAAUUGUUCAUUUAUAUACCAUUCAGAUUUCUAUAUGCACUGUUCAUAGAUUCCUUGCAUUGUUCAGUUACCAUUUUUCGUAAAGGUCAUACUUACUGGACCAUGGCACACCCUUCCAAUGCAGGUUGCUUCCAUGACCAUACUUCAAAUAUGGGUAUAUUAGUUUGCCUCUCAUCAUCAACUUUGGACCCUCUUUAUGUGGGUUUUUUCUUUCAAAGCGUACUUGUAUAAAAUAAACUGUAUUGGUUUUCAGUUUAUAUCUGUCCAUGGUUUUGCUCACAUCACAAAUUUUGACAGCUAGACAGUUCCCGAGUUCGGUCCAACCGAAACACUGCAUUUAUCUUUCUCCACGAGUAUGGCGGAAUCCAACAUCCAUUCAACCUCUAAAUUGGGGCUCCAUGGCUACCAACCGAUGGAGUAAGACUGGAGACCACCCUCUCCUCCUCCAAUUUGGAGCUCCAUGGCCGCCAUUCAACAGGCGCACUCACCACCUCACCUAGGAGAGCACAGGCGCCAACAUCGCCCACGACCAGCCCCAUGUUCGGUCAACAAGCUGUAGUUCAAUUAGGUUUGUUGCUCCUCUUACAUGCAGAGCCUGGGAAGAUCAUGGUCUUCUCUCAUUCUCUUGUGAACAAUAUAUACACUGUAGGUAUGCGAGAAGAAAUAUUGUAUUGCUUGGAAAAAUAUAUGCGAAAUUAGGAGGCAUCAAUUUGACCAUGUUUACAAGCUAUUAGAUGUGCAUUUUUAAGAUGCGGUAGUCAUACUUUGUACUGGAAGUUGACUUAUAAUUCUAAAAAUUUGCUGAGCAAUGUAUCAACAGAAUGCAGCUGCAACUUGAAUUUUUUAUGUCAAUUGGACUUUAGAUGAAGAACACAUCUGUUUCUAGAAUGUUGACCUGUUUCUGUAUGCAAAAUGAACUAUUGUACUUUCUAAAACUAAAUAUGUGCAAUGGUUGCUGACAAGGAAUUUUUGCUUAAUGCCUUUCUAUUUUCUCUCUCAUUUGAACCAUAAUGAAGAUGAUACGGUUAAAUUAUUUGAGGUGACUCAUCCUGGCUUAUUUUCUCAUUGUCAUAUAAAGUGCCAAAUAUCAAUAUUCUACAUUAAUUUGCUGCCAAUAUUUUACAAAUUAGCUUCAGUUAUUUAUUGUUGUGCAUCUUUUUUUUCUUGAGAUGCUUCUAUAUAUAUUUGCUUCCCACGACCCUUUUGUUGGUUACUUAAUAAUAAUUGACAUGUUUGUUUCUAUACCUCACUCUCUCUUGGUGUUCCUGUUUUCUGUAGAAUCAGUGUGGUAUAUUUCAUAGUUGAUGCAGUUCUGCCGUUGUAGGUGUGCUUUUCUCGUACAGGGAGGAGAGUUCUAUUUUUUAGAACAUACAGUAAGGAUAGUUCAGCAGAAACUUUCACAAAGUAAUAGUGAUGUAUUGGCUAUGCCCGUGAUAUUGUUCUAACUUUCAGGAAGUUGUAUCGAGGAACGUGUUUCUUGAUGAAGGAUCAAGGCAGAUAGUUGAAGUAGAACAUGCAAAAGUAUGGAAAUUCGUGGGCAGUCUGCUGCUUCUUUUAGGGGAGGUGAUGGUGGUUCCCUUUAUUGGUAUCAAAUAAUAGUUACACUGUUUAUGAUAUUACAUUGAGAAAAGCUCAGGGUUCAUUGGCCCAAUUACAGUGGUUUUUACCGUAAAAACAAAAGCUAGCUAGCUCUUGUGUCAUCUCAUUCAGUUCUCUUGCAUGGUGCUUGCAUUUGAUCUUCCAAUUUGAUUUACAAUUUAAGCAUUAGUUUGUGAAGCCGAUAGAUUGAUGAAGCGCACAGUGGUCGAGGGAGAGACACGAUGCGAGAGAGAAACUUUAGCGCUUGUUUCGACGCACAUUCAUUCCUCGCCCUUUCUCUUCAGCGAAGCACAUACCUAUACGUACUCUAAUCUAAGCAUCACAGAAGUGAAUUAUAACUUCGAAACUGUUUAAAAAAAUCUAUAGGAAUAAACCGUUAGUAUUUGAUUGAAUAACUUUGAACCAGUUACUAUUUUUAAAAUAGGAUGCCGUGUUGAAAUAGAAGGCGGCAGUCUCCAUCCAUGUUUUCUCCGGGUCCUGUUUUCUCCCGUUGCAUCGCACGGGCAUUUGUGCUAGUACUUAAAUAAAUUAUAAAGAAUUGAUUUCUAGAAGAUAACAUCAACAUUAUUAUGGAGUGGACGGGGGCAUUUGCCCCCCUCCACUCCGCAUCAUAUAAUCACAUAUAGAUGGUUCGUUCCUGAAUGGCCAACUGCAUGUGACUACUCUUCCCGGCGGCGUGAAAAACCUCAACUAGCCUUCUAUGGUGGUGGUCUUAGACAGCUGCACCCACGUUGGCACGCUGACGAGGACAGUGACAAAGGUUUCCGAGCAGCCCUCGGAGACAUACAAGGUGUCUGUCACGGCGCCGGACGCUGUCAAGGUGGCCAUGACUCCAGCGACGCUCGUGUUCAAGCAGCAGAAGGAGAAGAUGAGCUACAUAGUCUAGUUUUGCGGCCAGGGCCAACCCAUAGGGCGAGCCUACAGGGCGGCCACCCCGGGCCAUGAGAGGAUGAGGGCCCCAAACACUGAAUUAUACUAUUAUACGCACCAUGCUAUUGUCCAUUAGGUCAAAAGAGAUAGCAACUAAUCAAGGGGUACUCCUUGCAGGAGCCCCGCAAAGGUCACUUUUGGUGAGCUGAUAGCGCAUUAAGUGGCGCACUCUCAGCCGUCGCUAUGUGUCGCAUGUUGCGCGCUCCCUCAAGAUUUUUCUCUAUGCGUUUUUGGGUUUUAGAUCGGUUUUUGCCCGGUUUCCCCUAGGUUUUGGGAAAAAUUGCAUGGAAAAUACAUUUUAUAUUUUUUUGGCUUCCGCAAGAGACACAAAUUUGCUUCUCGUGGAGGCACAACUGUGCCUCUCGAAAAAAGGAACAGAACACCUUUUUCUUCUUCCACGAGAGGCACAUAUUUGCUUCUCGUGGAGGCACAUAUUUUCUUUCAUGAGAGGCACAACUGUGCCUCUCGGAAAGGGAAUGAAACUUGCUUUUUUUUUCUUCCAUGAGAGACAUAGAUUUUCUUCUCGUGGAGGCACAAGUUUGCUUCCAUGAGAGGCACAACUGUGCCUCUUAGAAAGGGGGAAAACUCAUUUUUUUCUUCUGCGUGAGGCAUAAAUUUGCUUCUCUGGGAGGUACAAGUUAAUUUUCACAAGAGGGCAUAGAUGUGCCUCUCGGAAAGGGGAAAACAUUUUUUCCUUUCGCAAGAGGAACAGAUUUGUUUCUCGUGGAGACAAAGAUUUGCUUCUGCAAGAGGCAGAUGUGCCUCUCAAAAAGGGAAAAUGUGGAGGGAGGGGGAAUCGUGCUUUUGGCUCGGGUUUUCUUUCUUCAAGUUUUUUUCGUGAAAAAAGUUCGUCGAAACCUAUUAACAUAAGAUCUAGUUUCAAGGAUAUGGACGCAAGAAAUCCAACGGUGGUCGCAAUUUGGACGCACGAUUUAAGAGACAAAAACAUUUUGAAUAAAUGAUCUAUGAGAGAAGGAAAAAAUCUCAGGUUCUGGCAGGUGGCAUACAUACAGUUCGCUACUUGUCACAACCUAAGAAGGUGGGGGUGACAUUUGCAAGGGGUACCCACUUAAUUAGUGAUUUGGGUCAAAAUAUCAUAGAAUAUGUGGGGGAAACAAAAUUCUAAAUUUGAAUGAGCAAAGUCCACAAACCAUUAGCAUGUACUAUGUAUAAAAAAACAACUAGUGACAUUAAGUGUAGUUAGGCUCUGAUGGACGUUAAUUAUAAUGAGCAUUGUGUUACGUAGAUUUAUAUGUGCAAUUCUAUGCACAACUUUCGAUUUGAAAGACUGAUACCUACACUAGAUAAAUCCAAACACAUUAUGCACAAAUAGAAUUGACGUCAUUUUUAUUUUUCCACAAGUGAUUACUAUAAGCAAUGCUACUUCAGUAUCAAGUAUCAAGUAAAGAGGAUGCACAUAUUGUCAAUUUAUAAUUGAGCUUAAUUUGCAAAAUCUGGUUGCCAACUACUCAAUCUAUACUCUAUAAAUUUCUACAAAUAUACUUACCUAAAAAUACACUAGAAUCCACUUUUAAGAUUUUUGUUAGACAAUAUGCUUUAGGAAGCUCUAUCAUGAUAUUUAAUGAUAUUAAAAUAAACAUAGGUGCACACACCCGCACAGAUAUAUCUAUAUAUGUAUAUACUAUAUAAUUUAUGCAAAUCAUCAAAUAUGAACCAAAAUGAACUUUUGUUAAGAGAUAUAACUUAAAUUUAGCAUAUCUUUUACCGAUGUACGUUACAACCGUAUGACAAGGAAUACAAUAUUUAAUAUUUAGCAAUAUUGUUGUGUGAUUAACUAUGCCAACUAAGUGUAGAACAUCAUACUCUUUUAGGUUGUAGUUUCAUGAAAUGAUAUGUUUAGAUGAAUAUAAAACUUUAAUAUAAUAUUUUUAUUUUGCCCGGGGGUCCAUAAUAUGUUAUUACCGGCCCUGCCUGCAGUGACGUGGUGAAGCCGGUCGGGGCAUGGGAAUUCGGGAAUAUCACUGAGAAAUCAAUGAACACAUCGUGGUGAACCUUGUGGCAUUCAUGUGGAGGAAACGAUCAUGUUCUAGAUCCAUUUUUCCACUUCUCCAAAUGUUGUUCAUGUUCUCCGAAGUUUGGGUACAUUCCAUUGGAUCUAUGUUCAUGUGCUGAUCCUCAAUGGAAACUUGAAUUUCAAUUCAUUUGUUUACCAUGUUCCACAUCCUUUCUCUUUUAUGCUCUAAAUAAAGUUGUAAUGAUUCAGAGCCAUUUCUCCUAAAUGAUGAAAAUUAAAAUGCUCUAGAGUUUAGAUCAUUUGGUUAUCAUCAUUCAUAAAAUUAUUUCAAGAGGUAGGGUAAUGUUCAUUAUUUGAUUCAUAUGCCCUUCUGGCUUUUUAUUUGAAUAAAUUAUACUAAAUGCACAUGACGGAUUGGAAGUUCAUAGAAUGCAAACUAGUAGGGUGUAAUGUUGGAUUUAAGUGCAAAAUUGUUUGAUUGCAACCUUGUCUACAAGGGUCACUCAGACCACUCAAUGAAUCACACGCCAGUAAUCCCAUGAUCACUGUCAUAUAUAUAAAAGUGGAAAUCUCUUGUAAUGCACGGGUAUUAUACGGAGCAAAGCAUUAUCAUGUACAUGCCCAUUGAUGCGUCCAUGACAUUUUGUCCGUCUGCCUACUCAUAUGAUACUGCUAAAGUGUGUGUUGAUCUAAAAGUGACCGUUCCUACGCGUCUACUUCAUGCGUUUAUUUUUUAUGCUUCUCCUAUUUGUUUUUCUUUUCCCUCUCGGUGAUUUAUUUUCAAACUAGGCAAAAAUCUUGCCAUUUUCAUUAAAUUGUCCGAACCUAAACGGAUGUUUAGAGGAUGUUGUACUGACCAGUCCGCGGACGGAUACCAUGUCCGAUUUAGAGGUCGGUGUUGGUAAACUAGCCAGCCGUGUUUGAGCAACCGCACCUAGCGACCACUAUAUGUUUCCGUGUACUCUCCUGAUGUUGGCCUCUAUGAUUGUUUCGAUGUGUGUUCGUGGGUUGCAAUCCUGGUAAGCGAUUACAAAAGGGGGUUAUUAUGUUCAGUUACAAAAAAUAUUAAAAAAAGAGAAAACUAAAACAGAAAUUUGCAUGGAUCUCCGUGCAAGAUUUCGUGAAUGUAGCAUUGACUAAGGCAUAACUAAGUCUUGGUAGACCAGAAUUUUAGCAAAACCAUAUCGAAAGUGCGGUUAACACCAAAACAUAUCUCCAAUGUUUUGGUUUGAAUAAGUUUGAUAGAAGAAAAUAUCAACAUACAUAACUGAAGACACGUGUGAGGAAGGUUCCGCACAACUUCCGCUUAAACAUGCAAAGUGUGAAGGGGUGGAGCGACUCUAAGUGCACACCGGAUGAGGAUGGUUGUCGCGUUCUAGAAGUAGUCGGGCAUGCCCAAAACGGAAAUCGCUAUCUGCAGGAAGCAUAUGGCGGAGCCAUUUGGCACGUACGGUUGGCCAGGUUCAUGCAUGCAUGCAUGUCUGGGUUGCUUUUGUCGUUCCGCUAUUUAAGUGCCCCUUCUUCCUUGAAUCGCAGUUCACCGUCACCCUCGACUCCCUCCCCGCCCUCGUCAAGGACAUGGCGUGCGCUGGAGGGGACGGUGUCCAUCCCGGUCAAGGACAACAACAUCGCCGCCGAUAAGACCACCCUAUGAGCCCGCCUCCAGGACGCCAUCUGUCGCCAGUCCUUCGACACCCCGCUCUACGUAAGUGCCUCCCUCAUCCUCCUCCCUUUGAUCCAUGCAGACCCUCCUAUACUGAUUGCCCCUACUUCACAGCUCACCGUCACUCUCGACUCCCUCCUCGCCCUCGUCGAGGACGAUCUUGGAAUCUUUAGUAGAUGCGAAGAGAUGACAAAUCAUCGAGAAAACGCUGGACCAGACCCAGGGGUUGAAGUUCAUUGAUCAACCCACGCUGAGGAGGAGGCCAUAGCCACCUCCCGUCUUAAUCAAUGGUUUAUUAGGAGUGGAAUGCACUCACUUACUAAAACACGUUUUCUCGCUAGUCAUGUUGAAAAUUUUGGCAUCUCCGAGUGCAAAAGUUUUGCUGAUGCCUAAUGCAUAUGUUGGUUUUCCUACUCCGCCCCGAAGAUGGCGAGGCCCAUGACAACGUCAUAAAAUGUGGAUUAUCUUCGCCUGCGAGCAGCAUGGAGAGGAUAUUGACAUCGUUGCCUACCAUGCGUUGAUGCCCGCGACUAUGGUCAUCAAAGAAAGAUAAUUGUUGCUACAAGUUCGGUCAUGGUCAAAGGUGGCACGUAAGUGUUGUUCGUGGUCAUGCUAAUUUUUGAAGUAUCCAGUUCAAGUUCAUUUGUCAAAUCUCUAUUAUCUACUUGAUGUGUAUUACCUUUUUAUAUAUAAAAAGUAUUUUUAUUAUCUCAAAAUGUGGCAUCAGGCUGAUACAAAACAUUAUGACUAACUUGCGGUCUCUGCAUAACUAGGAUGCACCCAACCAAACGCCGAAAGUCUGAUGAAAGGAAAUUAACAAAACCGACAAAUUUUCAAUGGUAGUCCUAUAAACCGACACGAUGCCUAUGUCGAAAGUGGUAGUGGAUCGAUCCAGAGGCUAUGCUGCCAUCCAUGUUCGAAAAAAAACCUCCGUAGUCGUCUGCUUCAACCGCGUACACACUGCUUUGAACAGCGGUUGGUGUUCCGGUCGUUGUAGCGUAGACUAGUACGAAGCGAAUGUAUACAAUGAAAAAUAACCUGUAAAGGAGAAGCUUUUUUGGCACUCGACACGAAUGUAGCGUGAAGCCGUUUUUUGAUGUAACUUGAAGCCAUGCAUUGCAACGCCACGCUUGAAUUUAACACGAAUUAGUUACAUGGUCGUCACUGCAAGUGGGGCGGCUGCAAGCAAGUUGGCACGUACGCCUUUCGUUUCGCCGUCGAGGAAUUAAAUGGCAGGUACGUGCUUUAUCCUACCCUAUAUAUCGUUUGGGAAAUAGUAGCACUAGCGAGGAAGGUCUCAGCCCUUGUGUUGUGCAAUCUUCACUGUUACUAAGGCUGGUCAUAGUGGAGAGUAACUUAUACUAGUAUCAUGCUUAUGACACUAGUCUAAGUUACUAUCUUCAUAGUGCAAAGGAACAUAGUAGUAGUGUCAUAGAUUGCUUCAUUUAUUAGCUCAGAGACUCAUUUUGCCUCAGAAAGUGCUAUGUUACAGUAACAUAUUAUGUUACCGCAAACACCUUUUUCCUCAUUAAAUACUUGUCACAUAAGCAAAAUUGUCUUGGAAUGUGUUAAGUUACUACCUAAGUUACCCCACUAUGGCUAGCCUAAGGCUAGUCAUAGUGGGAGUAACAUAAGUAGUAACAUAGAUGCCAUAUAAGCAAAAAUGAUGAGGUGGCAAGUAGUUAAUGAGGAGAGAGUCAAAUAGAGUAACAUAGUAUGUUACCAUCACAUAGCGCUUACCAAUGUAAAAUGUGUCUACAAAGUAAUAAAUGAACUCAUCUAUGUUACCACACAUAUGACACUACCCACUAUGAAGAUAGUAACAUAGACUAGUAACCUACGCAUUCUACUAGUCUAAGUUACUAGGAGCUGCAGCAGCAUGCGAGCAUGCAUGCCAGAGAGAGUCCGUUGCUUCCGGUUUGUGCCUCGUUCGUUAUCGCUCUUCACCGUUACUCUUUCCAUCAUGUGAUAACUGUUAGAAUUAUUGUAUAGGGAUAGGAGAGGUGUUUAAACUUCUAUCUCUUCUUCUCCCUUAUCUUCCGUAACGACCUCCUGGUCGAUCUCCUCCUCACGAUCUCUCUCUCUCUCGAUCUCUCUAUAACGUGUGUAUCAAGGCUUUGCCUCAAUAUAUACAAUACGGCCCGAGACAAAGGGUUCUACGCUUCCCAAACUAUUUCACAUGGUAACAGAGCCUCUUCCUCAUCAGAUUGAAAGAGAUCGCAUCUAGCUACCUUCGCGACCGAGCCAUGUCUACCACCUCCGCCGCCAUGUCGCCCAACAUCAUGGGCGCGAUCACCACCACCUCCUCCGCCUCCACCUUUGCUUCCUCAUCCACAGCCACCAAUUCUUUUCUCGGAUCUCCACCACACGAGAAGCUGACAAGGAGGAACUUCCUGCUUUGGAACGCCAUCGUGCUUCCCCAGAUCAAGGGUGCCCAGAUGGAGCACCACCUCGACGCAACGAGCCCGCCACCGUCGGCCACUCUCACCAUCACCAAGGAUGGCAAAGAAGAGCAAGUCGUCAACUUCGCCCGCAAUCUCUGGUAUGCCCAACAACAACAACUUCAAGGGUUCUUGAUGGGUUCCUUUUCCCGCGAGAUUCUUUCCCAGGUGGCCACGAUCCAAACGCCGGCCGCGGUGUGGCGCGCCAUCAACGACAUGUUCGCCGCUCAGAGUCAAGCGCAGGCGAUCAACACCCACAUUGAGCUCACCAACCUUAAAAAAGGUAACAUGUCCAUGGCAGAGUACCUCGGCAAGAUCAAAACCCUCACCGAUGAAGUCGCGUGCACGGCGUCGGCGCUCUCCGAUCCGGAGAUCGUCUCCAAGAUUCUUGCUGGCCUUGACAUGGAAUAUAAUCAUGUCGUCUCUGCUCUUGCUGCACGGGUAGAACCGAUCACGGUUCCGGAGUUGCACAGUCAGCUCCUCAGUUUUGAUGCCCGCCUCACCCUCCUCCACGGCGGCGAUCUCCGGCAAUCAUCUGCAUACUCCGCUUCACGGGGUCGCGGCCGUGGCCGUGGUCACCAGGGCGACAACCGUGGCGGUGGUCGCGGACGUGGCGCGUCUUCGGGCGAUGGCGCCCGCUCUGGUGGCACAUACGGCCACAACACCGAGGGCGGCGGCUACGGCAACAACCAUGGGGGUGGCGGCUUCAACUCCAACACUGGCCGCCGCCCCUCCUCCUCACAUGGCCGCCCUCGCUGUCAGCUCUGCAAGAAGGCCGGUCAUGAGGUCAUCGACUGUUGGCAUCGGUAUGAUGAAAAUUUCGUCCCGGAUGCUCGUUUGGUUGUAGCCGCUAUGUGCGAGCAAGGCGGGGACGGCGUCUGGUAUGUUGACUCCGGUGCUACGGACCACGUCACCAAUGAGCUAGAGCAACUUGCCCUUCGCGAGACGUACCAUGGCACCGAUCAGAUCCACACCACCAUUGGUAAAGGUAUGGAUAUUUGUCACAUUGGUCAAGUUUCGCUUAAUUCCCCUAAUCUUCAACGUGAUAUAGUUCUUAAGGAUGUUCUUCAUGUUCCUCAAGCUGACAAAAACAUUGCCUCUAUGUCUCGUUUAGCCACCGAUAACAAUGUUUUCUUUGAGACUCACCCUCGCUAUUUUUUCAUUAAGGAUCGGGCAACGAGGGCACUUCUCUAUCGCGGUAGAUGCAUUGGCGGCCUCUACCCCAUCUCAUCCGGAGCACUUAGCAACAAGCAUCGUCGAGUCUACUCCGUCAUCAAGCCCUCUUUGGCGAGGUGGCAUCAAAGAUUAGGUCAUCCCUCAUCAGUCAUAGUUAGGCAAGUAGUCAAUAAAGACAAUCUUCCUUUGUCACUUAGUUCAAAUAAUGAGUCUGUCUGUGAAGCAUGUCAAUGUGCCAAGAGCCAUCAGCUUCCUUAUCCUAAGUCUACUAGUGUCUCUCAUGCUCCCUUACAAUUGAUUUUCAGUGAUGUAUGGGGUCAUGCCCGAGAUUCAUUUGGUCGAAAAAAAAAUACUAUGUUAGCUUCAUUGAUGAUUACAGCAAGUUUACAUGGAUUUAUUUGCUCAAGUAUAAAUCUGAAGUUUUUUCCAUCUUCCAAGAAUUUCAGAAACUUGUUGAGAGACACUUUGAUAGGAAAAUUAUAUCGGUCCAAAGUGACUGGGGAGGGGAGUAUGAAAAACUCAACUCCUUUUUCCGUAGCAUUGGGAUCACUCAUUAUGUGUCUUGUCCUCAUGCUCAUCAGCAGAACGGCUUUGCUGAACGCAAACACCGUCAUAUUGUUGAAGUUGGUCUCUCUCUUUUAGCUCAUGCGUCCAUGCCUCUCAAGUAUUGGGAUGAGGCCUUUAUCACAGCCACAUAUCUUAUCAAUCGCCUCCCCAGCAAGGUUAUUGGCAACUCUACCCCUUUAGAACGAUUGUAUAAUCAAAAGCCAGAUUACAAUUAUCUCAAAAAAACUGGGUGUGCUUGUUACCCCAACUUACGUCCAUACAAUCAUCACAAACUCGAGUUCCAUUCCACACAUUGUGUUUUUCUUGGAUACAGUAAUCUUCAUAAAGGAUACAAAUGUCUUGAACCAUCUACCGGAUGCAUCUAUAUCUCUCGUGAUGUUAUCUUUGAUGAGACACUAUUUCCUUUUUCCAAACUUCAUCCCAAUGCGGGCGCUUUGCUUCGUGCAGAAAUCGCACUUCUAUCAGACUCUACUACACAUCCUGAUCACGGGGGUGAAUUAACUGAUCAUGAUCAUGUGCAAAAAUCCACAGAAAAUUGUGUUUCUAAUGCCUUUUGUGCAGAUUCUACUUGUCAUUUUAUGCGCACACAGGACAAACCAGAAACGGUCUCCGAUGUUGAUCCUGCUGCCAGCGCGCGAUCCCAGACGGAUUUGCGGCAGACUACAGGCACGCGAUCCCGCGCAGAUUCGCCCCUGCGCCCCCUGGUGGCCGAUAGCGCAGCCGACCGGGUGGGCCGCACCAGUCCAGGCGCGUCGCGCCAACCUUCUCUUGCGCGCCCCGAGACGCCCAUCGAGCGAGGCGUGCGGGGGGGGAGCGAGUCCCUGACCGCCACAUCGCCUGGGGACCCAGCGGCCGAUCCUGUCGAUCCUGCUGCGACAACGCGGGACCCACUGGGUGGUUCUGAUUCGUCGGUCGGUUCUGGCUGCACGUCAGACGAGGAGCAGCACCAGCAGCGCCAAUCUUCCUUGGAUCAGGAGCCCGACCAGCCUGGAUCUUCUUUGCACAACGCUGAAGCAGCAAGAUCUCCUGCGCCACAAUCAACAUCAACUGUUUCUCUGGCUCCUUCACCUCCUCGUCGACACACCAGGUCUCGGUCAGGUAUUGUCAAGGAAAAACAAUACAAUGAUGGUACAAUAAAGUAUAAUCCGACUAAGCGUGCUUUUCUUGCCACUACCGGCGAACCUAUUAAUCUGCAUGAUGCUCUUGCUAACAAGGAUUGGAAGGAAGCCAUGGAUAAUGAAUAUAAUGCACUUAUAAAAAAUCAGACUUGGCAUCUAGUACCACCGCAAUGUGGUGCUAAUAUAAUUGAUUGUAAGUGGGUAUACAAAAUUAAAAGAAAAUCUGAUGGAAGUAUAGACAGAAACAAGGCAAGGUUGGUUGCAAAGGGCUUCAAGCAAAGGUUUGGAAUUGAUUAUGAUGAUCCCUUUAGUCCCGUGGUUAAAGCAACUACUAUUCGUCUUGUUUUGUCCAUUGCUGUUUCCAGAGGUUGGAGCUUAAGACAGCUAGAUGUUCAGAAUGUGUUUCUUCAUGGUGUUCUUGAGAAAGAAGUGUUCAUGCGGCAACCACCAGGUUAUGAAAAUCACAGCACACCACAUUAUGUAUGUAAGUUGGACAAAGCCUUAUAUGGCCUGAAGCAAGCUCCAAGAGCAUGGUAUUCUAGGUUGAGCAUGCUGCUACAACAUCUUGGGUUUACAUCAUCCAAGACAGAUACAUCCUUGUUCUUUUAUAGCAAAGGCAAUAUCACUGUUUUUGUGCUUGUUUAUGUUGAUGAUAUAAUUGUUGCUAGUUCAAGUCAAGAGGCCACUGCUUGUUUGCUUAAGGAUUUAAAGCUUGAAUUUGCUCUCAAGGAUCUAGGUGACUUCACUAUUUUCUUGGCAUAGAGGUAAAGCAAAUCAGAGAUGGCAUACUUCUAUCACAAGAGAAAUAUACAGCUGAUGUUCUAAAGGGGGUGGGAUUGGAGAAUUGCAAACUAGUCAGUACACCAAUUUCCACUUCAGAAAAGCUUACAGUUGACAGUGGAGAAGCUCUUGGUCCAGAGGAUGCAACAAAUUAUAGGAGUGUUGUAGGUGCUUUGCAGUAUUUGACCCUUACACGUCCUGAUAUCUCUUACUCAGUAAACAAGGUAGUCAAUAUUUGCAUGCUCCUAGAACUACUCAUUGGACAACAGUUAAAAGAAUUCUAAGGUAUCUUCAGUAUUCUCAAGGGCUUGGACUUCAGAUUGUCAAGUCCUCUUCCUUGCUUGUUACUGCAUAUUCUGAUGCGGACUGGGUAGGGUGUACUGAUGAUAGGAGAUCUACUGGUGGUUUUGCUGUGUUUCUGGGAUCUAAUCUUGUGUCAUGGAGUGCAAGAAAGCAAGCUACUGUUUCAAGAUCAAGUACAGAGGCUAAAUAUAAGUCGUUGGCAAAUGCUACAGCUGAAGUGAUGUGGAUACAAACAUUACUCUAUGAGCUUGGAAUUAAAGCUCCAAAGGCUGCACGGUUAUGGUGUGACAAUAUUGGUGCAACUUACCUUUCAGCAAAUCCUAUUUUUCAUGCACGAACAAAACACAUUGAAGUGGAUUUUCAUUUUGUCAGAGAAAGAGUAGCUCGAAAGCUGCUUGAGAUUCGGUUUAUUCCCAUAGGGGAUCAACUUGCUGAUGGGUUCACUAAACCCUUGACCGAGAGAAGACUAGACGAGUUCAAGUACAAUCUCAACCUUAGCAAGGCUUGAGGUUUACAUUGAGGGGGAGUGUUAGAAUUAUUGUAUAGGGAUAUGAGAGGUGUUUAAACUUCUAUCUCUUCUUCUCCCUUAUCUUCUGUAACGACCUCCUGGUCGAUCUCCUCCUCACGAUCGAUCUCUCUCUCUCUCUCGAUCUCUCUGUAACGUGUGCAUCAAGGUUUUGCCUCAAUAUAUACAAUGUGGCCCGAGACAAAGGGUUCUACGCUUUCCAAACUAUUUCACAAUAACGACUCGACUAUAUCAAUCUCGAUCGACUCAACAUCGACGGCCGCCGCAGAUUUUACCGCAGCGCACCGUGAUCCAUUCCCUCACUCACACAGCAGAUCAAUCCGACGAACAUCUUCACUCACAGCUUCCGGUCAAUCUGCUCUCACUCCCACUCGCGUAAGAUGGUGGCAAGCACUCAGGUAUGUAUAUGUACAGGUGCAGCGCACAGUCGAUCAAGUAACUUGCAUGCAGCUAGGUGUGUAGCACACCAUGAGCCCAGUUAGCUCAUUUGCAUCGUGCACUUGUGUGCUGCUUGUAUAUAUCAGGACGUGAACAUGGACGGCAGCCUCGCCGGCUGCGCACCGUUCGGCUCGAGCACGACGACGCUGUCCGUGCACAAUGAGGAGGAGACGGCCAUCACUGUGGCCGUGGGUGGCAACGAGCCCAGCGGCCGGUACAUCCUGGUGGCGGGGCGCGCCGAGGAGAAGGACGGCGUGCGCAAGCCGAUCCCGGCGGGCGUCCUGAAGCCUGCGAUCACGUUUAGUGUAGUGCGUACCAAUCGUGAGGAUCUUGCCUUCCUAAAUUUUGGUUUGCCUUCCUACAUAAUCUUUUUGCUUUGGACCCUAAAAGGAUCUUUGUUUGUUUUCGAUUAAAUUUAUUUUAAUUUUGCUAAAGCACAUCUAGAUGUGCCAUAAGUAUUGCACAUCUAAGUCCUAUAUUAUUGAUCUUAUGUUGAGAUUCGUGUGAAUAUUUUUUUCUUUUCCUCUUUAUACUUGAUUCACUCAUUUAGAUGUACAAUAACUAUAGCACAUCUAGAUGUGAGUAGGGUGUUUUGGUGCCCAGGCUCAUCUGCACCCGGUUAGAAAAAAAUCAUAAAAAACUCAAAACAAAUUCAAAAAAUUCCAAAUAAAAUUUGUGUGGUAGACAAUUUGAUGCGUGAGGCCCGUCCAAAUUUCAAGUCAUUUGGACAUAUGAGCAGCUCUCAGCAAAAAAGACAAAUCGGGUCAAAACAGUAUAUGAACAGUAAACAUUUUUACAGACUCCCAAUUUGUGUUUUUUGCUGAGAGCUACUCAUAUGUCCAAAUGAUUUGAAAUUUGGAGCGGGCCUCAUGCAUCAAAUUGUCUACCACACAAAUUUUAUUUGAAUUUUUUUGAAUUUUUCUAGUAUUUGUUUUGAUUUUUCCGUCGGCGCGGGUGCAGAUGAGCUCGGGUGCAGAAAUGGAUUUUCAAUCUAGAUGUGCCCUAGACAGACCCAAAUUAUUUCUAUGGCAACUAAAAAUUGUUUUCAUACGGUCAGAGUUUUCUUGUUUGGAUCAGACUGGGGAGUGCGUUUGCAUGGAAACCGGAGAUUGCUCCGUCUUGUUAUAUUUUGGUCUUCUAGUUAGAAUAUGCGUCCCCCGCAAAUAAAAAUUAGUUGGAAUUGACUGUUCAAAAAAUAUACAAUUAAAUAUGACCAUUUUCGAACAAACAAAAAUAGAAGUUGCAUCGGUAUAUUUUAUUUACGUAGACAAAAUAUGUUUCAUACGACCAGAAAUAUUGUGAUUAUAUCUAAAAAGUGCUUCAAAAAAAUAUUUCCAUCAAACAUUGCUUAGAAAAUAUUAGAACUUGUUUUUAGACAAACAAGGAGGAGCUCCCCGGCUCCAUUUAAAAAAUGAAGGGACCGCCUAGAACUUAGCUGACUGAGACAUAGUUUGGUCUCAAUCAGAUAUGUCAUCUGAUGUGGUGCCUUUUUUUUUCGUGCCAAUCUUGGACUUUUUUUUAGAUGAACUAGGGAUUUAUUCAAUGUUCAAAACCGAAGGAAUACAAGCAAUGUCAGUUGGGUUCCCUAGCCACAAAUGCCGACCUACAUGGAGGGAUGAAGUUGCCUUAGCUAAGACAUGUGCUUCACGGUUUGCCUCCCUAUUCUCAAAAAGGAAAGUAACUUUUACAAAGUCUUCCUUUCUAUCACCUAUUUCAUUCAAAACUAAAGCAAAAGAAGAUAGUGUAGCUCCAUUGAUGUCUGAAAUAACUUGCAUGCAGUCCGAAGCUAUCACCAUAUGUGACAAGUUGAGAUUUUGGGCCAGUGCAAGUGCUUCAUUGCGUGCUUGGGCUUCUAGACUUGGGGCAUCAACCAAGCCGUCGAAGAUGAAAAAGUGAAUGAAGAUGAAAAAAAAAACUGCAGCAUCAUCUUUGUUGCAAAUUUCUGCAACAUAAACUCUGUUACAAAUGAUGCGGCCGUUGGACGCCAUAUGCCAGCCAGAUCUAAUGGCUCGCGACCCGGCCGAUCUUUUAAAAACAUCAGCCGGCAGACACGUAGCACGCCUCAUAAAUAAAAGUAUCCCUCAUGCGCCAGGAAAAAAUAGAUGCUCUAUUUUUUUGAGAGAGAGGCCAUCAAGGCUAGCUUUAUUAACUUAAACAACAAUUACAUCAUUUGCCAGGAGAGAAAGGAUCCAGCCUGGAGGGUCAUCAACCCAUUUAAAAGAAAGCUUAUUAAAAUAACUAACUAUAGCUGCUAGUUAUUAUCAUGAGCAACUUUAACAUGGUCCCUCUUAGCCUCUCUUUUCACAUAAUAUAGUUAGUAUCGCUUUAUUGCAAAGUGGGGGAACACAUUACAUAACAUGAACACCACAGUGGCGAUACAAUGAACUCGCCUACAGGGAUCACCUCAAGAAGCAAGCAAAAAAACACCUAUAUAGUCUUUUUCCUAAACACAACCAUAAAAGGUUUAUCCUUUACAGUCAGCCAUGUCUUGUCCUUGUAAACAUGCAAACCUAGGUCUCUGCAUGGCCCCUUGCCAACACAUGAAAUUAUCUUAUAUCCCGAGAGAUCCGUCCCGGAACACCCCAAAUGAUCUUAGGCCCUCUUCACUGCCGGCAGCCAUGUGUUUAGGCUCUCCUGAUGACGACUCCGGCACCUGUUCGGUAAGGUGCCAAUCUAGCCUUUCGGAGCAAAAGCUUCUCAAGUCGUGAAACUCGAUCCAUAUGUCACUCGAAAGGCGGAUCCAUAUGUCACUCGAAAGGCGGAUCGGCUCAGUGGUAGAAGCGUGUUCUGGCAACGGCAUGAAUCGCAUGGGCGUGUCGAGGAGAGUCGUCUCGCUGCGCUCCUCGACCACAAAAUGUAGGCACCGUAGACCGGUUGGGAUGGCUUUGAGGCCGCCACCGCUUGCAGGUUUGGCUGGGAGGAUGUAGUAAUUUGACUUGCUAUUUAGCUCGUUGCCUUCUGUGUCAUAGACCAGUUGGGUGGCGUUGUUGGCAGAGCAAGGCAGGAUGGCGAUAGCGAAGAGACGGAGGAGGAAGAACAUAUUCAAGGGGCAACUCUUUGGUAAGUUGCAAGUGCUAGUUUCCCUAGUUUGAGGCAUCUCCAUCUUGAGCUGUCAUUGCAAAUAACAUGACGUAAGAAUGGUAGCACUAGCACCACAGGCAAGAAAAAAAUGAGUAGGACACCGACAUAGAAGAAUGAACAACAAUCAACAGUUAGGACAGGGCGGUAUGCCAUCUAGUUCUUCAAAUGAGCGUCUUCGAAGCACCAAGUUUAAUCUGCAUAAGAUCAGUACAUGUUCUUCAUACUGUAUGCAGAAUACAGCACAUUCUUGACUCGUGCCAGAAGCAUUUCCUGUUGCAAUACAAUGGACUUGCGCACAGAUCAACACCAGAAACAAGCAAAAGCUAAAAACACCUAUAACCUCUCUUUCCUGAAGACAACCAUAAAAGGCUUAUUGCUCACGGUCAGCCACGUCUUGUUCUUAGUAGCAUGCAAACCUACAUCUUUGCAUGGCCCCUUGUCAACACAUGAAACUAUCUUAUAUCCCAAGAGACCUGUGCCAUGCUUCUCAACCCGGAACACCGGAAACGAUCUUAGGCCCUCUUCACUGCCGGCGGCCACGUGUUUAGGCUCUCCUGAUGACGAAUCCGGUACCUGAUUGGUAAGGUGCCAAUCUAGCCUUUCAGAGCAAAAGCUAUCAAAAUCAUGGAACUCGAUCCAGAUGUCGCUCGACAGGCGAAUCGGCUCGCUGGCUGAAGCGUGUUCUGGUAGUGGCGUGAAUCGCUAGGCGGUGCCGAAGACAGCCUCGUUGCGCUCCUGGAACACGAAGUGCAGACACCGCAGGCCAGUAGGCAAAGCUCUGAGGCCCCCGCCGGUCGCACGUUUAGCAGGGAGGAUGUAGUAAUUUUGCUUGCUACUUAGCACAUUGCCCUCCGUGUCAUAGACUAG